rnacentral:lncRNA from 1 species
GCUUGUUUGGAGUGGGAGGGCCCGGUGACGUAGGCCCUAAACCCCCGUGGGAGGCCGUCCAUGACCUUGCCAGCCUCGACGCCGCGCAGUGACAGGUCCGGCGGGUUGUCGAUGCACUGCGAGUGCUCAUGAACGGUCGCUGCCGCAAUGUGCACCAUAGCAAGGCAAAGGAAGAACAUUGAGGUGGAGCCCAUUGCGGUCGGACAGGAGGCGGCUAUGGACAAGGCUAGCUAGCUUUACUCUGAUCACCACUCUCGCAUUGAGUUAGGUUAUAUAGCAGUAUAGCUGCCAGCAUGAUAGGCCAGGCUGCUUCCACGUCACCGGCCGGCCAUGAAGCGCUCGAAGUCUUGAACAAUUUGAGUGGCAUACUCCAUGGUCUAUAUAUAUUUGAUGUACAAGGAGGACAAGGAAGUCAUCUGUUGGGCCUGCCGUAUGCUGCAGACCACAGCCAUGGAGGUCUUCUCCAAGCAUGGAUGAAAGUCUAUCGCUAGGAUUUGCAGUUUUUGAGACUUUUUCCCUUCUUAGCAUGGUAAGGCCCUGAUAUCUUUGAUCCAUGAAGCAAUGAAUUUGAGCCCUUCGAUGCAAAACCCUUUGCUGAUCUCUUGUUUGUACGACGACAGUACGCUGAAAGAUUAUAAAUAUAAUAUAGCCACGCUUGGGAUAUAUUAAGACUUAUAUAUAAUAUCUAUAUCUAUACAUAAUAUUAAAGUGCGGUUGUUUCUUCCGACUAUCAUGGUUAUUUUGCAAAAAAGUCCCUCAACUUUUUCAUAAUCAACCCGCAGUCCUGAGAGUUAAACUGUCGUAGUUCGUUGAUGACCCUCAGCUUCUUCUUCGUAUUGGCCGCUGAGCACAAGGGCGGGGAUGGAGCAGCACGGCCGACGUAGGCAUGGUCAGUGCCGGUCCCGGGCGGUGGUCCUGGCGCAGGUACGCCACCGCACGUGGGGACAGGGGUGCUGCAACUUCCGACGAGGGCGGACUGGCACUGGGACUCCCCACAGUGGCGGCGCGUUGCAUCGCUGUCACCCUUUCCUGGAACCCGACGGGGGGGGGGGGGGUUGUCACAGGCAUAGCAUAGUGGUGGAGGAGCUCCCCCAUGACGUGCAACAGAUCUCGCAUGGCCAUAGUGAUGUAUGCCACCACUCACCACUGUGGAUUCGCUCGCAUGCCCAGCAAUAGUCCUCAACUAGAGGCAGCACUAGCUGAUGUCGUCGUUGUCAGCAACACUCACUGCCACCUACCAGAAGGGCUGCCACUUCGACCUCAGCAAGAAGCUCCACUGCCCACCGCUGCAUCACCAAGAGGGCAAUCCACAACUGGGAACCAUAUGCGUAGGAUGAUGAGGAAAAAUCCACUGGAGCACGUCGCUGCUGAUCUGCAUGGGUACAAGUCACAAGAAUUAAUGACCAGAGAGGAAAAUUAAUGAUAAGAGGGAUCCUCUUGCUCCACUUAUUUUGUAAUAUGAUUGAGGAGCUUACCGUGGGUCACUCGAAUACUAUGGUACUUCUUGGGGGCACACUUCAUGGUCACUCAGGUGCAGUGCCUUCUCUUCUACAAUUUGUGUUCGUCUUAGUACAAUGCCCUCUCUCAUAUGCCUAACAAUAAUCAUAUUUUUUUUGUUAUGAAGGAUUUUAGCCCAACUAAUGGACUAUGUUAUGAGGAGCAAAUUGCAGAAGGAUACUUGCAUUGGUUGAUUGCUCAUAUUUCUUGGAGCAACUAGGCCAUGAUGUCAGGUUGUCAGGGUGUAUGCACUCAGACAUGAAUUGUUGAGCAUAUUAUAAUCAAGGACUGAGCAUUUAUUUUAGUCUUGCAGUUUUUUUUCUUUUUAUAGGCUAAAUGUUUUGUCGACAAUCUCUUAUGUUCAUAAUAACUUGCAUAUUCAUAAAAGCUAAGAGAAGAAUUGCAUUAGUACUAAAUCUUACCAUAAGUUUUAAUACAUGUUUGAACUAGAUGUAGGACACAUUACAUAUGUAUAAAAAUAGAGAUUCCACCAUUCAAAUAGGCCAUGUAGAAUUCAAAAGAGUUGUCCGCUUAUUAUUAUCAGAGACGUAUACAAAUAUUAUGAAACAUCCUAAACCAGAUUAGGAAGUGAAGCAAGCGAAUUAGGAGCUAGCGGAUGACAACUUGGGAGCAGAUAAGAAACCAUAGCAACGAACAGGUAUUUAUGCUAAUUAAAUAUUAAAAUACGGUUAUUUCUUUCAACCGUAGGCCAAUCUUGUCAGCCAACCUUACUAAAACAUCCCUCACAUUUUUCUUAAUCAACCCGCAAUCCAAAAUUAAGCAUCCCGCCAGCUGCCAGUCUUGAGUCCUCCGCACCUAUGCAUCGUGUGCGUUCCUUACGUCGGAGAUACCAUCCUGCAACGAACGCAUAGAAUCAACAAACGAAACCCCUAUUGGAACUCAAGCAUAACAAAAGACGACCUCAACUGAAACGAGGUGAAAUAUAAUAGAAAUGAGAAGAGGAAAAAUAAAGGUAAAAGCAUCCAAAUCGGAGGCGAAGAACGUAUAUGGGCGCAGAUAACCGAGGCUGCCAGAGAAGUUGUGCAUCUCGCCGGAGACUCGCCAGAGAAGUUGUGCAGCUCGCCGGGGAUAUUGCGUAGCUCGCCGGGGAUAUUGCGUAGCUCGCCGAGGAUGUUGCGCCUACACUCGUGAUUCAGGAGCAUAAUUGUGGUGCUAGAGCUCAUUGAAUCGGUUUUGCAUUUCUUGUAUAGAUUGCCACAAUCGAGCCUCGGUUGAUGGUUUUGAGGGUUCCUCCUCUUCAUACUGCACUGCUUCGGCCAAUUGCUUUUUCUUGGGGGCGAUUUGAUUCUGAAGCAUUCAGUAUCGCUGCUCUGUUUGCCUUAACUCUUCUGCUUCGGCGAUAGUCUUGCCCUUUGACUGCCUUGUACGCACAUAUGAAGUUGACAGGUGAGCCGCUACGGCUUGCUGUGCUCUGCUUGCUGCUUCAGCCACCGCAGCUUCAAUACGCCUCAAUGCUGCGAUGUCUUCUGCUGCUACCCCUAAGCCUUCUAGGCUUACUUCCAACUCGCCAUCCGCUGUGUGCUCGACUUCAACCUCUUCGUCUUGCACCCCUUCAGCGCCUGGGACAGUGGCAAGGGCCCCCUCAGACGCGGGUCCUGUUGUGGCCUUCUUCGGUUGAGCUAUGUGGUCGUGAGUCUACCACGAGGUGGGUGCCAAAAUUAUUAGUAGAUAACGAUCCCGAAGUGGACUUCAUUACAAUAGUUGGUAACUCUCGUUCCAAAGGGGAAAGGAUCCCCCUCAGAUGAAGGCUAUCGAGUAUGUGUCUAUCAAACUCCCAAUGAACAGGCCAAAAUUAAGAACGAACUAUGAACAAUAAAUGCAUAAAAGCAAACGAUUUGCAUUAACUUCGAACCAGCCGUCCCAUCAGUUACAGUGGCUUCUUUAUCUAUAAGGACAUUAACCGUCACAAAGUACAAUUACAUUCUACCGUUACCUAAGAUUCCAAGAAUAUUUCAGGAUACAAUGGGAAAUACAGCCUUUGUACGGACUCCUCCAGCUAGCUCCUCAUACGACCCCUUCAAUGCACGCGGCGGACAACGAGGCCUUCUUCAUGCGUUUGACUUCGAAGGUCGAGGUACCCUUCGUCCGGCAUCCUUGUUCUUUCGUCUGGUGAGAAGCAAAAAUGAUGACGAAGCGAUCAACGCCCUUUUUCCCGGAGUGCUGAAGGCUGUCCCUUCCUCGUUCAGUCCCGAAGACCCCUUUGUACGCCUAAGGUUUCUUCGUCAACAUCUUCCUCACUCCUGCACCCAGAAUUCGUCACAAAGCAAACAAGUCAUUAAGGUUAAUGAUCUGAAGGUGUUUUCCUUCCGAAGGGGACUCCGAAGGUGGUUUCCAACAGAUAUGAAAAAGUUUGGAAAAUAGGUGGUUGUACUUUCAUCCACGAUAGGAACAAAGGAUAACUUGAUACGUUCCCUAACCCUGGCCCUUGGCCAUCCCCUCCAACCACGAUGCUGAAUUUCUCUCUAUUGAAUCUGUGCAUAUUGUUGGCCACUUUGCCCCUGGAUAUUCUCUUUAAAUAUCUGCACUCAAUUUUCUUGAAGAUUAUGGACGCGAUUCAAUCCACCUCAUUUGAAACAUUAAUUUGGAUAACAUUCGUGGCUCAUCGCUCAUUCGGAACUUACAGGGCUUAUUUGCUAAAUUGCAUGACUGUUUUUGUAAUCAGGCAUCAUGAGGCGACUAUCUUAUGAAUGCUUCAUAGCAAUUCUUGCUCCACUAACAAAGCACACAUAGGUCUACGGGUAAAGCCAGUUCAUUCUGUGCACCAGAGAUGAUCAUGAGCCUCUCCACUAUUUCCAUAAGAAUCAAUUCAACAUAUACAGGGGCUGUUUGGCAAUAGAGUGUUAAAAUUUAACACCCGUUACAUUGGAUGUUUGAUGCUAAUUAGGAGUAUUAAAUAUAGGUUAAUUAUAAAACUAAUUGCACAGAUGGAGUGUAAUUCGCGAGACGAAUCUAUUAAGCCUAAUUAGUCCAUGAUUUGAUAAUGUGGUGCCACAAUAACCAUUGCUAAUAAUAGAUUAAUUCAUCUUAAUAGAUUCGUCUCGCGAAUUAGCCGUCGUAUUCCCUCGUAAAUAGCCAUAGGGCCCAAAUGACCACCUAAACCAAUAAUUGUCUCGAGCACCUAAACCAAUUGUUGUCUCUUGCACUGUAUCUUUCCAACUAGCAUUUCGCUUGCGAGUCCAAAUGGUAAAAGUAAAUAAAAAAAAUGAAAAUCGGGGUUGGUGGAGAGACGAAGAGAAUUGGAAAGGGAAAGUGCUCAUGGGGGAAGUGGAACGAAGCAUCGUGGGAGGUGAGGCCGUGCUUUACAAAGCACUUUCCCAUCGCUCACGCGUAAAUGGAAUCCCCAUCUACGACUUUGAGGCCCUGAGAAUUGAAGCGCCCUUCCUCUCUGACACCACCACAAGCUAGCAGAGCGGUAGAGCGAGAUGGCCGAACUGAUGGCGAGCGCCGCCACGAGCGUGAUGGGGUCCGUCAUCGGCAAGCUGACUGCCAUGCUCGGCGAGAAGUACCAGCUCGCCAGAGACGUGGAGCAAGGGAUCCGCUUCCUCAAGGAUGAGCUGAGCAGCAUGGAUGCCGUGCUGCAGAAGCUCGCAGACAAGGACGACGACCAAAUGGAUCCAAUGGAUAAAGAUUGGAGGAACAAGGUGCGUGAGCUAUCCUUCGAUAUUGAGGAUUGCGUCGAUCGCUUCAUGCUCAAUCACAGCCAUGGAGGUUCCAAGGCUAACUUUGUUCGCAAAGCCGUGCGUAAGGUGAAGAUGUUGUGGGAGGACCAGGGCAUAGCAGGGGAGAUCCAAAAACUCAAGAUACUCGUGACAGAGCAUAGUGACCGGGCCAAACGCUACCCUGUGGGAAUGCGGUGCGACUCACCUCAGCCGGUGCGCUUGGAUCCUCGAGCAACUGCCCUCUUUCAGGAGGCGAGGGAUCCUGUGGGAAUUGAUGGUCCUCGCGAGGAAAUCAUCCAGUUAUUACAAGUUGAAGAAAAUCAGCACAAGGUGGUGUCCAUCUAUGGUACCGCUGGGCAGGGGAAGACUACUCUAGCCAUGGAGGUAUACCGAAAAAUCACACAAGCAUUUGAUUGCAGGGCUUUCGUGUCUGUAUCUCAGACUCUGGAUAUGAAGAAGCUACUCAGAGAUAUAUUGUCUCAAAUAGUAAGCACGAGCGAGUUUGACCAGUUGCAGUCGGAAAGGUGGGAGACGGAGCAGCUCAUGCGCAAAAUGAGAGACUACUUAAUUGACAAGAGGUAACCAGAAUUACUUUCUUGUACUAUAAUAAUUAGCCAGUUCAUCUAGCUAUGGCAAUGUUGUGAGGUCUUUGUCGAUCACAUGAGCUCACCAAAUUUAUCGGCCAUUUUACGAUUGUAUUUUAGGGACCCAUUCGAGCAUAAAACUACCACGUAUGCAUUUGUUACAUGAUUCCUCAACCAAUGCAUGCAGGUACUUCAUCUUGAUUGAUGAUAUCUGGAAUGUAUCAGAUUGGGAGCAAGUAGAAGCUGCCUUACCUCGCAAAGACAACGGAAGCAGAAUAAUUACUACAACACGUAGUAAAACAGUAGCUGAAACAUGUGCUGGUAUUGAUGCACAAAUGUACAAAGCAAAGCCACUUGGUGAUGACGAAUCUCGCAGAUUAUUCUUUAAAAGGCUAUUUCACUCAACUGAACAUUGUCCCCAAGAUUUGAUGGCAGUAUCCAGUGAUAUUUUGAGGAAAUGUGGGGGAAUACCUUUAGCCAUAAUCAGUAUAGCUGGUUUAUUAGCAAACAGAAGCAAAACCAAGGAAGUCUGGGUCAAUGCAUUGAAGUAUAUUUCUGCUGCAGUUGACAAAGAUUCUCACAUUGAUAAAAUGAAAAGAAUUUUUCUGCUUAGUUACUUUGACCUUCCUCUUUAUCUAAGGAGCUGUAUGUUAUAUCUGAGCGUGUUCCCGGAGGAUUAUGUGAUUGAUUGUAGACAGUUGAUAUUGUUAUGGGUAGCCGAAGGACUGAUUCCUGGACAAGGCAGAGAAAAUAUGGAGCAGCUUGGGAGGAGUUACCUUAAUGAGCUGAUCAAUAGAAGCUUGGUCCAGCCAACCAAGGUUGGGGCAGUUGCCGCAACAGUGAAAGAGUGCAGAGUUCAUGAUGUCAUACUUGAGUUUAUUGUAUCAAAGGCUUUGGAGGACAAUUUUGUUACUAUAUGGAAUCGUAAUGGGUUUUCUGAAAAUUAUUCUUCUAACAAGAUUCGCCGUUUAUCUAUCCAAUAUGGUAUUUCUAUGCGGGCUGAAGAGAUGGUGAAGAUAAAAGAACAGGCAGCUCAUAUUCGAUCAAUCAAUAUUUUUGACCCUAAUUCAGUGCUGCUAAUUAAAAACACCUCUAUGUUUUUAAGUAGCCAAGUCUUGCGAGUGCUGAAUACACAAACUCAGGAGAAGUUACUUGAAGAUUGCUAUCUUGGACAUGUCAAAAGUUUUGGUCAAAUGAAGUACUUGAGGUUAAAAUUUUGGUCAUCAAUAUGGCACUGCAAACUCCCAGAAGAUAUAGAAAAGCUGCAACAUCUUCAGACACUAGAUGUUAGGUGUAGCAGCAUUGAAAAACUACCGGCUAGCAUUACCCAAUUGCAGAGAUUAGUGCGUCUUCUUGUACAUAAUGAGGUAAAACUACCUGAUGGGAUUGGAAAUCUGCAGGCAUUGGAAGAGCUAUCAGUGAUCAAUUUGGAUAUUCAAACUAUCAAGUUUAUCCAAGGGCUCGGCGAUCUGACCAAUCUGAAGGUACUUGGAAUUGAGUGGUGGUACGCUCAUGCAGAAGUACGUCACGUGGACGUGGAAGGCCACAAGGAAGCAUGUAUCUCGUCACUCUCCAAGCUUGUCACAACCCUUCGAGAACUGCGCAUCAUGCAGGAUGCUUAUGACAAACUUUCAUUCAUGGCUUCGUGUGGCUCUACUCCACCACCCCUUCGGAAGCUCAUCAUUCGUGGAUGUGUCCUGCCCCAUCAAAUCAUCAGCUCGCUAGUCAACCUGACCCGCCUCUGUAGUGGACUAGUAAGCCAGGAAGGGAUAAAUAUCCUAGCAAGUUUGCCCAUGCUCCUCUCUAUUACUGUUUGUGUUUCCUUUGCAGAGGGUAAUUCUGGAACCAGGUAUACAAUCAGCAGUCAAGGAUUCCAGCGUUUAGUCAAGUUUAAUUUCAUGUGUGUUGAUGAGGGGGCGUUGGAGUUUGAGCCAGGAGCCAUGCCAUGUGGCUGCAGGCACGGGGUCAGUUCAAUUAUGAGCAAGGCGGCCUGGUCCUUGGGCUGCAGAAUCUGGCAGGCCUCAGACAUGUUGCUCUUCGUAUUGCCAGUUAUCAAGCUACUCCUGACGAGGUGCAGGAUUUGGAGGAUGACAUCAGGGUUGCAGCAGGCGCCCAUCCCAACCGUCCCGUGGUCCAGCUGGUCAAUAAAUUACGUCAAGUUUGUAUGGCUCAAGGGUGCAGCAGGCGCCCACGCGACCAUCCCAUGCUAGAAGCACAAUGACCAAGUAAAUGCAUGGUGUGGAGAAUAAAUAUCAUGAUCAAUGAUGAUCUUUUUUUUUCCUGUUUCAAGAGCAUGUUGGAAUUAAACAAGGUUAAUUUGAUUUGUUUUCAUCUUAGUUUUUGCUUUAUGACAACAUGUGUGUGCAUGCAGAUUGACCUCUCGGAUCUAUUGAGUGCUGAUAUGUGUUUGUAACGACCGACCCCUAAACUUUCCCAGUUAAUCUUGAUCGGAGCCCUUGACCUUAGUUAUCUGUCUUGCUUAACCGUGCCUGAGUGCUCAGUUUUCCGCCGGUCCCGACCCCUGGAUCCGACCCCUUCCCGCUUCGCUCCUCUUUCGACCCCGGCGAGCUCAGCCCGCCGUCGGAUCCUGCUGAUCUUCCUCACCCGUCCGAUCUAUCCACCGGUGGACCCGUGAGAUCUUUUCCAGAUCCUCCGCGACAGCCGCACUCGAGUUGCAUGGCCGCCUCAGAGUCUUCCUGCCGCGUGGCUCGUCUUCUCUGACGCCUGCCGCUCAGUUUUGUCUCUGGCAAGCAACAGAGUGGGUUCCCGCGCCCCCUUUCCCCAAUGGCAGCGGAAGCCCUCUGCACCCCUUUCUGCAGAGCCUCGCCUCCCGCGCCCAUCAUCACACCACCAGAUCCCGGCCCCAGAGCCCGAUGUCGCCCGUCUUUUCCGUCCCUUCAGCCACAGUUGCGCCGCCCGGUCGUCGCUACACGACGAUUCCUCCACCGCCAACCCCGACCGCGGCCGCGACAGUUCCUUUCCCCGCUCUGUCAGAAGCCGCCCGACAAUCUGUUGUUCCGCGCUCUCCCCCGCGCCCGCGUCCGCCUGUCUUCUCACCUGUGCGCCCUCGAUUCUAGCGCCGUUAAACCGGUCGCUUCCAUCACCUCUUCCGCACGACGACGCCCGCUUUCCGCCAAAUCCCAACCACCGGUCUACCCGCUCCUACGCCGCCCUGACGGCAGAGCGCAAUGAUCGCUGGCGUCACCCCCGGAGUUCUGCAGCACCGCCCUCUUUGCUCAAUCACCGCCACGGCAGGGCACUCCAUUGCUUCUCCCCGGCCUUCGCGCCGCUCCCCUUUUCUCUCUCCGCGCCGUUUCCUUUUUCCCUGCUCCAGCAGCUAUAAAAGGAAUGCCCCCGUCGCCGGAGUUUCCCUCCGCCCUUGUUGCCUUCAGCUUUCUCUAGCUCCCUGCUCAAGCUCCUAGCGCCACCCACCCAGUUCUUGAGAAGUUCUUCUCCCAGUUCCUUCUCAGUUUCCUCCAAGUCACCCAGCAGCUUGCUCCUCCGUGCUGCGUAAGAGCUCUCUUGUGAUCCGCAAGAAGCAGCGCCGCCGCCGGAGCAUUGCCGGUCGUAGCCCUUGCUCGAAGCUUUAGUCCCUCCGCCCAAGUUCGCUUCUUCCCGACCCCAAGCUUUCCUUUCAGGAAGAAGGUGAGUUGCCGACCCUAAGUCCGCCUCGCCCGACCCCUCCUAUCCGCCCGACCCCAGUUCCGUCUCGCCCGACCCUAUCUGUUCCGCCGACCCUUAUCCGCCUCGCCCGAGGGCUUGGCUGUGAUCUUUUUCUUCAACUCGAGGGUGUAUGUGUAAAACUUGGGAACCCUGCAACGCUUGCGUCUAAGGACCCCUAUCACAUCCUCUAGUUCAAGGAUCAGACCACUAGUUUCCCUUCCUACCCUUACCUGUUGAUCAUCAUCAGCUCUCUCGAACCUCCACAACCUCCUCCUCCUUGUCGCAAGUUUCUGGGCUCAGGAGAGCCAGUGUUGCUGUUGAAAUAACUGUCUAAGCUAACCCUUGCAUUGCAUUCGUGUAGAGCUGCACCUCGCCGACGGUUUCUACGAGCUUCACCCGGCGCCAGAAGAAGAAGCUGUAGCCGAGCUCCUGCCCUCCGAAGCCGAAGUCGCCCCCGAAGCCGAGCCGUUCCCGUCCUCCUUGCUUGAAGGCAAGCCCCGGUUGCAUGAAAUUCCUAUGUGUUUUACCAGACUUGCGCAUGCCUUCUGUAACAUGCUUGUGCAUUUACGUAUAGGAGUUGUGUGAAACCCUAGAUGCAUGACUUAGGUAACCCAUGAUGUGAGCACUAGCUGUUGGACCGAGUAGCUGCAUUGCUUAACUAGGAGACGGUAAAAGUCGAGUGAUCUCCUGUCACUCGCGAGUUGUAGGAGUUGCCUGAUUUACUCUCCUGUUACAACUAUAAGGACGAUGGAUGGGGCAGGGUUUUGGUAACUUUUUGGUGGUCGGAUGGACGCCCCGUCUGUCUAUGAAAUCUUGCUAAGGCCCGACAGUGGUGGUGUUCGUGAUCAAGUGUUUGAAAGUACUAGCCUCAUACUUAGUAUGGGAUGAGGAAGCCUAGUACCGGAUUGAACCUAGACGUGAGCGGUCGCCCCAUUGUUCUUGGAACGGAGUUUCCCCUGCUGGUUGUCGCACGUGGUGGCAAGCGUGGUCACAGGACGGCAGAGGCCGAGUCUGUGGAACCUUGCACCAAAGGAAAUGGGCCCGACACGGGUUAGGGGAUUGAUGGGGAAGGCCGACACAGGAAGCGACCUCCGGGUGCGCGGAUGUCGUGAGGCUAGGUUCACCAUGCAUGGUUAAAGAACUCGAAUCGAUUCGUCUGCCUCUCACAGCUUGAGAUUGCUUGAUCGCUAUGUCACCCUAAGUAAAUGAGGAAUCUGAUGAUGGCAAUGUUGUUGUUAUAUCUACACAUCUUGUUUGGCUCUAUGAUUGCUUAGAACAGGUUGCACAACCUAGACUGGUAAAUGAACCUAGAACCGGAGCUAAAACUUGAAUUAGGGUUACUUAGUGCUUUUGGAAAACAAACCCCUAACCCAAACAGCUUGCAUGCCUAGAAGGAGGAGUAGUCCUUACUCCUAUCGGUUAAGUCUUGUUGAGCUUAGUAGCUCAGCCUUGUGGUGGCUUCUGUUUUCAGGUGAAGCUGCUGCGUCCGACCCCUCUCUGGUUGGUGCUUGGCCGCCCCAGCUCCCGCCAGGCUGGACGGUCAAGUAGGACCCCUCCUCGGACGGCGAGGAGAGGACUCAGUGAUGUUCUGGCUGGCCUUGCCUGGACAUCCGACCCCGAUGAAGUCUUCCGCUAGUAUUUUUCUCUGUUGUUCUUGAAUUUUGUAAAACUCUGAUGUUGGAUUUUAUGGUUGAACUAAAAUGGGUAAAACUUGCUUAACUCAGUGGACUUGUUGUAUUCUCUGUAACCGCUCACCUUCGUGUGGGUUUGCUAGACUCGAUCCUGUUCAAGUGGUUAAAUCGGAUGAAAUCCGACGGCACUUCGUGUGAGCUCAGUUUAGGCAGGAGUGUCGCAUGUUAGGCGGCUUAACCCUGCUUAACCAAGCUAAUCCGAGGUGGUUCUGCCACAGCUGGUAUCAGAGCCGUGUUUAGCAUUUCAGAGAACCCAAUGAGCCCUAAACACUUCUUUGAAAGGAUAAAAGUUGCAAGAAACUUUUGAAAAUCUCGUACGAUCGUUAAGGAUGACUUAGUGCGAGAGGCCCUAGGGGAUUUUGGGGUUGUUUUAGGUGACUAGUAAGUAUUUGGUUAUUUUGCUAACUCCUCCAGCACUUCGCCACGUCUAUCAUACGUGUGCCGGGUUCCGCAUCGCGAGCAUGCGAGGGUUGAUAGGGAGCUCCAUUCAAGGGACCCUAUCUUCGCGGUUGUUUUCGCCCACGUCUAUUAUACGUGCGCAGGUUCCGUAUGUGUUCCAUACGAAGGUUGGUACGGUUCGAUUCCAACAAACCUAUCGGCACGGUUGUUUCGCCACGUUUGUCAUACGUGUGCCGAUUCCGCAUCACGAGUAUGCGAAGGGUUAUAUGGUUCUAUUCGACAGGAACCUAUUUCCACGGUUGAGUGCUGUCCAUGUAGCCUUAAACGCAUGGGUGCCGUUCCUAUAGUGAAGCGUCCCCACAUAAGUAGAGACUAAAUGUGAUCCAAUUUAUCAGUCCCAGGAGGCUGAUAACACAUUUAUUCAACAGAUAGUUCAGAAACCGUACAGCUCCCGAAGGAGCGGGCGGGCAAGCCACACCCAAAGCAAGACUAAAGCGAUAACAACACAAAUCCAAGUUGCAGUCCAGUCGGACUCCGGGCUGCAAUCGGAGCUAAGCGUCAGCGGAAGCAUCCUGCAAAGGGGCCAACACCGCAGACAGCGUUGGGUGCAGACGCAACCUCCUACUCGAAGUCCUCGACGACAAAGUCCGGAUCCUCCUCUGAAGUAACAACACAAGGGUGAGUACAAAAGUACUCAGCAAGUCCAACCCCAUCCACGGAGGGGGAUACAACAAGAAUAUGCAUAUGAAUAAUCAAGGAAUAAGCUAUGGUUUAUUUGCAGUAAAGCUGAAUUCUUAGACACAUGCGGGGUUCUAUUUCGAAGAGGUUUAAUGAAAACAUUUUAGUGAACAACAUAUCAAGUGGGGUUGAUCCUACACAAAGGAUCCAAGUUUUAUCGCUACCGGACUCCCCGUCCGCCGUAGCGCACGGCACACCUGCCGGACACUUCCAAAAUCCCACACACCCACACACGCGGUAAAAUACCAGUCAUCCCCAAAAGCUAGUUGUGUGACCGAGCCGUAACUCGUCCAAUGCCGUGGACACGGCUACCCGGAUAGGUUUUAACUCUGCAGAGGUUGUACACUUUUCCCACAAGUAGGGUACCGUAUCGCGAUCACCUUAGUGUCGGUACGGAUCCUAACAAAGCCAUUACCCACCUUAGCCAACACUGACUAGUCAACAUGGAAGCGCUCAAGGGGUUAGCAACCCAUCCACGGGGCUGAAACCGGGACCUAAGUCACCAAGAGCUUAGUUCUUUUCCAAGGCCUCCUGUUGCUCACCAGCACACCUGAAGUCUAGCAGUUUAGCUAGUGGGAUUUAUGCUAAGCCGUUGCCCAUACAACGGUCGAGUGGUUGUACGAUGAUGGAAUUAGGCAGGAUGACACAUCAACUCGGUCCUUAGUCAUGACAAGAUGGAUAUCUCCCACUCUGCUCAACCACUGAGGUACGAGCCCAACAACCCGGCGUUCCACACAAGAAACACCCAUCCAUCUCAUCCACCACCUCUCUUUACACCCGAAAACCCAACUCCUCAGUUAAACAUACUCACACAUUAUUUUCUGAGUAAACAGGUGUAGUCAUGUUUGAAUUUGGAUAAUGAGUUCCUAAGCAUUCUAGCAGUAUUUAUCAUCUAAACAGAGCAACUCAUAUUUAGAGAUAAAUAUGGGACAACAAGGAAUAGUCAUAACAAUCAAGGGGUGGCUAUCCAACCAUGUCUUGCGAUAAACAGUAUGCAUGUUAUAAAACAGGCCAAAAGGUUGUGUCUGAAAAACUGAGUAUUAAAUAUGCAUCAAAGGGUGAGAUUGGACUUGCCGUUCUCAAAGCCUUCCGGGAGCUCCUGCUCGCGGUACUGGUCCUCGGGCUCGGGCUCGUGGUCGAACUCCUCCUCGCGCUCCUCCUCGGGUACUCCGCGAUCUACGGCACACACAAACGAGCACACAAUAAAUAAAAAGGAAAAAGAUUUUACCCGUUGAGCUCCGAACAGGAAACAUGAACGGAAAAUAGGUAGACAGGGUAUUUUCAUGGAAUUUUGAUAUGCCUCGGUGGAAACAUAUGAGAGGGGGCCGUGGUCGAAUUUGGGAUUGAUUGGAGGAAAUUUGGCGCAUGAAAUGACGGUUUAAAGGAGUAUUAGGGGCUUUAAAAUGAGGUUUAGGACUGAACCGCGAGAGCAGGGGCCUAUCUGUAAUUAUUUUUGGAAUGGUGGGAGGACCUGUUCGCGAAUCAGGGAAACUAGUGGGUUGGAUCGUGAGGAGAGGGAUUUACCCCUUCUUCUUCCUGGAGACAACAGGAGGUUGAGAGAAGGAUGGCCGUCGGCGCUCUGGUGGUGGUGGUGGAGGAAGGCAAGGUGCUCGUGGUGAGGGUGUGGAGGUGAAGACUCGGCUCCCCCCCUUUUAUAGGCGGCGCCCGGGCGGGCGAGGGCCAAGGUAAUGAUGGCGGCCGGACUUUUGACCGGUGGCGUGCCGGAGUGGUGGAGCUCGUGGAUGGCGUGGCGGCGUGGUCGACGAGGCCACAGGGGCGGCGACCGGUGACCGGCGACACGACGCGACGCACCGAGCCAAGCGCUAGACGCCAAGGCGCGAGCGGGCGUGGCACGAGCGACGUGACGCGGCGCGGGCGCGGCGCGCGGCCCGGCGCGCGUGCGCGGCCCAGCGCCUCGGCGCACGUGCCGCGUGGGCGCCUGGCGCAGUGGGCAGGUGGGGGGGGUUGCCAGGGAAGUAAAAGAGGAGAGAGAGAAAGGGAAAAGGGAGAGGAGGAAGAAAGAGAAGGAAAACGAGAAGGGAAAGAAAGGGGAGAAAAAAGAAAGAAGGAAGAGAAAGAGAGGGAAGGGAGGGGAAAAAGAUGGCGGAAAUUGCGGGAUUCGACUGCGCGCGGUGAUGGACUUGUCGAGCACGCGGCGAAAUUUACGGGGAGUGGAAAAUGGAGGAUUGACGGGCCGGGGCCAGGACGGCGGGUCCGACGGAAGGGAAAGGAUUUGACGGAGCUCGGCGGUAGGAAAAUUUUUGGAAAGUGUUUUUUAACGGGUGAUUUAACUGAGUGUAUUUUACGAGCGUUACAUAUAGUGAGCGGUAAUGUUUGGGAACGCUUUCGUGGGUGCUGGCACGAAAGGUUCGUGUGUGUGUUUUCUACAGGUUGCUAACCGCGUUCGUUAGGAGACGUUACUAGAACCGACUAGUUAAUAUAGGGAGAGACGUAUUGUUGCCUUGUCACCGGCGCUGACCGCGUAAGACCCGAGGUUCGGGCAGUUGUUUUUGGUUAAGAGUACGGUAGGUCGUGCAUGCGUCAUAUCCAAAAAGGUUGUACGGUUUCCUUUCUCAACAGCAACCCUGUUCAGAAGAGUUCUUUUGGAUCUAAGGAUUUCUAGUUUCUCUUGGUUGCUCUCGGUUAAGCCCUUCUGCUUCUUAUCCGACCCCUGAUCCUUGGAGUUAUCUCACGUGGUUUUCGGUUUUCUUGGUUCCAGAUGGCUGUUCCCGGACAUGUUGUUUUUGGAGCGGACGGUACCUUCCAGUCAACGUGCCUGCAUUUCGAGGGGUUUCCCGCGAUUCUGUGGGAUACGCUAAAGUGGUUUGGGUAUCAGUCCCCGCCCCUGUAUGCCGGUCGGUUGUAUAUGGAACAGGGCAUUCAGAUGUGCCAAGUGCAAGCGUUGGUACCACCUCCCCUUGCACGGCCCGACUGGCCCUCCCUUGGCAUAAUAGCCUAUGGUCUCGCUCCGGAAGAUACAUGGGAAUCCGCCGUCCUUCAGUUGCUCACCCAGUUCUGUCAGUUGCAUCCUGUGGAGAUCACGCUAGACCCGAUCGGCCUCUUCCCCGUCAGGAGUCGGCUGGACCCGGCCUGGCUUGACCGCGUCGGGAACAUCGAGGUGUUGGCCACCACCUGCGCCAUGGUCACCAUCUCCACCAACGUCCGGUGCAUGGCCGCUCUCUACCGGUUGAUAGAGCUUCAAGGAAGAGCCAUGACUCUCUUCGCCCGGACGGCUGCAGAUACCCACGGUUGCCUCCAGGCAGCAAGAAGAGACCUGGUAGGCCAAACCUACCAGCUGAUCCAGCGUGGUGUCCAGAUCCACGAUAUGCAAGAUCGGAUCUCCGAGCUAGAAGGAGAAGUUGCCGACCUCGUGGACGGCAUGAUAGAGCUCUCGGAGGAAAAGAUGGAGGUGGAAAUGGAGUUGGCAGUCGCCAAUGCCCACCUGGAGGAGCACCAAGCUGAGCUCGAGGAUAUGCAUGCCCUCAACAUGCAGCUCGAAGCUCAGGAGGACCCUGAGGAAGACGAGGGAGCGUCCAGCAUGGAUAUAGAGGAAGAUGGCGCCCCUUCUCCGACUCAUAGUGUCCAGUGGUAGCUUAGGGGUUCUCAGGGAACCUUCUUUCUUUUUGUUGUACUCCUCGGCAGCCUAGAUUUUGGAAAAGUUGUAAUAGGUUAGCCUCGAGUUGAGUACUCCCUGUGUUGACACGCCGUUGUGUAUAAAGUUAACCCUGGUGCAUAGCUUUCUCAUCUCUGUAUGGUGUGGAUGCUAGGUUGAGUAAGUUGCGCCGUGACCUUAUGAUGUGUUCGGAGAACCUGUUCUUGGGCCGACCCCGGCUUGUGAAACCGAGUGCGCCGACCUUUGAGGCAGUUUCUGUCUUGUCCGACCCUUUUCGAGUACGGACCGUGUCCGACCCCUUGGUUUGAGAGGAUCAGAUCCUAGGAGUCUGUAGGUGGCAUGUGUGCCUGAGGUGGAGUACCAGGACAAGUAGAGGUUAUCUAUGCUGAGAAUGGGAGGAAUGUGCUUCCUCUAUGAGGACGUGUGAUGCACCAUUGGCAAGAGUCGCAUUAAGGGAUUUAAUUCAUAUGUUCCAUUUGUUGGAGUACACCUAAGGUUAUGAAAUUAAUGGGGCGUUAACUCUUGCAGAUGGCGCACCGCACUAGGUCUGGAUCUGUGCCCAGUGGUAGUGAUCAGCAACAGGAUCUUCCCCCGCCCCCGCCCCCAUCGCCAUUGGAGGCAAUCUUAGCAACUCAAACUGAGCUGCUAAGGCAUCUGGUGCAAGGACAACACCAUCAGCCACAUGGUGGAAGAGCACAGCCGCAGCCGCAUAUCGCACGAUAUGAGGACUUUCUGGGGACACAGCCCCCGCUGUUCCAGAAGACACAAGAACCGCUCGAUGCUGACGCAUGGGUUCGUACGAUCGAAUCCAAGUUCGAGCUCCUCACCGCUCCAUGCCCCGAUAACAACAAGGCGCGGUUCGCAGCUCAGCAGCUGCGUGGCUCCGCACGGCUUUGGUGGGACCACUACCAUGCCAUGCUACCUGCUGGCCACGUGGUCAGUUGGAACGAGUUCAAGACGGCGUUUAAGGCGCAUCACAUUCCCUUAGUUCUCCUGGAGCGCAAGCUCAACGAGUUUCUGGCCCUCACCCAAGGAACUCGGGAUGUGCUGCAUUACGCCCAAGCUUUCAAUGACCUAUGCCGUUAUGCUGGCUAUCAUGCGGACACCGACGAGAAGAAGCGGGACAGGUUCCACCGAGGACUGAGCUUGGAGCUCAGGGAAAGGCUGAACCCCAUCAGGGUGGACACCUAUAACGAGUUGGUCAACCUGGCCAUCUCUCAGGAGGACUGCAUGCAGGCUCUCAAGGCCGACCAGAAGAGGAAAGCCUCUGUGGCAUUUCCGAGUCCACCGACUCGAAGGUUCCGGAUGAUCCCUCCACAAGCCCCUGGCCGACCCCAGCAGUCAGGGAAAUGGAUCGCCCGACCCCCGCCGGCAACAACGCCUCGUUUUCCAGGCUUCCAGCCGCAAGUGCCCCGGCCGACCCUGCCAACGCCACCUCGCCCGGCAGCCAGUAAUCGAUGUUUUACCUGCGGCAAUGAAGGACAUUUUGCAAAGGACUGCCCCAGGAACAAGAAUCAGCAGCAAGGCCAGAACCCCAUGGCAGCCAGAGGAAGAAGGCCCAAGGUGCAAGUCCGACAAGGCCAACUCAACUACACCAGCUUAACCGAUCUCCCUAAAGGUGCGCCAGUAAUGACGGGUACUUUCCUUGUUUUAAAUCAAGCUGUUGUUGUGUUGUUUGAUUCGGGAGCCUCUCAUAGCUUUAUCGGGAGUAAGGCAAGGGAAAGAUGUGGGCUAAGUGUCGGUCACACUAAGGAACCCUAUGUGAUCGCCACUCCUGGAGGAAGGAUAACGUCGGAUCAGGUCGUUAUUCUUGUACCUCUCCAGCUAGGUCCCACCCUCUUCAAGUAAAACCUUAUCAUCCUUGACCUAGAAGGCCUAGAUGUCAUCCUUGGCAUGGAUUGGAUGGCCCGACAUCAUGUUGUUCUAGAUACAUCAGCCCGAUCUCUUUACAUCAGCUUACCCUUCCAUGGCAGUUCUACCCUAUCCUUGACCCAUCCUGCGUCUCCGACUCCUUGUGCCUACCCUCUCUUGGGAGCCCGUCUAGAAAACCUCCCUGUUAUCUGUGAGUACCCUGAUGUGUUUCCAGAAGAUUUGCCGGGUAUGCCACCUGAUAGAGAAGUUGAGUUUUCCAUAGAGUUGGUUCCUGGCACAGCCCCGAUAUCUAAGAGACCCUAUCGGAUGCCACCCGCUGAGUUAGCCGUGUUGAAGACCCAGUUGCAUGAUCUGUUGGAAAAGGGCUUCAUUCGACCCAGUACAUCAUCUUGGGGUUGCCCCGCCCUGUUUGUGAAGAAGAAAGAUGGCAGUCUACGUAUGUGUGUGGAUUACCAACCCCUCAAUGCGGUAACAGUCAAGAACAAGUACCCACUGCCACGCAUUGAUGUCUUGUUUGAUCAGUUAACCGGAGCAAAAGUGUUCUCCAAGAUCGAUCUUCGUUCUGGUUAUCACCAAAUAAAGAUUCGACCUUGCGACAUACCCAAGACAGCUUUCUCUACCAGAUAUGGACUGUACGAGUACCUAGUCAUGUCCUUUGGACUCACCAAUGCACCCGCUUAUUUCAUGUACCUUAUGAACUCGGUGUUUAUGCCCGAGCUGGACAAGUUUGUAGUGGUGUUCAUUGAUGAUAUCCUAGUGUACUCGAAGAACGAGGAAGAGCAUGCCAACCAUCUUCAUAUAGUUCUCCAACGGCUGAGAGAUCACCAGCUUUAUGCAAAGUUCUCCAAGUGUGAGUUUUGGUUAGAUAGUGUCAAGUUUUUGGGACACACUAUCUCCAAGGACGGUAUCGCCGUGGACCCCAGUAAGGUGCAAGAAGUCAUGGAAUGGAAGUCUCCUGCCUCAGUCCACCAAAUCAGGAGUUUCCUUGGACUGGCAGGUUACUAUCGGCGUUUCAUACCGGAUUUCUCCAAGAUAGCUAAGCCGAUGACUGAGUUGCUGAAGAAAGAGGUCAAAUUUGUGUGGGAUACCAAGUGUGAAGAGGCCUUCAAGACCCUGAAGCACUUGCUGACCACCGCCCCAGUUUUGGCUCAACCCGACCCCUCUAGGCCGUAUGACGUAUACUGUGACGCCUCUGGUACUGGACUCGGAUGUGUUCUUAUGCAAGACAGCCGAGUCAUUGCCUAUGCCUCACGUGCGUUACGACCUCAUGAGCUAAACUACCCGACCCAUGACCUCGAGUUGGCAGCAGUGAUACAUGCCUUGAAGAUAUGGAGGCACUACCUAAUGGGAGCUCACUGCAACAUCUACACCGACCACAAGAGCCUCAAGUACAUCUUCACUCAAGCCGACCUCAACAUGCGUCAGAGAAGAUGGCUGGAGUUGAUAAAGGAUUAUGAGUUGGAAGUGCACUAUCAUCCUGGCAAGGCCAAUGUGGUAGCCGAUGCCCUCAGUCGUAAACCCCAUUGCAACUGCUUGUUGUCAACAGCCUUCACCAACACUCUGUGUCACGAGAUGGGAAAACUAAGUCUGGAGAUUGUUCCCCAUGGAACCCUUGAUCACAUCAUCCUUAACUCAGUUUUGGUGGACCAAAUUCGGUCAGCACAAGCUAAGGAUGAAGAAAUAAAACGGAUCCUCAGUAAGAUCUUAGUAAAGGAUGAAGGAUAUAAGCAUUUCCGUCAGGACCAAACGGGAGGUGUGUAUUAUGGAAACCGACUAGUAGUGCCCGCCGACCCUGAGUUGAGGAAGCAAAUCCUAGAUGAAGCUCAUCUUUCCAAGUUCUCAAUCCAUCCUGGCAGCAAUAAGAUGUACCAUGAUCUCCGUCAAACCUUUUGGUGGAGUGGAAUGAAACCAGAGAUAGCUCGUUAUGUUUCAGAAUGUGACACCUGUCAAUGUGUCAAGGCCAGUCACUUGAAGGUAGCAGGAACCUUGCAGCCGCUACCUAUUCCCUCUUGGAAAUGGGAAGACAUCAGCAUGGACUUCAUAGUUGGAUUACCCCUUACAACUCAACGGUAUGAUUCCAUCUGGGUUAUAGUGGACCGUUUGACCAAGACCGCCCACUUCCUUCCUGUUCGUACCACCUACAUAGUCAAGCAAUAUGCAGAGUUGUACCUCGACCGUAUCGUUUCCCUACAUGGUGUACCCAAGACCAUCAUCUCUGAUCGAGGAGUUCAGUUUGUGGCCCAUUUUUGGGAGCAAUUACAAGCAUCUAUGGGCACCAAGCUCAUCCGAAGCUCAACAUAUCAUCCUCAAACCGAUGGCCAAACCGAGAGAGUCAACCAGAUCCUUGAAGACAUGCUAAGAGCCUGUGUUAUCCACUAUGAUAAAAACUGGGACAAGUGCCUGCCCUUAGCAGAAUUCUCCUACAAUAACAGCUAUCAGACCAGUUUGAAGAUGGCACCGUUUGAGGCCCUAUAUGGCCGGAGAUGCAGGACACCCUUGAACUGGUCCCAACCAGGAGAAAGACAGGUUUAUGGCCCUGACUUAGUGGCAGAAGCCGAAGAGCAAGUGAAGGUAAUUCAAGCGAAUCUCAAGGCCACCCAAUCCCGACAGAAGAGUUACUCCGACCAGAGGAGAAGACCCCUGCAGUUCGACCUGGGUGAUCAUGUGUACCUUCGAGUCUCCCCGACCAAAGGAGUGCAACGGUUUGGAAUAAAAGGCAAGUUAGCUCCCCGCUAUGUUGGCCCUUAUGAGAUUGUGGAGAGAUGUGGACCCGUUGCUUACCGGAUCCAACUCCCAGAACAGCUAUCAGCCAUACAUGAUGUUUUCCAUGUGUCUCAACUGAAGAAAUGUGUCCGAGUUCCAGCAGAGAUCUUAGAACAAGAACAGCUUCAGGUAGAGCCUGACCUGACCUACGCCGAGUACCCAGAUCGAGUUCUUGACCAAAAGGAAAGGCACACCCGACGCCGAGCGGUAAAGAUGUACAAGAUCCUCUGGAGAAACCACACCGAAGACGAAGCAACAUGGGAAACGGACGAAUAUCUGAACAAGCGUUUCCCAGGUUUUCUGUCCCAUCAAGUAGGUAAGAACAUCACACCCUUUGAUCUUUGAAUCUCGGGACGAGAUUCUUUUUAAGAGGGGUAGGCUGUAACGACCGACCCCUAAACUUUCCCAGUUAAUUUUGAUCGGAGCCCUUGACCUUAGUUAUCUGUCUUGCUUAACCGUGCCUGAGUGCUUAGUUUUCCACCAGUCCCGACCCCUGGAUCCGACCCCUUCCCGCUUCGCUCCUCUUCCGACCCCGGCGAGCUCAGCCCACCGUCGGAUCCUGCUGAUCUUCCUCACCCGUCCGAUCUAUCCACCGGUGGACCCGUGAGAUCUUUUCCAGAUCCUCCGCGACAGCCGCACUCGAGUUGCAUGGCCGCCUCAGAGUCUUCCUGCCACGUGGCUCGUCUUCUCCGACGCCUGCCGCUCAGUUUUGUCUCUGGCAAGCAACAGAGUGGGUUCCCGCGCCCCCUUUCCCCAAUGGCAGCGGAAGCCCUCUGCACCCCUUUCUGCAGAGCCUCGCCUCCCGCGCCCAUCAUCACGCCACCAGAUCCCGGCCCCAGAGCCUGAUGUUGCCCGUCUUUUCCGUCCCUUCAGCCACAGUUGCGCCGCCCGGUCGUCGCUACACGACGAUUCCUCCACCGCCAACCCCGACAGUUCCUUUCCCCGCUCUGUCAGAAGCCGCCCAACAAUCUGUUGUUCCGCGCUCUCCCCCACGCCCGCAUCCGCCUGUCUUCUCACCUGUGCGCCCUCGAUUCUAGCGCCGUUAAACCGGUCGCUUCCAUCACCUCUUCCGCACGACGACGCCCGCUUUCCGCCAAAUCCCAACCACCGGUCUACCCGCUCCUACGCCGCCCUGACGGCAGAGCGCAAUGAUCGCUGGCGUCACCCCCGGAGUUCUGCAGCACCGCCCUCUUUGCUCAAUCACCGCCACGGCAGGGCACUCCAUUGCUUCUCCCCGGCCUUCGCGCCGCUCCCCUUUUCUCUCUCCGCGCCGUUUCCUUUUUCCCUGCUCCAGCAGCUAUAAAAGGAAUGCCCCCGUCGCCGGAGUUUCCCUCCGCCCUUGUUGCCUUCAGCUUUCUCUAGCUCCCUGCUCAAGCUCCUAGCGCCACCCACCCAGUUCUUGAGAAGUUCUUCUCCCAGUUCCUUCUCAGUUUCCUCCAAGUCACCCAGCAGCUUGCUCCUCCGUGCUGCGUAAGAGCUCUCUUGUGAUCCGCAAGAAGCAGCGCCGCCGCCGGAGCAUUGCCGGUCGUAGCCCUUGCUCGAAGCUUUAGUCCCUCCGCCCAAGUUCGCUUCUUCCCGACCCCAAGCUUUCCUUUCAGGAAGAAGGUGAGUUGCCGACCCUAAGUCCGCCUCGCCCGACCCCUCCUAUUCGCCCGACCCCAGUUCCGUCUCGCCCGACCCUGUCUGUUCCGCCGACCCUUAUCCGCCUCGCCCGAGGGCUUGGCUGUGAUCUUUUUCUUCAACUCGAGGGUGUAUGUGUAAAACUUGGGAACCCUGCAACGCUUGCGUCUAAGGACCCCUAGUUUAUCACAUCCUCUAGUUCAAGGAUCAGACCACUAGUUUCCCUUUCUACCCCUUACCUGUUGAUCAUCAUCAGCUCUCUCGAACCUCCACAACCUCCUCCUCCUUGUCGCAAGUUUCUGGGCUCAGGAGAGCCAGUGUUGCUGUUGAAAUAACUGUCUAAGCUAACCCUUGCAUUGCAUUCGUGUAGAGCUGCACCUCGCCGACGGUUUCUACGAGCUUCACCCGGCACCAGAAGAAGAAGCUGUAGCCGAGCUCCUGCCCUCCGAAGCCGAAGUCGCCCCCGAAGCCGAGCCGUUCCCGUCCUCCUUGCUUGAAGGCAAGCCCCGGUUGCAUGAAAUUCCUAUGUGUUUUACCAGACUUGCGCAUGCCUUCUGUAACAUGCUUGUGCAUUUACGUAUAGGAGUUGUGUGAAACCCUAGAUGCAUGACUUAGGUAACCCAUGAUGUGAGCACUAGCUGUUGGACCGAGUAGCUGCAUUGCUUAACUAGGAGACGGUAAAAGUCGAGUGAUCUCCUGUCACUCGCGAGUUGUAGGAGUUGCCUGAUUUACUCUCCUGUUACAACUAUAAGGACGAUGGACGGGGCAGGGUUUUGGUAACUUUUUGGUGGUCGGAUGGACGCCCCGUCUGUCUAUGAAAUCUUGCUAAGGCCCGACAGUGGUGGUGUUCGUGAUCAAGUGUUUGAAAGUACUAGCCUCAUACUUAGUAUGGGAUGAGGAAGCCUAGUACCGGAUUGAACCUAGACGUGAGCGGUCGCCCCAUUGUUCUUGGAAUGGAGUUUCCCCUACUGGUUGUCGCACGUGGUGGCAAGCGUGGUCACAGGACGGCAGAGGCCGAGUCUGUGGAACCUUGCACCAAAGGAAAUGGGCCCGACACGGGUUAGGGGAUUGAUGGGGAAGGCCGACACAGGAAGCGACCUCCGGGUGCGCGGAUGUCGUGAGGCUAGGUUCACCAUGCAUGGUUAAAGAACUCGAAUCGAUUCGUCUGCCUCUCACAGCUUGAGAUUGCUUGAUCGCUAUGUCACCCUGAGUAAAUGAGGAAUCUGAUGAUGGCAAUGUUGUUGUUAUAUCUACACAUCUUGUUUGGCUCUAUGAUUGCUUAGAACAGGUUGCACAACCUAGACUGGUAAAUGAACCUAGAACCGGAGCUAAAACUUGAAUUAGGGUUACUUAGUGCUUUUGGCAAACAAACCCCUCAGCCAAACAGCUUGCAUGCCUAGAAGGAGGAGUAGUCCUUACUCCUAUCGGUUAAGUCUUGUUGAGCUUAGUAGCUCAGCCUUGUGGUGGCUUCUGUUUUCAGGUGAAGCUGCUGCGUCCGACCCCUCUCUGGUUGGUGCUUGGCCGCCCCAGCUCCCGCCAGGCUGGACGGUCGAGUGGGACCCCUCCUCGGACGGCAAGGAGAGGACUCAGUGAUGUUCUGGCUGGCCUUGCCCGGACAUCCGACCCCGACGAAGUCUUCCGCUAGUAUUUUUCUCUGUUGUUCUUGAAUUUUGUAAAACUCUGAUGUUGGAUUUUAUGGUUGAACUAAAAUGGGUAAAACUUGCUUAACUCAGUGGACUUGUUGUAUUCUCUGUAACCGCUCACCUUCGUGUGGGUUUGCUAGACUCGAUCCUGUUCAAGUGGUUAAAUCGGAUGAAAUCCGACGGCACUUCGUGUGAGCUCGGUUUAGGCAGGAGUGUCGCAUGUUAGGCGGCUUAACCCUGCUUAACCAAGCUAAUCCGAGGUGGUUCCGCCACAGUGUUGCUUGAUGGUGUUGUGUCAAGGUGGGUUUGGGAUGUGUGCUUGGAGCGAAGGUCUUUGCCCUUCGCCGGACAACGAUGAUGGUGACGCCUGUUGGUGCCACAUCCCUCUCUAUUGACAACUAUGGAUUGUAGGUUGCUGGGUAAUUUUGAGACGUAUGUUGAGUUUAAGAUCUUAUGUCGUUGUUUAUCACUUACUGGAUCUCUUUCUUCUUUCUUUCUUUAAUUCUUUUAUAUUUCCUUUUUUGACAAGGUUGUGUGUUGUUGCAUAUGCGGCUGGAAUCUAAGCUUUCUUCAUCCAAAAGAAGAUUAUAUAAAACAACCAGAAAGAAAUAAAGGGGGGCGGUUAAUCUCCUUCCCAAGGGGAUUGGAGGGGAUUUUGACUGGUAGGGGAUGUUUUGCAGGAGGAUGUGCACCUCAACAUAAGUAACAUAGAAUCUGUGGGUACACUUUUGACAACAUACCUUAAAACCACAUUGUAUGCAACAAUAACCUUGUGCAAACCAUAUAUAGCUAUGCCCACCAUUUUAUAGAACAAUGUUCAAUAGACUACCAUAUGCAUAUGGGCGUGCACGAUGGAUAUUAGACACAGAACAUAGUAGUAGUAGUAUAACUUGCACAAAACUACAUGCAUGAUCUUUUAUAUUUGAGCCAGCAAGUUCUUUCAAAAGAUAACCCACAAGAAAGCACGCACUGGUCUUCUUGUGCACUAUACGUUGGGUGUUGCAAUUGCUUAUAAUAAUCUCUUUUAUUUGUUCAGUUUGAACAACCGUGGCUAGGCACUUCCUAAAGUCUUCACUUCAAGUACUUGUCAAACCAGUCGAUCAUUAGGUCAAGAGCUUGCUCAGCAGUUUUGACAGCAAAAGGGUCGGUGGUAUUAUAUCUACAAGCAAAUCCAUGUGUAGUUCCUGGAAAGAUCUUGGCGUAGUAGGGAAUCUGCAAACAACCAUGCCACAAAAAUGAGCUUUUCUAACUGAUAUAUAGUAUCCUCUAUGACGGAAUCACUAGGAAUGCAGCUCUUCUUCUUCUUAAUAUAAAGAUACGCAGCUCUCCUGCGUAUUCUUGAAAAAAGGAAUCACUAGGAACUCACCUCUGUUCUAUGACGCAGUACACUCACAUACUUGUACACUAGUUCCGGCGGUGCCUCUGAGUCAUUUUGAGCUCCAAGGAUCUCGAUUGGACAUUUAACCUCUGUUUUGAAUAAUGAUCAUAUAGUUAGCAUAUAUAUGAAAUUAAGCAUUUAAAAGUUCAGUUCCAAAGACAUCUCAAUCGAUCGAUGCUGUCUGGGAGCUAGGUUGCAAACACAAAGAAAAGGAGCUAGCAAACCUUUCAUGUCAUCAGUAGUCACAAUGUAAGGAUGAGGUAUGGAAACUACUUUAACAUCACUGGUCUUCCCCAUCUCCACACUGAACUUUCCUGUCAGAUACUCGGCAAUAGAAGAUAAGAAUUGUAUGUUCUAUGUGUUGCCUGAAGAAGGAUUUUGGAAGCUGGAAUUUCACUCACCACCCCAGGAAUAACCUCCCGCCCCGAUGGACUUUCCUUCCUUUUCUAAAGCAGCAAAGAGUGGCUUGGCGUCUUUGGCAGCUUUCACCUGCCAGAUCGAUCGGAUACUCAUCAAAUCAAUAUAGUUUUCAACUAGGCUUUGGCUUGGCUAUCGAUCAUGGCCAACCCAAUUGGCCAUGAUUGGGUCACGACCAUGGCAGUAAGAUAUAUUAUUGACCACCUAAACCAAUUAUUUUCUCGACCACCUAACCCAAUUGUUGUCUCUUGCACUGUAUCUUUACAAAGCACUUUCUCGGGUCGUUCCCAUCGGCCAUCUACGACUGUGACGCCCUGAGAAUUGAAGCGCCCUUCCUCUCUAACACCACCACAACUGCUGGCCGAAUCGAUGGCGAGCGCCGCCACGAGCGUGAUGGGGUCCGUCAUCGGCAAGCUGACUGCCAUGCUCGGCGACAAGUACCAGCUGGCCAGAGACGUGGACCAAGGGAUCCAAUUCCUCAAGGAUGAGCUGAACACCAUUGAUGUCGUGCUGCAGAAGCUCGCAGACAAGGAAGACGACCAAAUGGAUCCAAUGGCUAAAGAUUGGAGGAACAAGGUGCGUGAGCUAUCCUUCGAUAUUGAGGAUUGCAUCGACCGCUUCAUGCUCAAUCACAGCCAUGGAGGUUCCAAUGCUAACUUCAUCGACCGCUUCAUGCGUAAGGUGGAGAUGUUGUGGAAGGACCAGGGCACAGCAGGGGAGAUCCAAAAACUCGAGAUACUCGUGAGAGAGCAGAGUGAGCGGGCAAAACGCUACCGCGUCGAUCCUCUCGCCGCCUCACCUCAGCCGGUGCGCUUGGAUCCUCGAGCAACUGCCCUCUUUCAGGAGGCGAGGGAUCCUGUGGGAAUUGAUGGUCCUCGCGAGGAAAUCAUCCAGCUAUUACAAGUUGAAGAAAAUCAGCACAAGGUGGUGUCCAUCUAUGGUACCGCUGGGCAGGGGAAGACUACUCUAGCCAUGGAGGUAUACCGAAAAAUCACAGGAGCAUUUGAUUGCAGGGCUUUCGUGUCUGUCUCUCAGACUCUGGAUAUGAAGAAUCUACUCAGAGAGAACUUUUUUUUAUUUUUAACCCUUUUUUUUCUUUAUUUUUAAAAAUAACCUCACCCGGGUUUAAUUUGCGCGGCGUGACCCUUUUGACCGCGCCAGACCGCCUGGUGCGGCAGGAACACGCUGCCGCGCCGCAUGCACUGGCGCGGCGGCCCCUGCCACGCUGGCGCGGCGAGUCGCGGCGCCAGGUGGGCGCUGACGUGGGCGGGGCGUUCGCCGCGCCAGCCCGCCUGGCGCGGCAGAGCCAGCACUAGAUCGACGCGCCGGCUCCCUUCCUCCUCCCUCCCUCCUUUCUUCCUCCUCCAGACACACCCGAGCCCAAGCUUGCAGCGCCGCCCCCCGCCGCCCCACCCCCAAAUCCACCCAAAAUCCGGCGUUUUUGGUGGGGGAAAGUAGUGGAAAUCGAUCCUUGCUUCGUGUGGAAGGUAUUCCCCUACUUAUUCUCGUGUUUUACCAUUGCAUUUGGUAGAUCGGAGGAUGUUUAGGUGACUUAGGGUUAGGUUAGUGAAGCGUCCCCACAUAAGUAGAGACUAAAUGUGAUACAAAUAUCAGUCCCAGGAGGCUGAUAGCACAUUUAUUCGACAGAUAAUUCAGUUACCGUACAACUCCUGAGGGAGUGGGCGUGAGAGCCACGCAGCGAUAAACAGUAAAUAAAUAACGGCGGCUAACCAAGCGACUGCCAAAAGACAGCACUCGGGACUACACGGCAGCAGCAGCAUCUUGGAAAGGCCAACACCACAGGCAGCGUCGGGUGCGGACACAACCUCUACUCAAGGUCCUCAACGACGAAGUCCGGGUCUUCCUCUGUAGCAACAAAGCAAGGGUGAGUACAAACGUACUCAACAAGUCCAACCCCAUCCACGGAGGGGGAUACAAGUAUAUGCACAGGUCACAACAAGGAUAGGCUAGAGUUUAUUUGCGGUAAAGCCAAAUUUUAACACAUGCAGGGGAUCGUUUUCGAAAGGGUUUUUGUAAAGUUUUCCUUUAGUACCCGAAAUAUUGGGGUGGGGUUGAUCCUACACAAGGGAUCCAAGUUUUUAUCGCUAUCGGACUCCUCGUCCGCCAUAGCACACAGCACAACUGCCGGACUCUUCCAAAAUCCAACACACACACACACAUGACAUUCUUGCCCAAUUGCUAGUUAUGUGACCAAGCCGUAACUCGUCCAAUGCCGUGGACACGGCUACCCGGAUAGGUUUUAACUCUGCAGAGAGUGUACACUUUUCCCACAAGUAGGGUACCGUAUCGCGAUCACCUUAGUGACGGUACGGAUCCUAACAAAGCCAUUACCCACCUUAGCUAAGACUGGCUAGCCCUCACGGAAACACCCAAGGGGUUCACGGCUCGUCCACGAGACCGUAACUGGGACCUAAGUCACCAAGAUCUUACUCCUUUUCCAUGGGCUCCCGUUGCUCACCAGCACCCCUGAGGACUAACAAUUCAGCUAGUGGGGUUUAUGCUAGGCCGUUGCCCAUACAACGGUCGAGUGGUUGCACGAUGGCGGAAUUAGGCAAGAUGACACAUCAACUCGGUCCUUAAUUACGACAAGAUGGAUAUCUCCCGACAUUGCUCAACCACCAAGGUACGAGCACAACAAACUAGCAUCCCACACAAGGAAUACCCAUCCAUCCUGUCUACACAUCCUUUUCCCUUGAACCCGAAAAGCCAUUUUUCUCACUUGCACACACACACGUUUAUUUUCCGAAAACACCAUGGUAAUAAUGAUUGCAGUUGAGUAAUAAAUUCCUAAGCGUUCUAGCAGUGGUUAUCAUCUAAACAGAGCAAGUCGUAUUUAGAGAUAAGCAUAGGAUAGCAAGGAAUGUUCAUAACAAUCAAGGGGUGGCUAUCCAACCAUGUCUUGCGAUGAAAUAAUAUGCAUUUUGUAAAACCGGCCAAUAGGUUGUGUUUGAAAAACUAGGUAUUAAGUAUGCAUCAAAGGGUGAGAUUGGACUUGCCGUCUUCAAAGCCUUCCGGGAGUUCCGGCUCGCGGUACUGGUCCUCGGGCUCGGGCUCGCGGUCAAACUCCUCCUCGGGCUCCUCCUCGGGUAAUUCGCGAUCUACGGCACACACAAACAGACACACAAAUAAAUAAAAGAGGAAACGGUUUUUAACCGUGAGCUCCGAACAGGAAACGUGAACGGAAAAUAGGUAGAAGGAUUAUUUUUGGGAAAUUUGGAUAUAGAUCGGCGGAAGUAUUCCUGAAGAUGACGUGGUGAAAUUUGGGUUUAAUUGGAGGAAGUUUGGCGCAUGAAAUGACGGGUUAAACAUGAAUUAGGGGCUUAAACGGAGGUUUAGGACUGAUUUAUAAUAAACCAGGGACCUAUUUGUAAAUACUUUUGGAGGUGGAGGGGCUUAUCUGUGAAAAGGCUAUGAGAGAGAUGGGGGAUCUAUGUGUAAUUUGGGGAAAGUUGGGGGUCAGAUCCAAAAUCUGGGUAUUCUUAUCCUCUUCUCCAGGAACUUGGAGAGAGGGAGAGUGGGGAGAGGAUAGGCCGGCGGCCGGCCGGCCGGGCUUCGCCGGCGGCGAGCCGUGGGCGGAGGGGCGGUGGAGGGAGUUGAGGGGGCCCCAUUUUGCCUCACCUCGGGCAGGUGGCGUUGGAGGAGUGGCGGGGCACCGGCGCCCGUGGGGCGGCGGCGGCGGCAGGGAUGCGGCAGCGGCGGAUUGGCGACGGGCGGCACAGGGGUGGAGGUGGCGAGCUGGGAGGGGAAUGGUUUGGCAAGGGAGGCCGGUCGUGCCCCUAUUUAUAGGCCGACGGGGUGGUGACCGGAGGUAGGGGCCGGUUACUGGCCGGCGGCGGAAGCUCGGCGGCCACGGCACCGGUGGCAUGCCGGGCAGGAGGUAGGGCCGGCGAGGCGGCGUGGUGCGGGGCCGAGACGGCCGGCACGGGAGGGCGGCGUGCGGGACCGGGGAGGCCGGCGCCGGAGUGGAUGGCGCAGGCGGCCGGGGACCGGACUGGGCGCGCGGUUCGAGGGAGGCAGCGGCGUGGCUGGCGCCGGGACGGGCGACGGGCCCCACACGCGGGGAGGCCGAGCGGCGUGGCGCCAGGAAGAAGGAAGAGAAGGAGAGAGAAGAAGGAAGGAGGAAGAAGAAGAAAGAAGGAGGAGGAAGAAGAAAGAGCGGCGUGGACUUACUUGCAAUUUCAGCCAUGGCAUCGAGACAAUGCUCUUCCCACAUUCUAUCACGUGUGGAAGCAUGUGCGGCCCGUUCGUGGCAAUCCGGAUAGGUGCUACAGGGCCUACACGAACGAGUUUGAUGUUCUCACGCACUACCAGGUAAUUUGCUAACCAUAGUUUUUUAAGCUAAUUUGCGUAUAAUCGUAGAUGAAAUAAGUAUUGCGUGAAAAUUUUUGAAGGUGGAGUGGAAAUCGUAUGACCGUGAGCAGCUUAGCCAUAUCGUCUUUUCACCGACGUGCUACAGAGACAGAGAGCUGUGGAGGUGCACGACCCCAAUGAUAUUGUACUACGUGGUAGAGUUUCAUAUGCCGCAUAGGGUGAUGCGGCAGUUUGGGAGGAUGCAACCGUGCCCUCCUUUGGAAUUAUCGACUUCGCAGCAGCUGCACAGGUACGCAGGAAUAAAUAACUAUUGGAGGCUAUUCAAUUAACGCAAUUAACAUGUUAUACUAAUACUUCACUAAUUUCUGAUGCAGUAUCGACCGCAGAAAGCGGUACAAGGAGAAUGAUUGGAGGUUGAAGCAUGGCCAGUACCUCCUCCUGUGGCAGAACAAGCAAGGAUGCGAUCCUGAAGGUGGACCGUACUGGCGACCAAACAAUGAGUACAUAAGAUGGUACUGUACUUCGACGAGAACCAAAGUGAAACCAUCUUGGACUAAUGUGCCCAUUGAGGAUGCACCGUCUGAUGAUGACGCUGACAUAGCUGACGCGUACGACACGGUGACACGCCAUGGGACACAGCCUGAGCGUGCACCUCUCCACGACUACAUGGUAAGAUUUCGGUUUGUAAUUAUAGUAUCGUCACAUUGAUCACUUAUGGAAUGAAAACUCCUGCGUGCAGGGACAGCAGCUUGCAAGGCUCUCAAACGAGGCGGGCGUGAUUAUGGAGCACGCUGUCGGGGAAGGUGAUAGUCUGCUUCGUGCUUUUGCAGAGGUAGAAGCCCAAACUAAUUUUCACUUAUACUCGUACUAUCUUUGUAACCAUCAAUAACAUAGUCGUGAAUAUAUGGCAGAGGGUUCGUAAAAGUUGCAGGCGAAUGGCUAUGAGGAUGAACUGCAUGACAUCCUCAGAUGCGCACGACGGGGGCAAUGUCCAGGGUACUUCUUUAGGAUCACGUCGGACUGCAUUGGCGACUACCCCCAGGGCUGCAACACCGUCCACUGCGGCAGGUCCUAGCAGGAGAUCGCGAGGUAAGGAACCCGCAUCCCCUCAGGAAAGCGAGGACUCUGAAGGUGAGCAGUCUGAGGAUGAUGACCCUACGUAUGGUGAGGAACUCGAGAUUUCUCACGAUGCUCCACCUGUGACUCAGACGCAGGGAGAGUCCAGCCAGGUAUAUUCACAAGUUUCUCCAAAUUCAAUUAUACAUUUUAAUGUUCGCUCCCGAAGUGUCAUACAAAUUUUAUGAUUUGUGCCCAAUUAUUUCAUAGGAACCUACAACUCGUACCCGGUUGCCACGCCGGCGUCAUCGUUCCCGGGACCACAUCGACGUUGGCAGCGCCAAUGUGCUGCCCACGCAUCCAAGGAGGGAGCGUCGCCCAAGAGAUCCUUUUAGCCCUCCGGAUGAGCGGCGGUCACGACACUGAACCUAGCAUGUCCCAAGACUUUUGGAACCAUCACGUGUGUAAAAGACUAAGUUGGUUGUUAGGUUUAUUCAUGUCACGUUUGUAAAAGACUAAGUUGGUUGUUACAUUUUUUUUAUGUCCGUACAAUGUUAUAUGUUUGCUCCAUGAUGUACUUGUAGUUCGUGUAUUUUUUCGUAAAUGUUCAGAACAAAAAUACGUUUCGGAUUGUGCAGCGCGGUCCUGACGCCCCACCCUCCUAGGCUGAAACCUACUGAAAGGUUACUAAAAUUGACGCCCCAUCCCCCCCGGAAACCUACUGACCCCCCGCCCGAAACCUACUGAAAGGUCGUUGCGUUUGGCGCGGCACCUGACUCCUGCCGCGCCAGGUGGCCUGGCGCGGCAAGACCCCCCCCCCCCCCCGACCGAAACCUACUGAAAGUUUGGUGCAGUUGGCGCGGCAACUUCCUCCUGCCGCGCCAGGCCGGUUGGCGCGGCACCUUACUCCUGCCGCGCCAGGCCGCCUGGUGCGGCAAGAGUCCCCCCCGACCGAAACCUACUGAAAGUUUGGUGCAGGUGGCGCGGCACCUCAAUCCUGCCGCGCCAGGCCGCCUGGCGCGGCAAGGACCCCCCCCCCCCCCCCCCCCCCGCCCGAAACGUACUGAAAGUUUGGUGCAGUUGGCGCGGCACCUCAGUCCUGCCGCGCCAGGCGGCCUGGCCCGGCAAGGCCCCACCCGAACCCUUGUGGCGGUUCGUUUUGUUUGCCGCGGGACGGCCCCCACCAACCGAACUUUCAGCGGCAAGCCCCCUCCCCUGCCACCAGCGCAUUUCUGCUUCGCCAGGCGGAGUGGCGCAGCAAGCCCGUGGUUAGGAUAGAGAAUAAUAUUUAUUAGUAGGCCCGGUAAUUCUGGCUACAUUUAACACAAGGCACAUGGUACUGACAAGACGCCCACAAAGUGUUCUGCAAUAGGAUUAGAUCAGACCGGUGCGCAAUCAUGGAUAAGAAUAACACACACGUGCAUUAAAUGUUAGGGGUACGUAUUUCCCCAUUCGUACUUCGUCUUCUACUAUUAUUGCAUCACAAAUACCUUCAAGUACACCCGCUCUACCAGCGCUAUGCCUUCCUCCUCUUCCACCGCCCACUCCUCCUCGUCCUCCAUCCAAAUCAUCGAUCCCAUCGAAGCUACUACUAUUUUUUUCACACUCUAGCGCUGACUACUAGCUCGGAGAGGAAACUUUGAUGCGUUUGGACAUAGUUCUCUCGGAAAUGAAAAUAGUUUUUGACAACUAAUUGUAGUUCCCAGAAUAAACAUAAACAUAAUUUUCUCAUAAAAGAACAUAGUUUUCACAGCUACAGAGAAACAUGAUCCAGCUACAUCAACACGUUCAUCUAGUCCGAGUCACCUUCAUAUAGUAACUCGUCGUCAUCAUCAUCAUCAUCAUCAUCAUCUCCGGCAACAACAACUCCCUUGCGUUUCUUAUCGACAUUAACCUUACCAACAGGUAAAUCGGCAACAAGAGCCUUCAUCGUCUCCAUCUGUGCCUCUUCCGCUUUUUGUUGUAACUCUUCCAUUUCAAGCCUUCUUUUUCUUGCCCUAACUUUCUGCAAAUAUUGUUCCCAUGAACCCUCAGGGUAUUUCACAUUCGGAUCAACCACAUAACCUAAGCGAUCUCUUUCCUCCCUCAACCUUUGUUUCUCCAACUCCCUCUCCUCCUGCAACUUUCUCCUAUUUUCUCUCCUCUCAUUUUCAGUUAGAGGUCGUGGAUACUUGGAUCUAUUUUGCCUCCAAUACUUAAUAAUAGUUUCCCUUGCAUAAAGUCCUUUAGGUUCCACUCCAGUCUCAUGCACCAUAUCUUGAUAUAUUUUCCCCCAAAGCAAGUCGUCGUCAGGAAUAGGCACAUCAUACUUCUUCCUAAUCUUUUCUUUAAUUUCUUGUUGUUUCCUUGACUUCCAUGGUUCCGAUGUAUUUCCCAACUUUAAUAACAAAUCAUAUCGACCACAAAAAUCUUCCCAAUCACAUGUCCUUCCCUCCUGCAACAACAAUUCAAUAUUCCUUACAAAUUUGAAACAAGUUACAACCUUCAUAAAACAUAAGAGACGAGUAGUUACUAACCCAGUAAUCGCCAUGUGCAUUUCCACAGAACGAACCAUAUCCAAGUUCAGAAGGCACCACACCUUCUGUUGCCAAUAUACCACACUUGCAUCUAUCACUAGGAGAGGACACACAUGGCCACGGUGCAUUUUCACUUUCAAACUCCCGCACUUCCUCCUCUGUUGGCCACAUUGCCAUUGGGCCGUAUAUAUACUCAUUGAAAUCACACAACGGCCACCCAUCCUGCAAAAAACCCAUGACGUGAACUACUCAUAUGUAAAGUAACUACAAAACGCUGCUCCAACUUCCAAGCAAUAACAUCAAGUUAAAGUAUGAACAAUAUACUGCAAAAUUAUAACUGCUAGCUAAACGACAUACUAAUAUUCUCGUAAUAUACUUACAUGAGUCUUUAGGGAGCAUCGAAAGAAUGGAGUAAACUUAGGUGGAUCCCCUAAGUUAGGACGCAUAAGCUUAGCAGGAACACCACACUUGCACAUGGGAGGAUCCCUCACACGCCUACAAGCAGCCUCCUGCUUCUCCUCCUCGGUCAUCCUAGGUGGGUUUGGUGGAGGAGGAACCCAACGCCUAAACUGAUGGUAUGGUUUAAGCUCUGUGCUAUGAUAUGUGAAUAGGUGGAUCCUAGGAUCAUAUUUGUCGGGUCCAUCGAUCCACUGAAAGAAAUCACAAGGUGCGGCAGGCAGUGGAUCAAAAGUCCAUUUGCAUACAUAGAAGGCUCUUCCGGCUGUCUUUGGAUGCCUUGAUUGUUUCACCUCUGCUUGCGCGCCACAUCUACAAAGAGGUACCGGAAGGGCAGGAGGUACGGGACCAGCACCAUUGGACUCGCCCACAUAACGCACAUACCACCUACGCCGUUUGUAUUCACAACCAAACAACGCCAUCUCACCUGGAAAUCAAGUGCAACAAAUUUAAUACACAAAUAAACUUUACACACGUAAUCCAUACUAGCUAUAUACAUCAUUUUGAUAAAAUGUAAACACUCGAUCUACAAAAUACAAACACUGAAACAAAAAUGAGACUAAUUAAUUGAAGAUAUAAAAAAAAUACAUGUCAUGUAAACCACACAAUUGGAUGAAUAUAUACCUAAAUCGAAGCAUUCAACAAGUUCUACACGUCAAUAUCGCGGGCAGAGACUCAAUUGCGUAUGAACUACGUAUCAUCUAACACAAAACACCAUUGCAUUUCAUUGAAAUUUCAAAUCACUAACCUAACCCUAAGUCACCUAAACAUCCUCCGAUCUACCAAAUGCAAUGGUAAAACACGAGAAUAAGUAGGGGAAUACCUUCCACACGAAGUAGGGAUCGAUUUCCACUACUUUCCCCCACCAAAAACGCCAGAUUUUGGGUGGAUUUGGGGGUGGGGCGGCGGGGGCUGGCGUUGCAAGGUGCUGCUGUGUGGUGUGUCUGGAGGAGGAAGAAAGGAGGGAGGGAGGAGGAAGGGAGCCGGCGCGUCGAUCUAGUGCCGGCCCUGCCGCGCCAGGCGGGCUGGCGCGGCGAACGCCCCGCCCACGUCAGCGCCCACCUGGCGCCGCGACUCGCCGUGCCCGUGCAUGCGGCGCGGCAGCGUGUUCCUGCCGUGCCAGGCGGUCUGGCGCGGCCAAAAGGGUCACGCCGCGCAAAUUACACCCGGGUGAGGUUAUUUUUAAAAAUAAAGAAAAAAAGGGUUAAAAAUUAAAAAAAGUUCACUCAGAGAUAUAUUGUCUCAAAUAGUAAGCAAGAAUGAGUUUGACCAGUUGUAGUCGGAAAAUUGGGAGACGCUGCAGCUCAUAUGCAAAAUGAGAGACUACUUAAUUGGCAAGAGGUAACCAGAAAUACUUUCUUGUACUAUAAUAAUUAGCCAGUUCAUCUAGCUAUGGCAAUGUUGUGAGGUCUUUGUCAAUCACAUGAGCUCACCUAAUUUAUCGGCCAUUUUACGAUUGUAUUUUACGGACCCAUUCGAGCACUACGGGAAACCUCAAAGUCGCCGAGUGUAAUUACUUCACCGAGUGCAUUUUUUCGGGCACUCGGUGAAGGACCUUUUUGCCGAGUGUAAUAUCAAAAACACUCGGCAAAAAUCAAACACUCGGCGAACGACCGGUUUGCCGAGUGCCACCCAAAAAACACUCGGCAAACAUCCAAGAGACACUCGGCAAAGUUGGACACUCGGCAAACUGACGACCACGUGACUUCCCCGUGCCGCCGCCGGCAGCCCUCCGUGACGGACGUUAGUCUUUGCCGAGUGUCAAUGGAGGGCACUCGGCAAAGGCACUAGUUUGCCGAGUGUCAUGAUGGGACACUCGGCAAAGUGGCCUGUAUGCCGAGUGCUAGGGGGCACACUCGGCAUACUAUAGGGUUUGCCGAGUGUCUUUUGACACACUCGGCAAAAAUAAUUUUUUUUCCCUCCUCCACCCUCCAAACUUUUUACACUCCACAUGUAUGGCAUUUGGCACUGCAUGGUAGAAGAUGGACUAUUUUUUGACCUGUUUGCUAUAUUUAAUCAAUUAAUUUCAUUUAGAGUAAUUUUUUGAUUUAAGUCAAAUUUGAACUGCAGGUGGUUGGAAUAAUGGAAUAACAUGAGUGGAAAAAUCAUAUUCAUGUUAGUGAGUCCAAAUUGAGGUCUCACCCAGAAAAUGAAAAGAAAUUUCGAACAUUUUGCUAAGGAAACACGACUACGAACGUGUGGCCAAAUGAUUGUUUAAUUCUCAAAAAUACAAACGAAGUUUGAAAAUCAUGAGAUUUUGCAAGAUGCUAUGAUUUCGUAUGCAGAGGCUGUGGUAAAAAAUUGACAAGGUUUCGCACAAGUUUUGACAUAUGAUGUUUAGAAUUCGAAGCAUCUACCGAGAGGAUUCGUAGAAGUUGAAAGGAUCCGGUAAGAUUUUGAGACGAAUCGAUACAUGUAUUUUUCAUUGAGUCCAAUCUUUUUUAUAGGCUAUAGAGAACAUAGAUUGGUUCAUGUCAAAUUUUGGGAAUUUUUCAGAUCCGUUUGGUAAUUUUUAUUCAUUAAUUGCAUGUAUAUAAAUUUAAUAGAUAUAAAUUUAAUAUGAGCUAUAAAUCCAUGAAAUGAUGGAACAAUAUUACUUAAAAAAUGAAAUACGCAAUGUUUAGUGAAUUUGACUAGGUUUUUGCAAACUUUACAAUCUUUUAAUUACUAAAACUAGUUUCACAUGAAAUAAUAGUACUCAUUUGCCGAGUGUCAAGGGAUGGCACUCGGCAAAGAGCCUAUUUGCCGAGUGUCCAAUUUGGGACACUCGGCAAACAUCGCCGCGGUCCACCUGCCAGCCCCCUGCGAAAUCUGAAUAAAAAAAUUAAAAAAAAAUGUUUGCCGAGUGCUUAUGAUCUAGCACUCGGCAAAGGCUUUGCCGAGUGCUAGAUCAUAAGCACUCGGCAAACAUCGCCGCGGUCCACCUACCAGCCCCCUGCGUAAUCCGAAUAAAAAAAUUAAAAAAAAAUGUUUGCCGAGUGCUCCUGAUCUAGCACUCGGCAAAGGCUUUGCCGAGUGCUAGAUCAGGAGCACUCGGCAAAGUGGCCUUGGCAGCACUUAGCCACGCACGCACACGCCCGGCCACACGCACGCACGCCUUGGCAGCACUUAGCCACGCCCGCAGCCGCCCCGGCCCCUGCGCCCGCGCCGCCGCCGCCGCCCGCCCGGGCCGGGAUAAGGCCCCGACCUCCCCUGCGGCCCCGGCCGGCCUCCCCUGCGCCCCCGGCUGGCCUCCCGCGCCGGCCCCCCACGGCCGUCCUCGUCCGGCCGUUCGGCCGCCGCACCGUCCCCCGGCCGCCCCUCCGGUAAGUUGAAAAUAUUAGAGAAUGCAUGAUAACAUUGCAAAGAAUAGAGGAAGAGUAGAAAUUAGAAAAUGUUGAUUCUUCCUUGAAUGGAAAAAUAUUAGAGAAUAGAGGAAGAAUAGAGGAAGAAUAUUAGAGAAUAGAGGAAGAAUAGAGGAAGAAUAUUAGAGAAUGCAUGAAUGGAAGAGAGGUGUGGUUGGUAAUAGAGAAAAUGUUGAUUCUUCCUUGAAUGCACGGUAACAAAUUAGAAAAUGUUGAAAAGAAUAGAGGUGUGGUUGGUUGUGGUUGUGGUUGUUGGCCAUCGUGCCAACUCUUUGGUGAGAUUGUGGUUGUCGGCCAUCGUGCCGUUUCUUAUGUUGCAGGUUUUGGAAAGCUCCCCGUGCAGGGGAGAUGCUGCCGAAAUUUUGACUUAAACAAUGCUUUGUUUCUUUUGUUGCAGGAGAGGCUUACAAGGACCGUCCUCGACUCGUCACUUUGCAGGAUAGCAAGGUGAGGCAUGCUACACCUCUAUUUCCGUAUAAUGUUUGUAUAUCACGUAACCUAGUUAGGCGUCUCCCGUUCGAAAGAGAUACGGUUGGAAAUAUGCAGAUCUUUGCAUAUCUAUAAUCGUAUCUGUUUCAAAUUGUCCACGUUUUUUGGACAGCCCGAGGAUGUGUAGGUGGGUUUAGUAUCCACGGUCUACUCCGACCCGAGAUAAAAUUUCGGCAGCACCUCCCUGUUGUUCUCUAGAUACACAAUCUCCUAUCAUGGACGUGUAUUUGGAGAACAGCGGGGAGGUGCUGCCGAAAUUUUAUCUCGGGUUGGAGUAGACCAUGGAUACUAAACCCACCUACACAUCCUCGGGUGGGAUUAGGACCUAUCUUUACCUAGUAGACAAUAUAGGAAUGUGUAUAUGCAAUGUGAAUUUUGUAUUACUUAUUUAAAUGGUAGAGGAUGGAGGAUCGUCAGUGGAUGUACACGGGUCGCACUAGUCAGAAUACGUUGACCAAUGAAUGGCUUGACAAGACGGAUGCUUUCUUGGAACGGGCGUUUGCAAGUGUCAAUGGAGCUCGAUCGACUUGGUGUCCGUGCAGCAAAUGUGGAAACAUGCGUCGGCAAACCAAGCUAGACAUGGGCAAACAUCUGGUGAAGAACGGAUUUACGUCAGACUACACCAGGUGGAUCUACCAUGGUGAAUCUGACCGUGGGAGAGAGGAGGUCUUGAGACAACGCAUCGAGGAAUUUGAUGAUGAUGCCGGGGUGGGAGACAUGUUAAAUGACUAUCAUGAAGCACACUUCGAAGAGGCACGUAGGGAGGAGGAGCCAGAGGCUACCGCUAAGGCUUAUUACGAAAUGUUGUCUGCGGCACAGCAACCCCUUCACGGCCAUACCAAGAUUUCUCAGCUAGAUGCCAUUGCACGCCUAAUGGCUGUGAAGUCUCAGUUUAGUUUGAGUCGAGACGCGUUUGAUAUUAUGUUGACAGUUUUUGGAAGCCUGCUCCCGGUUGGUCACAUCUUGCCAAAGAGCAUGUAUGAGGCACAGAAACUCCUUCGUGCACUUAAGAUGCCAUACGAGCAUAUACAUGCUUGCCCGAAGGGAUGCAUCUUAUUUAGAAAAGAGUAUGCGGAAGCAAAAUACUGUGUGAAGUGUGAAUCGUCUAGAUUUCUGGAGGUUGACUAUGGUGACGGUCAGAAAAAGCAGCUCGCAAUUCCUGUGAAGGUUCUACGGUAUCUUCCUUUCAUACCGAGGAUCCAACGGCUUUUCAUGACUGAAGAAUCCGCGAAACAGAUGACAUGGCACAAAAAUAGCCGUUGCUAUAAUCCUGAGAAGCUGGUACACCCAUCCGAUGCUGAAGCCUGGAGAAGCUUUGAUGCGAUUUAUCCUGCAAAAGCUCUAGAGGCCCGUAACGUACGCAUUGCGUUGGCAACUGAUGGGUUCAAUCCCUAUGGAAUGGCGGCCGCCCCGUACACCUGUUGGCCCAUUUUCGUUAUCCCCCUGAAUCUCCCACCCGGCGUCCUAUUUCAACGACAUAAUAUAUUCUUGUCGUUGAUAAUUCCAGAGCAUCCGGGGAAUAAUAUGAGUGUGUAUAUGGAGCCUCUGAUUGAUGAUUUGCUCCGUGCUUGGGAGGAAGGGGUAUGGACCUAUGACCGAUCCACAAAGACAAACUUCAAGAUGCAUGUUUGGUACCAGUACUCACUGCAUGACUUGCCGGCAUAUGGGAUUUUCUCCGGAUGGUGUGUUCACGGGAAGUUCCCAUGCCCAAUAUGUAAAGCAUCUUUGAAGUUCAUUUGGUUGUCGAAAGGUGGCAAAUAUUCUUCGUUCGACAAACAUCGACAAUUCCUCCCUCCUGACCAUCCAUUUAGACGAGACAUGAAGAAUUUUACCAAAGAUGUUGUAGUUACAGCCCCCGCACCACCGAUGAUGACAGGGGCCGCAGUUCGUGCUCAGUUAGACGCUCUUGAGUUCAAUAAUGAAGAAGGUGGUUUUUUGGGAUAUGGCGCGCAACAUGCUUGGACGCAGAAGUCGUGCUUGUGGAAGCUUCCCUAUUUUGAUGAUCUCCUUGUUCCACAUAACAUUGAUGUAAUGCACACGGAAAAAAAUAUCGCCGAGGCAAUUUUUGGUACAAUAAUGGACAUUCCUGACAAGACAAAGGAUAACGUUAAGGCUAGAGUGGAUCAAGCGACAUUGUGCAACAAACCACAGCUAAACAUGGCGCCUCCAAGAGCUGGCAAGUCGUGGAGAAAGCCUAAGGCCGAUUUCAUUCUGACGAGGGCCCAAAGGAGGGAGGUUCUAGAAUGGUUCCAAACAUUAAUGUUCCCUGAUGGCUAUGCAGCGAACUUGAAGAGGGGAGUGAAUUUAGCAACUAUGCGAAUCAACGGGCUCAAGAGUCAUGAUUACCAUAUAUGGCUUGAGCGCCUCCUUCCGGUGAUGGUUCGAGGCUAUGUCCCUGAGCAUGUGUGGCAGGUGCUAGCGGAGUUGAGCAAUUUCUUCCGCCGGCUUUGUGCGAAGGAGUUAUCUCGUACCGUGGUUGCAGAAAUGGAAACAAUGGCGCCUGUGUUGCUCUGUAAGUUGGAGAAGAUCUUUCCUCCAGGCUUCUUCAAUCCAAUGCAGCAUAUGAUUCUACACCUCCCGUAUGAAGCACGAAUGGGGGGGCCUGUGCAGGGUCGUUGGUGCUACUCAAUUGAGAGAUGUCAAAAGGUUCUUCGAACUAAAUGUAAGAAUAAGUGCAAAAUUGAAGCAUCCAUUGCAGAGGCAUACAUUCUGGAGGAGGUGUCAAACUUCACAUCGAAAUACUACGCUGACAACCUUCCUAGCGUGCAUAAUCCACCUCCUCGUUACAAUGCUAGUGAAGAUGAAUUAAGCCUUAGCAUUUUCCGAGGGCAACUCGGAAGUGCAAGUGGUGCGACCCUCAAGACCCUUAACCAUGAAGAGUGGCGCUCUAUCAUGCUGUAUGUGUUGACCAACCUAUCUGAAGUGGAGCCGUACAUGAUGUAAGUCAUCGACAAACUUGUUUCGACGUAUUAAUGGUAUCUCUUGCCUAAACGUAUCUUUCUUGUUGGUAUAGGCAAUUUCAUCGUCAAUUCUGGCAUAAAUCAAGGCAACCGGCCCCGCACGAAGCUGAGACUCUUCUUAAAGAGGGUGCGGGAAAUGGAAUGCCCGAUUUCAUUUCUUGGUUCAAACAGAAGGUACAAUUUCAUUUCUUCGAACAUUCUCGUUCUCGUCCGAUAUAGAUUUCAACCCAGACGACCCGUCCGAGGCGUACAGCCACCCUAGCAUACACAGCCGCGUCAGCGAGUACACAAAGAUGGCUAGGGAGGUUCACGGGCCAGACUUUGAUCCGAGCUCCGAGGACAUUGAUGGACAAAUCGUGAUGAGGGUGGGAGGAGGCAAGAAGCAUGGCCGAUAUUGGAUUGGCGACGGCGUCAUCGACACGGCCUCUACUCCCACUCUCUCCCAGAUUCGAGCUAGGAGCACGGACUCGAGCCCGGCGGUACGCCCAUGACCCACCGCUGCAUAGUUCCAGAUGGAGGCUCUACAGGUUCUUUCUCUUCCAUUCAUCGUUCGUUUGUUGUUGUACUUUAGCUUUGCAUUAUAACAUUGCAAUGAAAUAUUGUAGGCCCAGGUGGAAGAAUCAAGGAAGAAACAAGAGGAGAUGGCGGCGCAGAUGGAGGAAAUGCGGCGGAGGAUGAAGGAGGAAAACCGGAUUAGGAUGGAGCAGAUGUUCCAGUACAUGCAGAACUUUGCUUCGAGCAUGGGACAGUCUUUGCCUCCGCCACCGCCGAUGAUGUUCCCUCCGCCUCAGCCACCCACGACUACUCCUGUGAGUCACUUGACACAUUGUGCUUAAGAUUCAAUAGUUUAAAUUUGACAACUUUAGAUGUUACCUCAGAAUGUCCUAUCCUAUGUGCAGAAUCAAUCGGCGGCUUCGAAUAAUGAAGAUCAAGAUUUGUCGCAGUGGUCUCCUUGGCCUCCACGGAAGUAGACUUGGUUGUGAACAAUGUGGAAACUAAAUUGUGACAAGAACUUGGAUUUAUGGAUUAUUUCGUGCUUAUGUUGAAUUAUGCCUGUGAUGUUUAUGAAUUAUGCCUGUGGUUGUGAAUUAUCCAUGUGAUUGUUUAUUACAAAUGCCUGUGAUAUGUGUAUUGUGAAUUGAGAGGGGUCCGUUAUACGUGGCAAAAUGUCGAAAAAGGGGCGGUUCUGGUCACUUUGCCGAGUGUAACACUCAGCAAAGAGGGGCCUUUGCCGAGUGUUUUGGCCUUAACACUCGGCAAAGGGGCAUUUCCCAGGUGUAGGAAAGGUCCUUUGCCGAGUGUUUUGGCCUUAACACUCGGCAAAGGGGUAUUUCCCAGGUGUAGGAAAGGUCCUUUGCCGAGUGCUAUGGUCAAGGCACUCGGCAAAGGGGCAUUUUUUGCCGAGUGCUAUGGUUAGGGCACUCGGCAAAGGGGGCCGCUUUGCCGAGUGCCCGGGACCCGGCACACGGCAAAGGGGGCCGGUUUGCCGAGUGCCCCGUGGAUGACACUCGGCAAAGGUCCGGUCUUUGCCGAGUGUUGGCACUCGGCAAAGACCCGGUGUUUGCCGAGUGCCUCCCGUUUGGCACUCGGCAAACCCGCCGUUACCCCGACGCCGUCAGUCCGCAAUUCGCCGAGUACACCUUUUCGCUGAGUGUUUUUUGGCCGUCGGCAACAUGUUUGCCGAGUGUUCGAGUUUUGACACUCGGCGAACUAGUCUUUGCCGACCACAUAUGCAUUUGUUACAUGAUUCCUCAACCAAUAUAAUGCAUGCAGGUACUUCAUCUUGAUUGAUGAUAUCUGGAAUGUAUCAGAUUGGGAGCUUGUAGAAGCUGCCUUACCUCGCAAUGACAACGGAAGCAGAAUAAUUACUACAACACGCAGUAAAACAGUAGCCGAAACAUGUGCUGGUAUUGACGCACAAAUGUACAAAGCAAAGCCACUUGGUGAUGACGAAUCUCGCAGAUUAUUCUUUAAAAGGCUAUUUCACUCAACUGAACAUUGUCCCCAAGAUUUGAUGGCAGUAUCCAGUGAUAUUUUGAGGAAAUGUGGGGGAUUACCAUUAGCCAAAUCAGUAUAGCUGGUUUAUUAGCAAACAGAAGCCAAACCAAGGAAGUCUGGGUCAAUGCAUUGAAGUAUAUUUCUGCUGCAGUUGACAAAGAUUCUCACAUUGAUAAAAUGAAAAGAAUUUUUCUGCUUAGUUACUUCGACCUUCCUCUUCAUCUAAAGAGCUGUAUGUUAUAUCUGAGCGUGUUCCCGGAGGAUUAUGUGAUUGAUUGGAGCCGGUUGAUAUUGUUAUGGGUAGCCGAAGGACUGAUUCCUGGACAAGGCAGAGAAAAUAUGGAGCAGCUUAGGAGGAGUUACUUGAAUGAAAUUAGAGGCUUGGUCCAGCCAACCAAGGUUGGGGCAGAUGGCGCAACAGCGAAAGAGUGCAGAGUUCAUGAUGUCAUACUUGAGUUUAUUGUAUCAAAGGCUGUGGAGGACAAUUUUGUUACUAUAUGGAAUUGUAAUGGGUUUUCUGAAAAUUAUUCUUCUAACAAGAUUCGCCGUUUAUCUAUCCAAAAUGGCAUUUCUAGGCGGUCUAAAGAGAUGGAGAGGAUAAAAGAACAUGCAACUCAUAUUCGAUCAAUUAAUAUUUUUGACCCUAAUUCAGUGCUGCUAAUUAAAAACACCUCUAUGUUUUUAAGUAGCCAAGUCUUGCGAGUGCUGAAUACAGAAACUCAGGAUGAGUUACUUGAAGAAGAUUGCUAUCUUGGACAUGUCAAAAGUUUUGGUCAAAUGAAGUACUUGAGGUUAAAAUUUUGGUCAUCAAUAUGCCACUGCAAACUCCCAAAAGAUAUAGAAAAGCUGCAACAUCUAGAGACACUAGAUGUUAGGAAUACCCGCAUUAAAAAACUACCGGCUAGCAUUACCCAACUGCAGAGAUUAGUGCGUUUUCUUGUCAAUGCUGAGGUAAAACUACCUGAUGGGAUUGGAAAUCUGCAGGCAUUGGAAGAGCUAUCAUUGAUCGGGUUGAGUUUUCAAACUAUCAAGUUUAUCCUGAGUUGGAAUUUAUUGGGAGUACCCUUAUGCAGUAGUACGUCACGUGGACGUGGAAGUAUGUAUCUCGUCACUCUCCAAGCUUAUCACAACCCUUCGAAAACUGCACGUCGUGGAUGCUCCAUUCAUGUCUUCGUGUGGCUCUACUCCACCACCCCUUCGGAGGCUCAUCUUUUACGGACGUGGUGGACCAUCAAAUCAUCAGCUCAGCAGUCAAGGAUUCCAGCAUUUAUAGUCAAGUCUAAUUUCGUGUGUGCUGAUGAGGGGGUGUUGGAGUUUGAGCCAGGAGCCAAGAUUAAUUAUGAGCACGGGGUCAAGUUGUGGCUGGUGGCACGGGGUCAGUUCAAUUAUGAGCAAGGCGGCCUGGUCCUUGGGCUGCAGAAUCUGGCAGGCCUCAGACAUGUUGCUCUUACUAUUGACUGUGCGUGAUUUGGAGGAUGACAUCAGGGUUGCAGCAGGCGCCCAUCCCAACUGUCCCAUGGUCCAGCUGGUCAAAAAAGUACGUCAAGAUUGUAUGGCUCAAGGGUGCAGCAGGCGCCCACGCAACCAUCCCAUGCUAGAAGCACAAUGACCAAGUAAAUGCAUGGUGUGGAGAAUAAAUAUCAUUAUCAAUGAUGAUCUUUUUUUUCCUGUUUCAAGAGCACGUUGGAAUUAAACAAGGUUAAUUCGAUUUGUUUUCAUCUUAGUUUUUGCUUUAUGACAACAUGUGUGCGCAUGCAGAUUGGCCUCUCGGAUCUAUGGAGUGCUGAUAUGUGUUGCUUGAUAUGAUGGUGUUGUGUCGAGGUGGGUUUGGGAUGUGUGCUUGGAGCGAAGGCAUUUGCCCUUCGCCGGGCCAACGAUGCUGACACCUGUUGGUGCCACAUCCCUCUCUAUUGACUACGAAGGAGUGACUACGUUAAGCUCUUCCUCCAUAUAUGGAUUGUAGGUUGCUACGUAAUUUUGAGACGUAUGUUGAGUUUAAGAUCUUAUGUUGUUUAUCACUUACUGGAUCUCUUUCUUCUUUCUUUCUUUUAUAUUUCCUUUUGACAAGGUUGUGUGUUGUUGCAUAGGCGGCUGGAAUCUAAGCUUUCUUCAUCCAAAAGAAGAUUAUGUAAAACAACCAGAAAGAAACAAAAGGGGGGCGGUUAAUCUCCUUCUAAGGGGAUUAGGGUGGGGGGAUUUUGACUGGUAGGGGAUGUUUUGUAGGAGGAUGUGCACCACAACAUAAGUAACAUGGAAUCUGUGGGUACACUUUUGGCAACAUACCUUCAAACCACAUUCUAUGCAACAAUAAUCUUGUGCAAACCAUAUAUAGCUAUGCCCACCAUUUUUAGAACAAUGUUCAAUAGACUACCAUAUGUAUAUGAACGUGCACGAUGGAUAUUAGAGACAAAACAUAGUAGUAGUAUAACUUGCACAAAACUACAUUUAUGAUCUUUUGUAUUUGAGCCAGGAAGUUCUUUCAAAAGAUAACCCACAAGAAAGCACGCACUGGUCUUGUUGUGCACUAUACGUUAGGUGUUGCAAUUGCAUAUAAUCUGUUUUAUUUAGUUAGUUUGAACAACCGUGCAUGGCUAGGCACUUCCGAAAGGCUUCACUUCAAGUAAUUGUCAAACCAGUCGAUCAUUAGACCAAGAGCUUGCUCAGCAGUUUAUAUCUACAAGCAAAUCCAUGUGCAACUCCUGGAAAGACCUUGGCGUAGUAGGGAAUCUGCAAACAACCAAUGCCACAAAAAUGAGCUUUUCCAACUGAUAUAUAGUAUCCUCUAUGACGGAAUCACUAGGAACUCACCUCUGUUCUAUGACGCAAUACACUCACAUACUGGUACACUAGUUUUGGCGGUGCGACUUCGUCAUAUUGAGCUCCAAGGAUCUCGAUUGGACAUUUAACCUCUGUUUUGAAUGGUCAUAUAGUUAGCAUACGAAAUUAAGCACUUAAGUUCAGUUCCAAAGACAUCUCAAUCGAUGCUGUCUGGGAGGUUGCAAACACAAAGAAAAGGAGCAAACCUUUCAUGUCAUCAGUAGUCACAAUGUAAGGAUGAGAAAUGGAAACUACUUUAACAUCACUGGUUUUCCCCAUCUCUACACUAAACUUUCCUGUCAGUUACGCGGCAAUAGGAGAUAAGAAUUUUAUGCUCUGUAUGUUGCCUGAAGAAGGAUUUUGGAAGCUGGAAUUUCACUCACCACCCCAGCAAUAACCUCCCACCCCGAUGGACUUUCCUUCCUUUUUGAAAGCAGCAAAGAGUGGCUUGGCGUCUUUGGCAGCUUUUACCUGCCAGAUCGAUCGGAUACUCAAAUCAAUAUAUUUUCAACUCAUGAUGCAAUGAGCAUAAGAUGAAAUUUGAAAGGGACAUGGAACAGACCUGGGAGUGGAGCUUGAUCCACUCUGAAAUGUUUUUACUUGAGUCUAAAUAAUCUCCAUUGAAGAAAUCAGGCACCACAACAAAGUAUCCAGCCUCGCUAACUUUAUCGGCUAUCUGUCUGCAUCAUUAAAAGAUCAAGAAAGGGAUGAACAAUAGCUAGUACAGAGAGGGAUUCUUGCGUCGUUGUACUCCAAACAAAAUGCAAUCUAUCUCAUAUGAGAAUUAACUUUCACUGGAUUGUCUUUUUUUUGGAAAAAAAAACUGUACUGUAUUUUACUCUGUACAGAAGCACAAAGCAUUGUUAUGUUUUUUAAAAAAAGAUAGUCAAAUAAAAUUUGCUCUAGAUCUUCAAAGUCUCUAAAAUCAUUUGUUGAUAUUUAAAAGCAGUUUGCUAUGGUUAUGAUUGCGUUGCUACUUGCUACAAGCAUCAUAAGGGAGUACUAAGCAGGAAAAAUCGAAAGCAUGCCAGCCGAAUGAUCUAGUUCUUCAAAGUCUCUAAAAUCUGGAGAGAUGCUAGUUGACCAAGAACAGAGCAUCUUGAUCUACGAUAGUAAGCCAGAGUAGAGCAAGAAAGAACACAAAAUUUGGGAAUUAAAAGACCGUAGAUAUAUUUAUGUACCUGAGUAAAGGUGCCUCGAACCCUGAGGAAAUCAAUCAAAAAGUGGAGAAAAAUUUCCUGUCAAAACGUACGCCCAAAUUGACUAGAAACUGCAUAAGUGUAGUACUACGGUCGAAACACCAACCGAAAACAUCGGAGGCGAGGACGAUGGCGCGGCUUGAGCUUGCAGCUGAAGGAUUGAAAGGGCGAUAAAAGGAGGUGAAUGGGAGCCUAUAAAAAUUCUCAACAAGAAUAAGGCCUAUGUCCCAAAUGCAACCCCAAAGCACACAGCACGUUGUAUCGUCAAGAUGACGCAAGUCAACUCGUGACAAGCUCAUCCUAGGAAUGAUACACGUAUCGAAAGCAAAGUUCAAAGUGAUCCGAAUACGUGCUUGACAUGGCGGAAACAUAAAGUGACUCACAAUCAGAUUCAAGCAAGCCCACAAAAAACUUACUCAACUAAGCAUAAUUAGCAAGAGAGAAAACACAUUAGUACUCAAGCAAGUGAACAAGUAUUAGUUGGCUAAGUGUUAGGAUUAACAGAGGAUUAGAAAAGCUAAUUUAACACCGAACAACAAUGGAUUAGAACGGUGCUAUCAGCCAUGUGCAAGAACUAAUAAUGAUUACUCAAUGAUUUGAUCACUGUAGCUAGAAAGCAACUCUUCGUGGCACGAAGGCACUACCUGCUACUUGCGUUGCUUGCCUGCUCGCUGCUUGGCUUGUCGCCGUGCUUGCGGCCUGGUCUGGCCCGCGACGCAUCAGCUACUCCUGGGUCGCAAGCUCCAGACGGCCUGCUAGCGAUCAGCACCUGGGGCAGCCUGCCAACUCGCUGGGCUGCCGGCCUGCGAAGGCUGCUGGGCCGCUGCUUGCUUCCACCGGCCCGCGUGCCGCUCGCUGUGAACGGCCUGGCAGCAAGUGUAGCGCUGCUCCGUCACCUGCGCACCCGAACAGAAGGAAACGAAGAACAGAGAGAAGAACAGCAAGAACACCCAAGAACACACGUAACUUCGAAUCGUGAGAUCUCCUUCCGCACUCCACGCAUCAAGAUGAAACUUGACCCAAGGAUGCACUACCCUAGGAAAAAUAGAUCCAUGAGACAAAUCACGAAAAUCUCAAGUAUUCAUCGCAAAUCUUAGGGAAAAUCAAAACCCUAACUCAAACUCGGUUUUGGAAGAAACUCAAAAUUCAAGUCGGAUUCGUGAGAUAUAUGGAAGGGGAUCAUAUUAAAGAAGCUCCACGAAGUCCUAGCAACAUUCCCCUUUAACCAAACUCACGAGAUUCGGGCUCCAACAAGAUGAACGAAAAUUCUCAAAAAUGAGUCCAAAAAUAGGAAAAAAGAAAAACGCUCGGGAACAAAGAUUUUGCACGAUUUGAGACAACAAACCACACUAAAUCACGAGAGCAUCUUCUUUACAAAAGAGGGCUAGCCUCCUCCCUUCAUCCACCCACUAAAAGAUGAAAAAAUCAAGAGAAAAGAGUAAUCACUCUCUAAUCUCCCUCUCUCCUCUCACUUUAAGCACAUGACUAGCCUCUAAGCCAAAAGAUAAUGAGUUGCUAAGCAAAGAGGUGCUGAAAUAACCAGCCCCCCAUCCCUAUUUAUAGUCCAGGACGAAAGACUAUACUACCACUACAGCUAUAACUAAGAUAACUACCCACGCAGGGGCAUUUUGGUCCAAGUUUUUAUCUGCGCUAAGACUAUACUACCCCUAUAGCUACAACUAAGACUAUAAUGUUUUGCUUUUCGUGGUCGAAAAGAUUAGAUAGAUAUUUUGUACUGUAGUUGCUCAUCACUCCAAUUAUGUACACUUCUUCGCGCGUUAGGUCCCGUUUGGAUACCCUGCUAAAGUUUAGCACCUGUCACAUCGGAUGUUUGGAUCCUAAUUAGGAGUAUUAAACAUAGGCUAAUUACAAAAUUAAUUGCACAUAUGGAGUCUAAUUCGCGAGAUGAAUCUAUUAAGCCUAAUUAGUUCAUGAUUUGAUAAUGUGGUGCUACAGUAACAAUUUGCUAAUGAUGGAUUAAUUAGGCUUAAUAGAUUCGUCUCGCAAAUUAGCACAGGAUUCUGCUAUUAGUUUUAUAAUUAGCUCAGGUUUAGUCCUCCUAAUUAGCAUCCGAUCAUUUGAUGUGACACUGUUAAAAUUUAGCACAUAAAUAUCCAAACACCCCCUUAUUUCAUUUUUGAUCUUGGAGUCGCCGCUGCCGACCUCGAGACUGGACUAGGGUGGCUGGCUUAAUCCCACCCUGCUGGGAUCAGCCUCCAUGGGGGCGACAGAUGCCACUGCCUAGGCAUGGUGGUGGCUGUUGCUGUAGCCCAGCGUUUGCAGGUGUACUGUGUCCCUGACAAUAUGUGUGCGCAUGCAGAUUGGCCUCUCGGAUCUAUGGAGUGCUGAUAUGUGUUGCUUGAUGGUGUUGUGUCGAGGUAGGUUUGGGAUGUGUGCUCGGAGCGAAGGCCUUUGUCCUUCGCCGGCAAACGAUGGUGGCGCCUGUUGGUGCCAUAUCCCUCUCUAUUGACAACGAAGGAGUGACUACGUUAAGCUCUUCCUCCAUAUAUGGAUUGUAGGUUACUAGGUAAUUUUGAGACGUAUGUUGAGUUUAAGAUCUUAUGUUGUUUAUCACUUGCUGGAUCACUUUCUUCUUUCUCUCUUAUAUUUCCUUCUGACAAGGUUGUGUGUACUACCUUGUUACAUAGGCUAGAAUCUAAGCUUUCUUCAUUCAAAAGAAGAUUAUAUAAAAUAACUAGAAAGAAACAAAAGGGGGCGGUUAAUCUCCUUCCAAGGGGAUUGGGGUGGGGGAGAGGGGGAUAGGGAUUUUGACUGGUAGGGAAUGUUUUGCAGGAGGAUGUGCACCUCAACAUAGGAGGCGUUUGGUUCCCUUUGCUUAUUUUGAGCACGUGUCACAUCGAAUGUUUAGAUACUAAUUAGGAGUAUUAAACAUAGACUAUUUACAAAACCCAUUACAUAAGUGGAGGCUAAAUGGCGAGACGAAUCUAUAAGCCUAAUUAAUCCAUCAUUAGCAAAUGUUUACUGUAGCAACACAUUGUUAAAUCAUGGACUAAUCAAGCUUAAUAGAUUCGUCUCGCAAUUUAGCCUCCACUUAUGUAAUGGGUUUUGUAAAUAGUCUACGUUUAAUACUCCUAUUAGUAUCUAAACAUUCGAUAUGAUGGGUGCUGAAAAUAAGCAAGAGGAACCAAACCAGGCCAUAAGUAACAUGGAAUCUAUGGAUACACUUUUGGCAACAUACCUUCAAACCACAUUCUAUGCAACAAUAAUCUUGUGCAAACCAUAUAUAACUAUGCCCACCAUUUAUAGAACAAUGUUCAAUAGACUACCAUAUGCAUAUGAACGUGCACGAUGCACUACGAGAAUGUCCAAGUUUGCCGUGUGUCCACGGCACACGACGAAGCCAAAAAAACCUCAGCAAAGCCUUUGCUGAGUGGGCAUACAUAGUGCCGGUAAAAAUUUCUUUGCUGAGUAUUUUUUAUCGGGCACUCAGCAAAGACUUUUUUUUUAAGAAACAGGAGGGGGAGACCCCUACUGAAUUUAUUAAAGAGCUAAACAACAAAAGGGUCCAAAUACAAAUCAAGACCGAGAGAUCAAAAAUAAAAUAAAAAAGCAAGAACCAAAAGUAAGAACUGGGAACAACAUUUACAGGGAAUCUACCAAGCUAACAUAAGUGACUGGAUCUGGGUCUUGGCCCUAUGAAGAGCUACCAUGCGAAAUUCCGAGACAAAUUUCCGUUUGAUGUUCCUGAUCAUCGGAGCAGAAUUAUUGAAGAGCAGACUUUGCCAGUGCUAAAAUUGACGCUCGGAAAAAAAAAGCAACAUGACAGUGCGAAAACGGUCAUGCCACGUUUGCCGAGUGUCUAAUGGCAUGGACACUCCACAUGUUUGCCGAGUGUCCACCGAAAAAAUCCUCGACAAACAUGAGUCAUUUUAGACUUUAGGCACAAUUUCCUAAAGGAACACCAGAAAUUUCACAUAAAUUUUCACAUUAGCUGUGUAAAUAAUAGCAAAGUUCUUGCAAGGUGACCAUACUUGCAAGGUAUGCUCGUACAAGUUCAAAUUUGUUGUAAAUCUGCAGUUACAGUCCGAACAUAUAAUGACCUGAACAGCAAAAAGAUCUGCCUCGACAGCACCAGGGGAGGUGGGAGCUCACUCUUUACUGCUUAGCCUAAAUUUCAUAUAUUCCAGUAUAUUUUUUUUAUGGAAGAGGUAACAAUUUUCUUGUGGGAGAUUGUUAGUACAACUGAGCUAAUGGCAUCAUGCACGGUAGAAAAAACGGGGGGCCCUGGCGUGGCGUCCCUGUAGGAAAUGGGGAACGUGUGCCACGCCACACAUGCACGCGUGCGUGCUUAAUUUCAAGGGAAUCAAAUUCUGCACUCGUCCGGCUAGUCUCACUCUCACACCCGACCAUCAUCAGCGAACUAAUGAAGCGAACUUUUCAAGGCCACGCACAUGUAUAAACCGCUUGAGAACACACUUGUACUAAUGAGUUCUCUGUCACAUGAUCCAACAGAUGGUGAUCUCGGCCACGACGAACGACGAUACGAUACACUCGCUACGGUACUACCUGCAGAGAUUCUUGACCUGCUGCCAUUCGUUUCUCGCGCUGGCACGCAGCCUGGUCGUGAUCCUGUGUGCUUUUGCUUGCAGAUGGCGGUUUGAGAUCCUGGAGAUCCAAAUCCUCUCCGCGAUUCUGGUAGUCGUAGGGAGGCUCAGGCUCGCGCGCGCGCGGGGCCUCGCCUCGCACGCCCCUCGAAGCGCGCACGCCAUUGUUGCGUCCCCGCGACUUCCACCGCAGGCAGGAGGGAGAGGGACCGAGGGAGUAGUGCCUGCACCAACUCCCUGGGGGCCGCGGCCAACCGCAGCGCGACGUGUGUCCACUCCGACACGGCGGGCGGGGAGGAGUAAAGAAACCGGGCAGCGCGGGCCACGACCCCACGAAACACCGACGAUUAGUUUAGGUCUUGUUGGAAGUGCCAAAUUAUUGUUACAGUACUGUAUCAUACUGUAGUAUUUCAUUUGUAUUUAUGAAUUAUUGUCCAAACAUUGACUAAUUAGUUUUAAAAGAUUCGUCUCGCAAAGUACAACAAAACUGUGCAAUUAGUUUUUAAUUUCGUCUACAUUUAGUACUUCAUGCAUGUACCGCAAGUUUGAUAUGAUAGGGAAUCUUUUUUUUGCAUAGUGUCAAAGUUGGCAGUGGAGGGUGAACUAAACAAGGGCUUAUAUGCGGCCGCUACGCUACGUACUCCAGCCGGGACAGAAGGAAUCCGGCCACACCUUCAAAAAAAAAAACCAGGAACCCGGGCACCGAGCGAGCCCUUGACCAAGUCCACGCGGUCCAGACAAGCCCACUGGCCAUUGGAAAAUUCGACCCCACAGGAAAUCCUAAGCGAUGUAAUCAUCCAUAUGUGGGUCCAAGACAUGAUUUUUUUGGCUGUGAACACUGCACAGCAACUCGCGAGAAUCUUUUCCCUCAGCCUUUUUUAUCUGUAGGUUUUGGGAGCACCGAGAGGAGGAAAAAUUGGCUUAAGAUGGAGUUGUUAUUGGGUAUGCGGAAAAGUAGGGAACGAAGUUGGACAACUGUUGGAGCUUUGGUUUUUCACCUUGGUUACCAAAACUAGUCAUUGAAAUCAUAUACCGGGCACUCUUGGAGAUGCUAUAACUGAUGAUCUAGUACAUAUAUCUUGAACAUUAUUUUUUUUUAAAAUCUGGUCGGUAGCAGUUAAACUAAUUGUCUAAACCAAUUAUCUAGUACCUAAACCAAUUAUUGUCUCGACCACCUAAACUAAUUGUUGUCUCUUGCACUGUAUCUUCCAGAUGGUAAAAGUAAAUAAAAAAAAUGAAAAUCGGGGUUGGUGGGGUAAAGUGCUCAUGAGACAAAGAGCAUCGUGGGAGGUGAGGCCGUGCUUUACAAAGCACUUUCUCGGGUCGUUCGCAUCUACGACUGUGAGGCCCUGAGAAUUGAAGCGCCCUUCCUCUCUGACACCACCACAAGCUAGCAGAGCUGUAGAGCCAGCUUCCCAGUCGAGAUGGCCGAACUGAUGGCGAGCGCCGCCACGAGCGUGAUGGGGUCCGUCAUCGGCAAGCUGACUGCCAUGCUCGGCGACAAGUACCAGUUCGCCAGAGACGUGGAGCAAGGGAUCCGCUUCCUGAAGGAUGAGCUGAGCAGCAUGGAUGCCGUGCUGCAGAAGCUCGCAGACAAGGACGACGACCAAAUGGAUCCAAUGGAUAAAGAUUGGAGGAACAAGGUGCGUGAGCUAUCCUUCGAUAUUGAGGAUUGCGUCGAUCGCUUCAUGCUCAAUCACAGCCAUGGAGGUUCCAAGGCUAACUUUGUUCGCAAAGCCGUGCGUAAGGUGAAGAUGUUGUGGGAGGACCAGGGCAUAGCAGGGGAGAUCCAAAAACUCAAGAAACUCGUGACAGAGCAGAGUGACCGGGCCAAACGCUACCCUGUGGGAAUGCGGUGCGACUCACCUCAGCCGGUGCGCUUGGAUCCUCGAGCAACUGCCCUCUUUUCAGGAGGCGAGGGAUCCUGUGGGAAUUGAUGGUCCUCGCGAGGAAAUCAUCCAGCUAUUACAAGUUGAAGAAAAGCAGCACAAGGUGGUGUCCAUCUAUGGUACCGCUGGGCAGGGGAAGACUACUCUAGCCAUGGAGGUAUACCGAAAAAUCCCACAAGCAUUUGAUUGCAGGGCUUUCGUGUCUGUAUCUCAGACUCUGGACCUGAAGAAGCUACUCAGAGAUAUAUUGUCUCAAAUAGUAAGCAAGAGCGAGUUUGACCAGUUGCAGUCGGAAAGGUGGGAGACGGAGCAGCUCAUGCGCGAAAUGAUAGACUACUUAAUUGGCAAGACCAGAAUUACUUUCUUGUACUAUAAUAAUUAGCCAGUUCAUCUAGCUAUGGCAAUGUUGUGAGGUCUUUGUCGAUCACAUGAGCUCACCUAAUUUAUCGGCCAUUUUACGGUUGUAUUUUACGGACCCAUUCGAGCAUAAAACUACCACAUAUGCAUUUGUUACAUGACUUCAGCUGUUCAACAUAUCUACCAAAAGCCAUCGCUAAAUAUCUUACAACAAGGUCAAGUCAACUGCCCAUGAAUGUAGGCGUAUGUGGUUGGAGUUGGCCUGUACUAUUGUGCGCAAAUGAUAUUUGAGUAGAAAAUUAUUUACUCUAUACCAUCAAAUAAUUCCAGAUUCAGUAAAAUUAUUUCUUGAUAACUUCAACCAUGUUUGUUUCGUAUAGCCAUUCUAAAUAUCCAUAAAAAUCUUCUUUAAUCCGUCUCUUUACUUUUCUCCAAUAUCUUUCACCAUGAUAUGCUCUAUAUGUUGAAUAGUUAUGAUGGCCUCGUAACAUGAUUCCUCAACCAAUGCAUGCAGGUACUUCAUCUUGAUUGAUGAUAUCUGGAAUGUAUCAGAUUGGGAGCUUGUACAAGCUGCCUUACCUCGCAAUGACAACGGAAGCAGAAUAAUUACUACAACACGCAGUAAAACAGUAGCCAAAACAUGUGCUGGUACUGAUGCACAAAUGUACAAAGCAAAGCCACUUGGUGAUGACGAUUCUCGCAGAUUAUUCUUUAAAAGGCUAUUUCACUCAACUGAACAUUGUCCCCAAGAUUUGAUGGCAGUAUCCAGUGAUAUUUUGAGGAAAUGUGGGGGAUUACCAUUAGCCAUAAUCAGUAUAGCUGGUUUAUUAGCAAACAGAAGCAAAACCAAGGAAGUCUGGGUCAAUGCAUUGAAGUAUAUUUCUGCGGCAGUUGACAAAGAUUCUCACAUUGAUAAAAUGAAAAGAAUUUUUCUGCUUAGUUACUUUGACCUUCCUCUUUAUCUAAGGAGCUGUAUGUUAUAUCUGAGCGUGUUUCCGGAGGAUUAUUUGAUUGAUUGUAGACGGUUGAUAUUGUUAUGGGUAGCCGAAGGACUGAUUCCUGGACAAGGCAGAGAAAAUAUGGAGCAGCUUGGGAGGAGUUACUUGAAUGAGCUGAUCAAUAGAAGCUUGGUCCAACCAACCAAGGUUUGGGCAGAUGGCGCAACAGUUAAAGAGUGCAGGGUUCAUGAUGUCAUACUUGAGUUUAUUGUAUCAAAGGCUGUGGAGGACAAUUUUGUUACUAUAUGGAAUCGUAAUGGGUUUUCUGAAAAUUAUUCUUCCAACAAGAUUCGCCGUUUAUCUAUCCAACAUGACAUUUCUAGGCGGGCUGAAGAGAUGGUGAAGAUAAAAGAACAUGCAGCUCAUAUUCGAUCAAUUAAUAUUUUUGACCCUAAUUCAGUGCUGCUAAUUAAAAACACCUCUAUAUUUUUAAGUAGCCAAGUCUUGCGAGUGCUGAAUAUAGAAGAUCAUGUUUGGGAGGAGUUAGUUGAAGAUUACUGCUAUUUAGGACAUGUCAAAAGUUUUUGUCAAAUGAAGUACUUGAGGUUAAAAAUUUGGAUAUCACUAUGGUUCGAACUCCCAAAAGAUAUAGAAAAGCUGCAACAUCUAGAGACACUAGAUCUUAGGGGUACCUGCAUUGAAAAACUACCGGCUAGCAUUACCCAACUGCAGAGAUUAGUGCGUCUUCUUGUCAGUAUUGAGGUAAAACUACCUGAUGGGAUUGGAAAUCUGCAGGCAUUGGAAGAGCUAUCAUCGAUCAGUUUGGAUUUUCAAACUGUCAAGUUUAUCCAAGGGCUCGGCGAUCUGACCAAUCUGAAGGUACUUGGAAUUAAUUGGAAGCACACUUAUGCAGGAGUACGUCGCGUGGACGUGGAAGACCACAAGGAAGCAUGUAUCUUGUCACUCUCCAAGCUUGUCACAACCCUUCGAGAACUGCAAUUCAUGCAUGAUGUUCCUGAUGACGCACUUUCAUUCAUGGCUUCGUUUGCCUCAUCUUUAACUCCACCACCCCUUCGGAGGCUCGUCUUUCACGAAGGUGGUGGAUCAAGUGUCGUGCCCCAUCAAAUCAUCAGCUCGCUAGUCAACCUGACCCACCUCAAUAUUGGACUAGUAAGCCAGGAAGGGAUAAAUAUCCUAGCAAGUUUGCCCAUGCUCCUCUCUAUUACUGUUCGCGUUUCCUUUGAAGAGGGUAGUUCUGGAAUCAGGUAUACAAUCAGCAGUCAAGGAUUCCAGCGUUUAGUCAAGUUUAAUUUCGACUGUUUUCAUGAUGGGGGGGGCGUUGGAGUUUGAGCCAGGAGCCAUGCCAAAGCUCCAAAGGCUCGAGCUGUACCUGGUGGCACGGGGUCAGUUCAAUUAUGAGCAAGGCGCCCUCGUCCUUGGGCUGCAGAAUCUGGCAAGCCUCAGACAUGUUGCUCUUGGUAUUAACUGUUAUCCAGCUACUCCUGAUGAGGUGCAGGAUUUGGAGGAUGACAUCAGGGUUGCAGCAGGCGCCCAUCCCAACCGUCCCGUGGUCCAGCUGGUCGGAAAACUAAAUGAACAUUGGAUGACUUAGGGUGCAGCAGGCACCCAGCUACCUAGAAGCACAAUGACCAAGUAAAUGCAUGGUGUGGAGAAUAAAUAUCAUUAUCAAUGAUGAUCUUUUUUUCUGUUUCAAGAGCACGUUGGAAUUAAACAAGGUUAAUUCGAUUUGUUUUCAUCUUAGUUUUUGCUUUAUGACAACAUGUGUGCGCAUGCAGAUUGGCCUCUCGAAUCUAUGGAGUGCUGAUAUGUGUUGCUUGAUAUGAUGGUGUUGUGUUGAGGUGGGUUUGGGAUGUGUGCUCGGAGCGAAGGCAUUUGCCCUUCGCCGGGCCAACGAUGCUGACGCCUGUUGGUGCCACAUCCCUCUCUAUUGACUAUGAAGGACUGACUACGUUAAGCUCUUCCUCCAUAUAUGGAUUGUAGGUUGCUAGGUAGUUUUGAGACGUAUGUUGAUUUUAAAAUCUUAUGUUGUUUAUCACUUACUGGAUCUGUUUCUUCUUUCUUUCUUUUAUAUUUCCUUUUGAUAAGGUUGUGUGUUGUUGCAUAGGUGGCUGGAAUCUAAGCUUUGUUCAUCCAAAAGAAGAUGAUAUAAAACAACCAGAAAGAAACAAGGGGGGGGGGGGGGCGGUUAAUCUCCUUCCAAGGGGAUUGGAGGGGAUUUUGACUGGUAUGGGAUGUUUUGCAGGAGGAUGUGCACCUCAACAUAAGUAAUAUGGAAUCUGUGGGUACACUUUUGGCAACAUAUCUUCAAACCACAUUCUAUGCAACAAUAAUCUUGUGCAAACCAUACAUAGCUAUGCCCACCAUUUCUAGAACGAUGUUCAAUAGACUACCAUAUGCAUAUGAACGCGCACGAUGGAUAUUAGACACAAAACAUAGUAGUAGUAUAACUUGCACAAAACUACAUUUAUGAUCUUUUGUAUUUGAGCCAGGAAGUUCUUUCAAAACAUAACCCACAAGAAAGCACGCACUGGUCUUGUUGUGCACUACACGUUAGGUGUUGCAAUUGCAUAUAAUCUCUUUUAUUUAUUUAGUUUGAACAACCGUGCAUGGCUAGGCACUUCCGAAAGUCUUCACUUCAAGUACUUGUCAAACCAGUCCAUCAUUAGACCAAGAGCUUGCUCAACAGUUUUGACAGCAAAAGGGUCGGUGGUAUUAUAUCUGCAAGCAAAUCCAUGUGCAACUCCUGGAAAGACCUUGGCGUAGUAGGGAAUCUGCAAACAACCAAUGCCACAAAAAUGAGCUUUUCCAACUGAUAUAUAGUAUCCUCUAUGACGGAAUCACUAGGAACUCACCUCUGUUCUAUGACGCAAUACACUCACAUACUGGUACACUAGUUUUGGCGGUGCGACUUCGUCAUAUUGAGCUCCAAGGAUCUCGAUUGGACAUUUAACCUCUGUUUUGAAUGGUCAUAUAGUUAGCAUACGAAAUUAAGCACUUAAGUUCAGUUCCAAAGACAUCUCAAUCGAUGCUGUCUGGGAGGUUGCAAACACAAAGAAAAGGAGCAAACCUUUCAUGUCAUCAGUAGUCACAAUGUAAGGAUGAGAAAUGGAAACUACUUUAACAUCACUGGUUUUCCCCAUCUCUACACUAAACUUUCCUGUCAGUUACGCGGCAAUAGGAGAUAAGAAUUUUAUGCUCUGUAUGUUGCCUGAAGAAGGAUUUUGGAAGCUGGAAUUUCACUCACCACCCCAGCAAUAACCUCCCACCCCGAUGGACUUUCCUUCCUUUUUGAAAGCAGCAAAGAGUGGCUUGGCGUCUUUGGCAGCUUUUACCUGCCAGAUCGAUCGGAUACUCAAAUCAAUAUAUUUUCAACUCAUGAUGCAAUGAGCAUAAGAUGAAAUUUGAAAGGGACAUGGAACAGACCUGGGAGUGGAGCUUGAUCCACUCUGAAAUGUUUUUACUUGAGUCUAAAUAAUCUCCAUUGAAGAAAUCAGGCACCACAACAAAGUAUCCAGCCUCGCUAACUUUAUCGGCUAUCUGUCUGCAUCAUUAAAAGAUCAAGAAAGGGAUGAACAAUAGCUAGUACAGAGAGGGAUUCUUGCGUCGUUGUACUCCAAACAAAAUGCAAUCUAUCUCAUAUGAGAAUUAACUUUCACCGGAUUGUCUUUUUUGGGAAAAAAAAACUGUACUGUAUUUUACUCUGUACAGAAGCACAAAGCAUUGUUAUGUUUUUUAAAAAAAGAUAGUCAAAUAAAAUUUGCUCUAGUUCUUCAAAGUCUCUAAAAUCAUCUGUUGAUAUUUAAAAGCAUUUUGCUAUGGUUAUGAUUGCGUUGCUACUUGCUACAAGCAUCAUAAGGGAGUACUAAGCAGGAAAAAUCGAAAGCAUGCCAGCCGAAUGAUCUAGUUCUUCAAAGUCUCUAAAAUCUGGAGAGAUGCUAGUUGACCAAGAACAGAGCAUUUUGAUCUACGAUAGUAAGCCAGAGUAGAGCAAGAAAGAACACAAAAUUUGGGAAUUAAAAGACCGUAGAUAUAUUUAUGUAGGUGCCUCGAAUCCUGAGAAAAUCAAUCAAAAAGUGGAGAAAAAUUUCCUGUCAAAACGUACGCCCAAAUUGACUAGAAACUGCAGAAGUGUAGUACUACGGUCGAAACACCAACCGAAAACAUCGGAGGCGAGGACGAUGGCGUGGCUUGAGCUUGCGGCUGAAGGACCGAAAGGGCGAUCAGAGGGGGGUGAAUGGGAACCUAUAAAAAUUCUCAACAAGAACAAGGCCUAUGUCCCAAAUACAACCCCAAAGCACACAACACGUUGUAUCGUCAAGAUGACGCAAGUCAACUCGUGACAAGCUCACCCUAGGAACGAUACACGUAUCAUAUCAUGACAAAUCUCAUGAUUUUCAGACUUUGCUUGCUUUUUUUACAAUUUAAAAAUCAUUCGGUCACACGUUCGUGAUCGUGUUUCCUGAACAAGAUGUUUGAAAUUUCUUUUUAUUUCAUGGGUCAGGUCUCAAAUUGGGUUAAAUAAUAUGAAUAUCAUUUUUCUACUCAUUUUAUUCUAUAAUUUGAAUCACUUGCAGUUCAAAUUUGACUUAUACCAAAAAUUUCCUUUAAAUACAAUUAAUUAAUUAAAUAUAGCAAACAAAUUCAAAAAUAUACCAAAUUUUAACAUGGAGUACCACAUGUUGUAUGUGGGGAGUAGAAAAAAUCUCAAGGUUAAAAGGGAAAAAAAACUUAUUAUUUGUCGAGUGUCAAAAAAACACUCGGCAAACCCCCCUCUUUGCUGAGUGUUUUUUUCUUGACACUCGGCAAAGUCCCUCUUUGCCGAGUGUUUUUUUUUGACACUCAGCAAAGCUCCUUGUUUGCCAAGUGUUUUUUCUUUGCCGAGUGUUUUUAGCUUGGCACUCGGCAAAGAGCUUGUUGCCGAGUGUCGAAAAAAACACUCGGUAAAUUUGCGGUUUCCGUAGCGAGAGUAGUUUACAAAAUCAGGCAUCAUGACGCAACAAUCAAUGAAAAUCAAGAAGCAGAAAUAUGACAGUUAUUUUGAGUAGUUUUUAACAUGAUCAUCUAAAGUUUGUCUCUUUCAUUGGCAUAGUUGGCCACUUCCUCGUCCGAGGCCACCAUUGAUCAUGCAUUCAUGCCUAGGGAAAUCCGGCCCAAGUGUACAGUCCAAUAGCCCAUAUGCAAAGAAAAUCCGAAUCGACUAAACCUACUGCGAUCCUAGCCGCCUCCGAUCUCCGAGAGGAUCCUCAGCAUGUUGCUGCACUGUUUGUAAGGGCGCUUUGCUUCACCCUACGGGUUUGGUGCAUAAUUCUCGAGCUGCAAUGUUCAAGUUUGCACAAAGAACGAGCACAUAUGCGAUGUAGCGGGGUGUGUAUUCACCUUAAAUAGAGGGCAUAUUUUAAAGUGUGUGGGAUCCAAUAUUGGUCAACUUGACAAGAACAGAUAUUCACUGCUGUGCAAAUUUUUUCCAUCUGGAUGUACGAAAAUAUUAUUCUUAUUUAUUUAUUCGAAACAGUCAUGUGCAGAUAAGACAUGUCUUCACUACAAGUAUUUGUGGAACCAGUCGAGCAUGUAAGCAAGAGCUUUUUCAGCGCUUUUAACAGCGAACGGGUCGGUGGUAUUGUAUCUGCAAGCAAAUCCAUGGGCAACUCUUGGGAAGAUCUUGACAAAGUACUCAAUCUGCAAGAGAGGUAAUGUCAUAUAAACGGGUGAGGUUCUGCCAAGAAAAAUUCACAUGUGCAGGUGCAUUGGUAUUGAGUGCCACUAAACCCAGCAAGAAGCCAAGAAACUCACAUCCAUUCUUUCACGCAAUUCUUGCUCGAACUGACGCACUUGUUCCUGCGGUGUGAUUGUGUCGUUUUGAGCUCCAAGGAUCUCAAUUGGCCAUUUGACCUCUGAGUUUUAAGUGAGCGCAGUUAGCACACGAACAGAAUACUAGUCAUACACAGUGUGCCUAAUAAGUAUGGUAAGAAACACACACCUUUCAUAUCAUCAACAGUCACAUAUGCAGGAUGAGAAAGGACAACUACUUCUGUAUCGUCAGUUUUUGCUAUCUCGGCGGCAAAUUUUCCUGGCAAAUAAUCAGAAAAAAGGUAGAAAUUAGCAUGUUUUAUGUCUUGCCUGAAGAAGAAUAUUGAAAAAUAAAAUUCCAGUAGGGCCAAGCUACUGAAUUGUAGUGAUUGCUGUCGAUUUCACUCACCCCCCCAGCAGUAACCUCCAACCCCAAUAGAUUUUCCUUCGUUUCUCAAAGAAGCCAAGAGUGGCUUGGCAUCUUGAGCAGCUGUGACCUGUAGGAUCGAUCGACAUUGCAAUCAAUUUAUUUGCAACUAAUGAUGCAAUGCAAGAUUUUGUUAAAGAUUCGUUAUGUUAUCAUUUGACUAGAAAUUGAAAUUAAUUAUCCCCGGUGAACAUGAACUUACUGGGGAGUGAGAUUUGAUCCAUUCUGAAAGGAUUUUACUGUCGUUGUAAGGAUCGCCGUGGAAGAAAUCAGGCACCACAACGUAGUAUCCUGUUGCGGCAACUUUAUCGGCUAUGUUUCUGCAUUAUUACACAAGCACUGGUACUAAUUAUAUUUUAACUAGCGAACAAGGCUGAAGUGCCAUGUCAUUUUAGUUUCUAAAACAGAGCCGAACAUCGUUUAAACAACUAAAUUAAAGUAGAUUGCCGCGGUAACGGCCUCUCUGCUGCUUUGGUCAGGGAUUUAUUUACUGGUAACUGGUUUAAAUUACUAGAAGUUUGAGCUGAAAUCAUUUUGAAAUAAAAUUGGGCCUAUUUUCUCGGUUUGUAAGUGUUUCUGAGAGGCAAAGCAAGCUGCCAUGUUUGAUGACAGACCUAUCCAUACCAGAACUACAAUCAAGUCUUCCAAAAGGCUAAAACUUCAUGUUUCCAGUCAUUAGUGCAAUAUAGUGUUUCAAUAAUGUGAGUGUAAGUAGAAAUAUAAAAAAAAACCAUACAUUGCCCAAACAAAAAACUCCAGUUCAUCAAGCUGAAAACAGCUGACUACACCAUGGAGCUUCCUAUGUGUUUUACUAGUUUUUGGGAAGCAAGGAUAUCCCUGUGUAUAAUCUCUUUAUACUUGUUAUUAAGUCACAAAAGUUUCAUCUUAAUGUUUCUAUCUGAUUCUAUUUCCAUCUUGUUUUUAAAUAAAAAAUCUCAUGUUCUACCAUGUUUCAGGAAAGGAAACGUUCACUUAUCAACUCUUAACUAUUGCCAUGCUCUGUUUUUCAUCUCAUUGUGCCUGUCCGGUUUUCAAUCUCCAACUUUAAAACUUUCUAAAAGACUACCUUCAACUCAGAACAAAACCAGGGUGCUUUUGGAUGAUGUGGCCUGGUUUUGUCUGCUGGUGUAUGCAUGUGUACAAGUAGUACACUGAUCAGUACAAAACAGCAAGCAAAAUACAAUAACUGCUGGGACAAUAUAAUAUAACAUCCUCUAAUUUCCCUUCUUCCACCUCUCUCUCCCCCUCAAAUUAAUUUUUUAGCAACUUCGUUCAUCAGCAUACUAGGAUUCCAUCAUUUCUUUGGGAAUCGCGUUGUUUCCUAUAUUUUUGUGCUGUAUUAGAAAUCGUAAGGAACUUGAAUUCAAGAACUUAAAACCAUUUUUUAUACCUCAGUAUAGGUGCCUCGAACCCUGAAGAAUAUUUGUCGAAAGAACAGAGAAUAUAUUUCAGUCAGACAAACCACAAAAAUAACCAUCAACCAAACUGAACGUAAAUUUGCACUAGAGGAGUGUGAAGCUGGCCGGCUGGACCAACCGUAGACAUCCGAGGCGAGGACGAUGGCACGUAUGGACAUGGAGGGGCCGGUGACAUAGGCCCUGAACCCCCCUGGAAGGUCGUCUACAACCUUGCCAGCUUCAACGCCGCGCAACGACAGGUCCGGCGGGUUGUCGAGGCACUGCGAGUGCUCGUCGUGAACGGUCGCCGCCGCGACUAGCACCACGGCGAGGCAGAGGAAGAGCAGUGCGGCGGAGCUCAUGGCGCUUCGACAGGAGGUUCUCUUGCUAGGUUGUCUCCACCGCUGCUGCGUUGCGUUUGUUUAUAUAGCACGAGGGCCGACGGCAUGGUAGGCUAGGUUGCCUCCACGUCGCCGUCCGGCGGCCGGCUGCUUUUUCUACACGAAAGCGAGCGGAACGGAAGCUGAAAGCGCUCGAUGAAUUUGAGUGAAAUACUCCAUGUGGUAUCUCUGGUGUACAGUUCAUGUACUACCACUAGCCUUUAUAAGCCCUCCUGUAGUUCUGCUCUUAGGUGGUCCAUUAAGCAAAGGAUUUGAGCCCUUGGACGCGAAGCUCCUCGCCGAUCUAUCUCUUGUUUCUACGGCAAAAGUACAUGGAAGGCUAUAACUUUGGCCGUGAUUAGGACAUCAAUAUGAGUUCUGACUUUAGGUCGUCUGACAAAAAAUAUGAGGAAUUUUUGUAAGAGGGGGUGUUUGGUUUCUCGAGCUAAAGUUUAGUUCGUGUCACAUCGAAUAUUCGGAGGCUAAUUAGGAGAACUAAAUAUAAGUUAAUUAUAAAACUAAUUGCACGUAUAGAGGCUAAACGACGAGAUGAAUCUAUUAAGCCUAAUUAAUCCAUCAUUAAAGCAACACAUUGUCAAAUCAUGGACUAAUAAGCUUAAUAGAUUCGUCUCGCCGUUUAGCCUCCACUUAUGUAAUGGGUUUUGUAAAUAGUCUACGUUUAAUACUUCUAAUUAGUAUCUAAACAUUCGACGUGACGGAGGCUGAAGUUUAGGGUGAGGAGCCAAAAACCCCGGAAGUUUAUGGUUCGUUCGUUGACAUUUGUGGCAAUGCUGUCCUUCCAGGCACAUUGACAUUUAUAUUUCGUACAUAACUAGCAAGAUGGAGAUGGCCCGACGCAAUCUGUGUGGCUAGUUUUAGUACCCUUCAAUGCAAAUUCUCAUUUUUUUCCUCAAGCCAAAUUAAGUAAAAUUUAUUCGAAAACAAUUACACAAAAGGUGCAGUCCCAAUGAAUUCAUGCCGUAAGAAACGAUUUCUCGCGCAGCUUCUGUUUGGCAACUUCCGAUGCCCAUCAGCACAAUGUUGAGUCUACGGCGCGCGCUGCAGCGCCCCGCGGCGCACGACGCGGAGGGUGGGUCUCAUGUGACCCCUAUUUUAAGUACAGGGCUGGAUACCGAGACGUAUCUGACAUGAAAGUUAUAUCACAGGACGGGCAUAGUCUACGUAAUAAGAUAGUAACUUGUCGAGGAUCAGGAAAAGUACUUGUAGCAAUCAGAGUAGGACUCGCCUAGUCGAAUCCGACUAGUAUUCAUGUAAACAAUUGACCUUAACCCUGCCCCCAGCAAUAUAAGGCGAGGUAGGGAUCCUCUCUAAAGUAAUUCAAUCCAAUCAACACACAGGAUGUAGGGUAUUAUGCAAUCUAGCGGUCCGAACCUAUUUAAAUCGUGUGUCUGUGUUCACUUUCGAGUUCCUAAUCUCGGCGAGCCCCGUUAACUAAAACACUACUUCGGGCACCCCCUCGGUGGGUUGCCGGGUCUAAACACCGACAACCCCACCAUGUGCUGGCCCACGCAUUUUUUUUUCUUUUCAAUUAUUUUUUCUAUACCAAAUAAAUAUUGUAUAUACAUAUAAAUUUUGCAUAAUUUUUUUAACAACAUUCUCUCAAAAGUUAUGACAAAUAUUAUGCGUAUAAGUUAUGUAUAUCAUGAAAGUUGUAUUACGAAAUUUAUCACCUAAAUUGUUGUUAUGAAAAAAGUUAUGCGUACAAAUUGUGCAUAUAGGUUACAGCUUUCUAAAAACACUAGGAUCGUGCCAGUGCGUUACUACGGGCAACAAAUAUUUAUAUUGAAAUACACAUAGUAACUUGCAACAUCAAUCCAAAACAAGACAUUCAACACUCCAUUUAUGGGUUUAACGUACUUUCCAAUUAUAUUGUUCUGUUAUAGUCUCAGCUGUGAAUUUAAUGAGCUAGAAAUCAAGCUUUCUUUUAAGUUUCACGGAUUUCAGACCGAGUUGAGUUGGACUACCUUUUGCUCAAACUGUGAUUGUCCCUAUAAAUUAUUUUAAUUAAUCUGUUUGAUAUGCAACUCAAAAGAAUAGAGCUAAUAUAUGUACUUAGCAUGGCCAUCCUGUUAAACAUAAUUGUUGCCAUGAAAAUAAUGCAUUAUGUAUUACUCCCUAGCUACUUUGUAGUGGUCAAUAUCAAAUAUCUUCUUGACGACCUGACAGACUAAGUGGCCAGAUGGGAUGAUCUUCAGUCCAUCCGACAACGAAAUUUUAGAUCUAUUGCCAUUAGCAAUAUAUAGGCUUGGCAUAUCUCAUGCAUUCACAAAGAAAUCUGGACUGUAUAAGAGUACCUUCCUUGAAUGAUCCACUGAGCGAUUAUUACUUGUGCCAUGCAUUCACAAAGAAAUCUGGACUGUAUAAGAGUACCUUCCUUGAAUGAUCAUUACUUGUUCAACCUGCUUAAAGAAAAUGAUUAUUUGGCCUAACAGUAAGGUUACAACACGAAAAUAAAGCUAACAAGUUGGAGGUAAAUUCAGUUAGGAAAUUUGAGAUGCCGUAGAUUUAGGUAAUUGUAAACUGAUCAAUCCUCAGGUUGGAGACAACUACUGUGCAAUUCAGGUAAUUGUAAACUGAUCAACUACCAAUUGUUCAGAUGCCGCAGAGGUCCAUCUAGCAGUCAGGUAUUUUAGUCCAUCUGACCACAAGAAUGAAACUCACCUGGAGCCCUGGGUGACAGCGUCCCCGUUCUCGUGCUCCUGGCGGCACGCCGACAGGGUGGCGUAGGCGUUCACCUCUUGACCAGCGCGCUAGGCCUUGACCUCUUGAUGUUCAAUAUCUAGGUCUGACUGUAAAAAAGAUCAAUAGAUAUAUUAGAUAUAUCGGUGUUGUCAUUACAUUACAAUGGUAAUCUGAUACCUUACAUGCAUACUCUGACAUGUAGUUUGUAGCAUUAGGCUUAUAAUAGUUCUCCAUCAAUAUUAGUGGGUCAUAAAACUGAUAAAAAUGGAGAUUAAGGAGUACUGCACACUAUCUUCAGUAUAUAUAAAGAACAUGAUAAUCUGAAACUUCCCAACUGAACAUCAUCGCUGACUGAUCAAGUUCGUUACUGAAUCAUAAACUAUGAAUGUGAGGCCUGUGUCUCUGAAGCAAGAUCGCUACACAUCAUUGCUGGCUGAAACCAGUCAAUCAACAGAGUCUAGCACAUGGGAAAAAAAAAGCAAAGAGUAAUAACUUGGUGAAUAACAAAACAUCGUCAGAAAAGAAGAAAAGAAAAAGGAGCGGAUGAAAUUCUUAGCAGAACAAUAUAAUGUAUGGAAUACUCCAUCAGUGUACUUUCAUCAUGGUCGACAUGUUCAAUACAUAAGCAUUUCCAUGUCUCGAUUUUAUCAGUCUAGCUCGUAUUUCACUCACAUAAGGGGAUUUUUUACCAAGCAAAAGCAGCAAAAGACCAUGAAACCUUAUUAUUACUGACAGGAUAUGAAAAUACCAUAUGUAUGUGGGGAAAAGGAUGCAGACUCCAAAUUGGUCCCUGCCAUGAGCUGUGUAGCCACCCAGCCAUCCCCAUAUAUUUUCUUCAGGUUUGAACACAAUACUGGUUGCUGCACUUCCCAGGAUGGGUACUUGUGGAGGCCAUGCUAAUUAGCGAUCAAUACCUGUUGCCUGCACGAACAUAAUCCCAAGCUUUAAAAAUGAUAUUUUCAUAAAAUUGAGUCAGAAGCAGGUCUAUAUAAAAAAUGUGUAACUGACGUACAAGUGAUUUGCUUGGCUAAUGCAGGGAGCCCAUGUAUGAUAGCGAAACAAAAUUAUAGCACUUUGGAAUUGUGCGUUACAAUACAUGAAAAACAAUUAUAGUACAUGCUCAUGCCUUCAUCGAAGACAUUCUCGUGCCACUUAGUUUUUUUAGGAGAGAUUGAAAGCACUAAGAAUAUUUUUCACAAAGUUUAGUACUUAAAACUUCCAAUUGAUAAAUUUCAGCAAUCUUGGUAACAAUCGCUCUUCCAAAUACUAUUGUACUGUUAGUUGACCAUUGUGCCCUAAUAGUUAAACUUCCCCAUAAGACCAUAGUAACAGCAAGUAAAUAAACAUGCAUGUAAUCUUUCAUUGUGGCCAAAACUCCUUGAAUUCUUAAAAAAAUGAUUGGCUCUGAUGUCACACCCGGUUUUAAAACAAAACCAAGUGCUAUCUAUAUGUAUGUCAGGAUCUAGUUUCAUAUAUUGUAACAUCAUUAGUGAAUAACAACAACAGUAUCACGUAAAAAGAUAAAAAAAAAGACUUACAAGACUAUCAGAGACACACAGCUUAAAUAUUGGAAACGUAGGCUCCAAACUUCACAGGCACUCAACUGGGGGUUGCGUACGCCUAGAACUCAGCACCAUCUUCACAAUGACUUCAUAGCAGCUUCAUCUUCUAAGCAACGUUGAUUAUAGCAAGGGUGAGCACAUGUCGUACUUAACAAGUGUGGGGAAGAUAUGAAUGCAAGGUUUAAACAAGGAAAGGCUGACUGGUUGACUGCAUUAAGCAUUUUUAGUUGGUCAAAUUUUAUUAGCACCUGAUUACUAAGGUAUAAGUAUGUACCAACCCACAAUUAAGCAUAAAGCACCAACAUUAUCCAAGGAACCAUAAUUUAUUCUCAUCUUUAAGUUCAAUUAUCAUGUGAGGGUCCAGGCCAUUCUUAACUGUGAGCACGGCUGAUAUAUCAGUUUUACACUCUGCAGAGGUUGCACAUCUUUGCCCACAAGUCGUGUAAAAGUUCAAAAGAGCUUUAGACCCAAUCAUGCUGUGCUGAUCAGGCACAAUACUACACUUCCGAGGUGUGAUUGCAUAGGAACGCUACAAGGCCUUUAUAAAGAUUCUCAAGUAAGUGGUAACCCGCUAAGGUUUUCGGAUCAGUAGUGUGCAUAAACCCCUCUCAGGACUGCGAAGCUUCCAUAAAGCAGAUCAGUCUAAGGGGCGGGUUAUACACCAUCAACCGCCACCCCUUUUACCCUUUCGGUAAGAUUACCCCGGAUUAGAGUCUCUAAUUAAUUAGCUAAGAUAAGAGCCACGAUAGUUCUCGUGGUUGUACUGUUUUUCUGGGUGGUUCUCCAUGUUCCGAUUAAAUCAAGUGAUCUUGUAUUAAUACGCGUAUAGCAUAAAUAAAAGUCAUGAUUAAUAUUUAAGUUCAUUAAGAUCAUCAUAACCAAGUAUAGCAGCUAAGCAUAGCUACCCAACAGAAUCAUAAACCUAGGUUGACAAGGAAUGAUUAUAAAAAUUAGGCAAACCUUAAUAGGACCCAUCAAAUUAAAUGCAGGCAUAUGCAAUAGUGAUUAAUAAAGUUAUUGGGACAAAAGCACAAGAACACACUUACUUUUCUCCAACGACAAGUUACUCUUAUUGCUCUUCGGUUCUUGCUCUCUUGAAACUCUUACUCUUCAAAGCUUCUGAACAACGAUCCUUCUACUCUAAGCAAACAUCGGCAACAAACAAACAAGUACAACUUAAAACAAUAAAAAAAAGACUUUAAAAAAGCGUACUAAAGGACAAGGCUUGAUCUAAGGGAGCGCUAAGAACGAAACUAUCGAGACGCUUGAUUCAUAAAAGAAAUAAAGACUAUAUGUUUGUUUCAUGUUAAUUAAAUAAAAUAUGCACAUAGGUUAUUUUAGAGAAAUACCCUAUUUGGAAUUAAGCAAGUUACAUUCAAUUAUUAAAAAUACGGUAAACUUAAUUAUAUUUUAUUUUAAAAUAUUCAAGUACGAGUUAUGUCAAUUUAACAAUUAACUUUAAAAAGAGUAUAAGACAUCCAAUCCAAUAACUUUGUAUUUCGUGUUAAACAAGAUUAUUGAAAACACGGUAAACUUGAUUAUAUUUUAUUUAUAAAUAUUCAAACGCGAAAGGUACGGGCUAAACAAGAUUAUAGGGACCUAAACGCGAUUAAUCGUAGACUACAAGGGUUAGCAAGAAAGAUUACCAAGACACAAAGAAUAGAGCCGCGAAAAGCUGAAAACUCGGGGUUAGAUCUGCAAAAGGUCAAGGCUUGGAUUAGAUUGCAAGGAUCUGGAAAGUUUGAGGUUUAUUCUGUGAAACUGCAAGACACAAGAAGGAGCAUAAGAAUUACAGGAUUUUCAUGGGCUUCUUCGCAAAACGGAGCCUUAUCUUCUUCUUCCAGCUCCUGCUCGCUCCGCUCGUGUGGCCGAUCAGAUUAUCGGCGGCGGUUGCUGGCCGGGCCAAGGGGGCAGGGCGCGCGCGGCUGCGGCGGCGGUGGCGCGCCGGCGCAGCAGGCGGCCAGGAAAGCAGCGCAGGCAGCGGCUCGGCGCAGGGGCAACACAGGCGGCGGCGGGCGCGGUUAAGCAGAGGCGAGAAAAGGCGGCGGCGGCGAUUUGAGAGGCGGCGGCGCUUGGUGGGGCGAGGAGGCGGAAAAGGGUGGGGAAAGGGGCUCUGGUGGCGGCGGGGCGUUUUAUAGGGGCGGAGGAGGGAGCUGAGGCGGCGGCCGGCCAUAAAUGGCGGCGAUUUGGUGCGGGCGGCCGUUUCUGAUGGGGAGAGGAAACGAGGGGGCGAGGCGGCGCGUGCGCGGGGGAAGGGGAGCGGGUGCGGGACGUGGAGCAGCGCGGGAGAUGGAGCGGUGCAGAGGACGCCGGGGAGGAGCCGCGACGCGGCGGCGGCCGGUAGAGAUCGAGCAGCAGGAGCGGUCGGAUGAGCGCCUGGCCUGAGGAAGAAGAAAAACCUGCAGGUGGGGCCCACCUGGCAGUGGAAGGGAGAGAGGAGGAGAGAUGGCGGGCCAAGCUGGGCCGGAAGCUGGGCCACGGGGGAGAAAGAUGGGAGUUGGGCCGGUGCAGGGUGGAAAGAGGGAAAGGGAGGUGGGCCUGUGGGAAAGGCCAGAUGGGCCGGGCGAACGGAAAAUAAAAGUGGACCGCGGUCUGGUUGGGCCGAUUUGGGUCGGGCCCAAGGCUCGGCCCAAAAGGAAAAGAAAAGAUAGAUUAUUUUCAGAAAUUAUUUCACGUGGGAAUAUAUAUCCAGAAAAUUCUAGAUAAAUAAUUUAAACCACGAAAAAUAUUCUGAAAAUCCCAAAAAUUUAAGAAAAAAUCCCAUGAGGAAUGUAAAUAAAAUAUUUGGAGCUCAUGAAAAAGGAUUUUAGAACUAUCCCAAAAUUGGAUUAAGCUCAAGAAAAAAAGAGAAUAAAUUCCAGUAAUGGCUGAAAAAUUCUCAGAAGGGUUUAGACAAUGUCUAAAUGCAUUUUUGAAACUUUUUUACUCAAGAAACAUCAAGAUGCAACGGCAUGAAUGCACAGAUAGAAAACAACAACCUUAUUUAAUUCCAAAAACAAAUAAUUAUUUUUCCUAUACUAAAUUUCCUAUGAAGAAAAUAAAUAUUAGGAAAAAUUUAAUUAUAAAAAAUUAUUGUUUAAUUAUUUCUUUUUAAUCAUAUUCUAAAAUUCAAAAAUUUCAAAGGUAUGACAUCUAAGUACUCUAAUGAAACCAGUUUAGAAAAUACAGUUCAGUAACCUGCUCUUAUGAAGACUGCAUAUGAAAAAAAUAGUACCUUCCGAGGGUUACACCUACAUAACAUCAGUGAGAGAUACUUAGCUUCUAGCAUACACAUGUUCAGAAGCAGUUCUUUGCAGGCCAAUAAGGCAUCCAUUAAAAUACUUAGCACCAUGCAUUGCUUUGUGUCAGGUUGUCCCGGUACAAAAUAGAAAAAAAUAUUUUUCAUUUAGCAAACAUGUCAGAGAAGCAAAAUUCAGAAAUGAUGUGCAGUGUCACCAACAGGUCAAAAAAGUAAGGACAAUCUAUAAUUGUGGUCAUGAAAUUAUGCAUCAUCCGCGAACACAAAAGCCAGUCAUCAACUAUUUACAUGGUAACCCUGAAUUAUUUAGAUUUACUUCCUACAUGCAUAAAAAUAAACCUCUCAUGAUUUCGUUGGACAUCACAUAUCAAAAGGGAGAAAAAUGAAACCUAAGACAAUUGAAUCAUAAUGAUUUUUUUCUAUGUGGAAGUAGAUAAUUUCCUUAUCUUUCAGACAGCCACUCCAGAAACUAAUCAUACAAUCAAAUUUAGUUAGAAAUUUAGAGCAUGCUAGCACAGAACAAUAGGAGCUAUGAAUUUACACAUGCUAGCUGUAGAUUGUCUAGAAAAAUCGAAAACCAAAUACUUGAUGCCAGCAGAUCUAAAGAAUCAUUGUGUUUUAGGAACACCCACCGAUCGGAGCAGGCAACAACGGAGCUGCCUUGGGGCCGCCAUCGACUUGGAGCUCCUUGUUGAGCCGCACAGAGAAGGAGCGGCAGCGGCGUCAUCGUGGGGGUGUGUUGAGCGCAGGGAAGGGCCAAUUUUGAUUCUGGGUAGGAUGACGUACAAACGUAGGGCAAAGCGGAUGGGAGGGAGCAAUUUUCCCGUGCGUGGAGAGAAGACUGAUUGAUCCAAGGGUGGAGGCUGUGUUCCGCAUAGAGAACCGUGAAAUGGAGGGCCGAGGUUGCUUGGAGCGAGGGCCAUCGGGCGACGACGGUCAUUUGACGGACCAUAGAAACGUUGCCCGUUUGGUUUUUUAGGAGUAGAGAAAAUUCGAAGUUAUUCUUACAAAUUGUACCUAAAAGUUGUACACCUAAUUUUUGUGCGCUAUUGAAGUUGUGCUAAAAAGUUAUCUCAUAAAAAAUUAUAUUAUAGAGUUAUGCAUCGUAUUUAUAUGUAUAAGUUAUGAUUUCCACAAAUGGAAAGUUGUGGGAUUUAAAACUUUCCCAAAAUGGAAUGUUUGGGGGGAAGGAAGGAGCUGUCUAGAUUCGCUCGCCAGGAGGGCUCCUAGUGCGCGAGCGCUAAUUAGCACUGCGCGCCUAUCAGCAUGUUAUUUUUUAAACAAACUGGGCAGGAGAGCUGCCGAUUAUAUUAAAAAGAAGAUGAAACCCGGGCAAUACAACUAAUGGAAAAAAAUAACGAGUUGAAUUGGGACAUCAACACACGUUGAACUCAACUCAACUAACGAAACAACUCAUGCCGAUUCGAUUGAGACAUCGACACGAGUCGCAACAACUCUAACUAGUCAGAUUGGGAUAUCAACACAGGCCGCACAACGUCAUCACACCACUCAACUCAAACUUAGCACCACCACCACCACCACCACCAAGAACUCUUCCGCAUUCUUGGAGAUCCAGCCCCACUUCCAACUCUUCUGCAUGUUCUUCUGUGUCAAGCCGUAGCCUAAGAGGGAGCACACAGUAGUCGGAGGGGUUGGAAUCCAAAUGAGGGAGAAGGUGAAGGGCCUCUAUUUGGAGUACGAGUUGAUUGACUCGCAUUCUGGGUGGAAAGAGAGGUGGUGCUAUAUUGGCAACUAUGAGCCCAAACUCCCUAAGGUGACAGGCCACCGCCCGACGUGGAACAAUAGGUGGCUAGAUGUGCCAAGUCACAGAGAUUAUUUGCAACUACCUGACCUUCUUGAUAGAAUUGCCAGAUUGAAACAAUAAGGUCUAACGAGAGUUGGGGUAGCCUUCAGCUUCAUAAAGAGGCGAGGUAAGCCCCUGCAAUUGCGGUGCACAUGGGGCUACGACUACUUGAGCCCCAAUGAUCCAUCCCGGAUGUCACCAAAAGAACUCACCAUGGAUGAGAUCAUGGAGCAGUUCAGGUGCUUGUUCAAGCAUGCCAGCAAGUGCCUGUUCAAGCAUGCCAACAAGACCCCAACGAUUGUGCAGGAUCAUUGCACUGCCAACCCACCAAGCAAUGUAAGUACCCGUGGCCACAGCCCUCAAGUACUAAUUGUUGUAUCUAUUGAUGUUCUGACUUGUCUUCCUAUGCAGGAAGAUGUACACUUGUUUUGCUCUGCUCCUCCUCCUCCUGGAUCAAAUGACUCUGAUGCCGCUCCACACGUACACACGGCUACAAGUGUAUAGAGAGAAGUCGAGGGGGAGUAAAAGGAAAUUGAGUCUUUCAGCAGCUCCUACUCUGAAGCUACUAAAGAAUUCAUGCUCAAAGCCCGGCCAUUAGACAAGGCUGGGUCUUCCUCCGGGUCACCAAAGCAUGCGGCUGAUGAUCUGGAGGCUAGACUGGCGGCACCGCCAAAGCGACGCUCUGCUCUUGCAGUGUUUCUUGCUCGCCGUUGAGUUUUUUGAGCUUCAGUUUCUUUUCCGACGAUGUUGAUGGUGAGCUUAUCCUACGAGAUGUCAUCUCGGUGACGUUCAUGUCAUGGAUUCCUUUCUUGUUGCUCUUCAUCUUCUCCUUCUUGCGCAUCAACAAGGGUGAAGAGUUCCCGCUCCGGAGAAUAGCUUCCUGAACUUAACGUGAUGACCUCUGUGGAGCCAUCUUUUUUGUAGAUGGGAGACAAAAGAAGUUCCCUUCUAGUACAGGAGGGUAUCAAGGUAGGCAACAAGGUGUGACUCGUCAUUCUUUGCGAGAGCAGGUGGCUUCAUGUUGGCCCAGUAGAUGAAUCUGUCUUGUGGAGUUGAGGUAAUCACAAGGCCUUGUUGUGGGUCUGAUAAUGGAGUCCUCUCAUCCGGAUUCGAGUAGCAGUAAAGGUCCUCGAUCCAAUCCAUGUUGAAUUGUGAUCUGGAUAGGGUAGCUUGAUAGACAAUACCCGUGUUUCGGAGUCCGAACGCGAAUCGACUUGAGUCAUAGACCGAUUCGCAUGAUGGCUUAAGCGCCGGCUCAUGAAAACCAGUCCGGCUAGUGGGAGAAGUUGAGCUGUACUCGGACUAGUCCCCCCAGCCUCUGACUAAGUCAAGAAUUGAAAAUUCGCUGAAUUUCUCGACGAGAUCCUCCAAAGCUUGGCGCUGGAGGUUGAUGGUAUGCUGUUUCUUCUCUACGACCGACACAAUGUGGCGGUGGAAGUUUCCAACACCAUCUGCAACGCAAACCCAGGAGCUGAAGACGAACGUCGCGUCUGCUUUGAACGCGAUGGUGGACUUGAUGAUGACUUGGGCCAUCGAGUUCGUUAGUGGAUUCUCAGCGAGAGCCCUUAUUUCGUGUGCCAGCUAUCGGUGUUUAGACUCGGUAACCUACCGAGGGGGGUGCCUGAGGUGGUGUUUAGUGCGUGGGGCUCACCCAGAUCAGGAACUGGAAGGUGAACUUGAACACAUAAUUUAGACAGGUUCGGGCCGCUAGAUUGCGUAAUACCCUACGUCCUAUGUGUUAGUUGUAUUGAAUUGCUUUGGAGGGGGUCUCCACCUCACCUUAUAUUGCUAGGGGCAGGGCUACAGGUCGUUUGUUUACAAGAAUACUAGUCGGAUUUGACUAGUGAGUCCUACUCUAAUUGCUACAUGUAGUUACUUAAUCCUUGACUAGUUCUUGUCCUCCACGUAGACCACGCUGUUCUGCACCGUAGUCUCCAUGUCUGACACGUCUUGGUGUAUAGCCCUGUAUCUAGGACUGUCCAAACCUUCUAGUGGGCACAUAGAUAUAUGUACAACAAGCACAGUGAAGAUCUAACGAACGCCCACCCGGGAAGGACCCCGUCAGAGUAGGCGCACCUUGGGUUGCCCUAGGCUCGGCAAGAACAACACAUGGGGUUGGAAAAGUAGGGCAAAGAGGAAAAAAGGUAAAAGUAAAAGAUAGAUUAGUUUUUGAUCAGUUGUGGCCCUUUAUAUUUAUAGUGAGGGGAGGUCUUGCCCCGUUGGAAGUCGAAACCCUAACAAAUCUCAUGCAAAAAUACAACUCCUACUCGGACUCUACAGGUCCAAACCGGUCCGACCUAUCUCCUCGGGGGCAGAUAUUCCCGAGGUCAUAACCCUCUCUUCCGAACUUCAAAUUGGACGUUCUAUAUAUGAAUUUUGAUCUACUCAACAAGAGAUACACAAUGGUGAACUCCAAUUUGUAUUUGUAGGACUUUGAUCAAACUGGUCUGACCGAUUGGAAGACCGGUUCAAAAACCUACUUGUCCAGAUCUGCUAAUUUUGACCAUCAAUAGGUAAUAAUUAAGAAAAUAUCAUUGAGGUAAGAAUUAAGAAAAUAUCAUUUCCCUUCUCUCAAAUUUCAUUUUAUUUGUGUGCAUGUGUUACUAAUUUUGUGUGUGUUAUUUCACUACUAUGGAAUGGACCUUUCGUCCACUCCCUUAGUACCGGGUGCAUUUGAAUCCGGUACUAAUAUUAGCAUUAGUACCGGCUCCAAAUUUGGAAUCCCCCGAACCCUCCACCCAGUACUAAAGGUUUCCAUCUACGCGCCUAGCCCCCUUAGUGCCUGUCCUUAUCCUCAGCUCCCUCCGCUCCGCUUCCCUCAUCCUCAUCUUUUCUCCUUCUACUCCCUCUCCCUCUCCAGGCCACUAGCCCCCUCCCUCCCUCCCCUCUCCUCCCCCCUCCACUCGCCCCUUACCUCGUGCCUGAGGCGAGGAGCAGCGGUAGGGUGAGGCGCAGCGGUGGCCAUCGGGGCGCGGCAGGGAGCGGCGACGAGGUGAGACGCGGCGGCAGAGCGGGCACGGAGCAGCUGGCGGGCGGGAGCGCAGCGGUGGCGGAGCGGCGGGUGGGUGGCCAGGGGUAGCGGGGCUGGCGGAGGGCGGCAACGGCGGGACAGGCGGAGGGCAGGGGCGGGUGGGGGGUGCGGGCGGGAAUUUAUUUUUUUUUAAUUUUUUAAUACCCUUUAAUACCGGUUAUCUCAACCGGUACUAAAAGUCCCACUUUAGUAUCGAAUUGCCAGUACCGGUUGGACAAUCGGUACUAGAGGGGUUAUCGACCGGUACCAGAGGUGUUAUCCCUAGUAGUGUUCUUAUAUAUUUGAAAACGGAUGCCGAUUACUGCCGUGCUUUGGUCUGCCAACUAGGCAUUCUUAAUAGUCAACAGGAUUAUUCUGUUUCGUGUGUAGGGGAACUAGCAUCCUAACAACCGUUGGUGGCUUACGGCUUUGGCUUGGCUGUCAAUCAAGCGCCGCUUGGGUCACGACAAUGGCAGUAAGGUCGUGGUGUCUACCAAGUAAAACUACGUAUACAUUCCCUCCGUUCUAGUGCAGAUGUGGGCGUACACAAUAUUAGGCUAUACUGGUGUUAAAAAAGACCAGUAUAAACAUAUCCAAUGAUCGAGAUUAAUUGUAUACUACUAAAAACUUCACUAGUGGUAUGGAUAGUAUGCGUGAGUAGUAUAUGUGGUAUAAGGGUAUUAUGGAAAAAGAAAUAUAAAUGGCAUAUACAUAAUAUAUUUUUCUUGUUCUUUGAGAUGGUAAUAUAUCUCUCAUUUAGUAAUAAUUCGUAUGGUCCAUCAAUAUUUAGUAAUAACUAUAUUAGCAUUUGCCUAUACCAUAUACUACUGAGUGGUAGUAUUGUGUACCGUAAAAAACUUAUUUUUGAACAUUCUUGUCACAGGACGUUUUAAUUGACUUCAAGCAUGAUGUCCUCCAUCGACCAUCAUGUCCUAUUCUUUGCUCCGAGUCGUGUAGUUGUGCUUUUAAGAAAAAGGUGCUUGUGUGUUUUGCUUUUCGCGGUCUAAAAGUUUAGAUAGAUAUUUUGUACCGUAGUUGCUCAUCACUCCAAUUAUGUACACUUCUUCGCGCGUUAUUUCAUUUUCAAUCUUGGAGUCGCCGCUGCCGACCUAGAGAAUGGACUAGGGUGGCUGGCCUAAGGGUUUGGAUUCGAGAUGCUAAACUUUAGCAGGGUCACAUCGGAUGUUCGGACGCUAAUAAGAAGGACUAAAUAUGAGCUAAUUAUAAAACUAAUUGCAGAACCAUGUGCUAAUUCGCGAGAUGAAUCUAUUAAGCCUAAUUAUGGAUUAAUUAGGCUUAAUAGAUUCGUCUCACGAAUUAGACUCCAUCUGUGCAAUUAGUUUUGUAAUUAAACUAUAUUUAAUACUUCUCAUUAGUAUUCAAACAUACGAUGUGACACGUGCUAAAGUUUAAGGGGUUCACCCCCUUAAUCCCACCCUGCUGGGAUCAGCCUCCAUGGGGGCGACAGAUGCCACUGCCUAGGCAUGGCGGUGGCUGUUGCUGUAUCCCAGCGUUUGCAGGUAUACCGUAUCCCUGACAACAGGUGUGCGCAUGCAGAUUGGCCUUUCGGAUCUAUGGAGUGCUAAUAUGUGUUGCUUGAUGGUGUUGUGUCGAGGUGGGUUUGGGAUGUGCGCAUGCCGGGCCAACGAUGAUGACGUCUGUUGGUGCCACAUCCCUCUCUGGACAAUUAGACAGCCCCGACCCCUUCCCCUACCACCUGUGUUAUCAGUUCUUGCAGGUGUAAACCUUAUCUUUUGUUGAUUAGGUGAUGGCCGAGCCCAUGGCGUCGUGUCCCUCCCUCGCGGUGACACUUUGAAAGAACUCGUGCUUCAUCACAACGUACUGCUAAUUCCAUGGUUUAAGAGAAGGGCAGCAACUACUCAAGGGAAUGCAUGUCAGAUCAACAUGUCAUUUGAGUCGGAUGUUGUUAGGGAUUACGAGUCAUAUGCUGUUGAUUGGUUGGCAAAGACCAUGUGGUCUUCAGAUAUUUGUGAGAUGCUUUAGAUGCACUGUUCGCCACCUUUCUUUCGUAUGAGGAUGAUGGAGUUUUGGGGAUUUUGUGGUGUAAGAGAAUAGGAGUGACUACGUUAAGCUCUUCCUCCAUAUAUGGAUUGUAGGUUGCUAGGUAAUUUUGAGACGUAUGUUGAAUUUAAGAUCUUUUAUUGUUUAUCACUUACUGGAUCACUUUCUUCUUUCUCUCUUAUAUUUCCUUUUGACAAGGUUGUGUGUACUCCUGUUGGGGGAAAAUAUUAACAACCUCCUAAUGCCGCUUAAAGCGACAGUCAUGAAGGCCCAGGCCCACCUGCGGUAAUUACGAUUACAGCCGACCUAGUAAAGGCAAAGAACGUCCCACUCCGUCUCACCCGACCUAGGGCCUCGGGGUCGGACAAUCCCGACCCCUCGAAGGAGGGACUCUGCCUCGCCCGACCGUGGUCCCAGGGUCGGGAGCGCCCAACCCCUCGCCGCAAGGCUCCGCCUCGCCCGACCGCGGUCCUAGGGUCGGGAGCGCCCGACCCCUCGCCGCAAGGUUCCGCCUCGCCCGACCCAGAGAACCGGGGUCGGGAGCGCCCGACCCCCACCACAGAAACCCCGUCUCGUUCGACCCCGGGCACGGGGGUCGAACUCACUCGGGUCCACAAGACGGAUAUUUGCCUCGGGCCACUGGAGGAUCAGGAUAACGAUCUCGUGGGUCCCCCUAUCGACCUCGCCAUAAAUGCGUCGCGGGCCUGUCAAGCCAAAAGGGAGCGGCGUCCCCGACGUAACCAGUCCCGAAUACCGGUGCGUGGCGCAAAGUACUCAUGAGCUGCGCCGAACAACACAGGGGGGCGCAUCGCUUGCUCUCGCGCCCCGUGCUCCCAACGGCAGUGUCAGGGAUGCGACGUCCGGGUCUUACGGUAAUCGGUGGGGCAACAGAACCGGACCUCCUCCUCGGCGGGCACGGAUGCCGAGGCUGAGGCUCAUCAUCACGCUCGACGGCGACGGCGACCAGGGAGAUCAUCGACAAGAUCCGGAAGGAAUCGCCCUCCCUCGCCGGACGCGCUGACAGGGACCGGAUGCCGGAGCAAGAGCGGCGGCCUUGGGGCCCUCCCCUUGUAUUAUUUUUCUACUUAGCUUAUCCUUCCUGCUUCUUCUCCUGAGGUCCAGCUCAACUGUAACCCCGAGCUCCCUCUUGCGCUAUAAAAAGAGGACCGGGGGUCCUGAGACGGGGACGGAAACUCUGGCUCGGAAGCCAACAAUACACUCUCACACUCCCUUAGAGCACAAGCACACUCAAGAGACCUGGGAUCAGUUCCUUCUCUCGCCCUUCUGUAACCCCUACUAUAGAACCCCGCGUGGGUAACACGAGCAGCCUCGAUACUGGACGUAGGGCCUUCCUUUGCCCGAACCAGUCUAACCCCGUGUCUCCCACGCCACCAUCCGAAGCCUUACGCGCAUAAAAGAAAUUUACUAGUCUAGAGUCUUGAUCCGCAAAUCUUGACAACGACAACUACCUUGUUACAUAGGCUGGAAUCUAAGCUUUCUUCAUCCAAAAGAAGAUUAUAUAAAACAACCAGAAGGAGGGGGGGGGGAUUUUGACUGGUAAGGGAUGUUUUGCAGGAGGAUGUGCACCUCAACAUGAGUAACAUAGAAUCUGUGGGUACACUUUUAGCAACAUACCUUCAAACCACAUUCUAUGCAACAAUAAUCUUGUGCAAACCAUAUAUAGCUAUGCCCACCAUUUAUAGAACAAUGCUCAAUAGACUACAAUAUGCAUAUGAACGUGCACGGUGCACUACCGGAAUGUCUAAGUUUGUCGUGUGUCCAUGGCACACGGUGAAGCAAAAAAAAAACACUUGGCAAAGCUUUUGCCGAGUGGGCGUACACAGUGCCGGUAAAAAUGUUUUGGCCGAGUGCUAAAACCGACACUCGGCAAACAAAAAAAGCAAUGUGACGGUGCGAAGACGGUCACAUCACGAUUGCUGAGCGUCUAACGGUAUGUCCACGGAAAAACAAUCCUCGGCAAACAUGAGUCAUUUUAGACUUUAGGCACAAUUUCCUAAAGGAACACCAGAAAUUUCACAGAAAUUUUCACAUUAGCUAUGUAGAUAAUAGCAAAGUUCUUGCAAGGUGACCAUACUUGCAAGGUAUGCUCGCACGUGUUCAAAUUUGUUGUAAAUCUGCAGUUCUGUCCGAACAUAUAAUGACCUGAACAGCAAAAAGAUUUGCCUCGACAGCACCAGGGGAGGUGGGAGCUCACUGUUUACCGCUUUCUGUCCUCCCUUGCAAUCAACUCCUAUAGUGUCCAAAGACUUGACCAAGUCCAAGUCCACGCGGUCCAGGCAAGCCCACUGGCCACCGGGAAACUCGACCCCACAGCACGAGUUGGAGGCCCCACGCGGGAAAGGAAUCCUAAGCGAUGCAAUCAUCCAUAUGUGGGUCCCUCAGACAUGAUUUUUUGGCUGUGAACACUGCACAGCAACUCGCGAGAAUUUUGCCCUCAGCCUUUUUUAUCUGUAGGUUUUGGGAGCACAGAGAGAAGGAAAAAUUGGGUUAAGAUGGAGUUGUUAUUGGGAUAUGCGGAAAAGUAGGUAACGAAGUUGGACAACUGUUGGAGCUUUGGUUUUUCACCUUGGUUACCAAAAACUAGUCAUUGAAAUCAUAUAUCGGGCACUCUUAAAAAUACUCUAACUGAUGAUCUAGUACAUAUAUUUUGAACAUUAUUUUUUAAAACCUUAUAGCAACUCAAAACCUCUUUUAAUUUUUUCUACUAUCAUAAUCGUCUUAAUCUUGGUCUACUUAAAUGUUUAGACUACUUAACCUGCAAUAACGUUUCUUAUCUAGAAGAGACUAUUUGCCCAACAACUAACCGUCGUAUUCCCUCGUAAAUAGCCAUAGGGCCCAAGCUAUAUGAUCACCACCUAAACCAAUUAUUGUCUCGACCACCUAAACCAAUUAUUAUCUUUCCAACUAGCAUUUCGCUUGCGUAAAUGGAAUCCCCAUCUGCGACUGUGAGGCCCUGAGAAUUGAAGCGCCCUUCCUCUCUGACACCACCACAAGCUAGCAGAGCGGUAGAGCCAGCAGCUUCCCAGUCGAGAUGGCCGAACUGAUGGCGAGCGCCGCCACGAGCAUGAUGGGGUCCGUCAUCGGCAAGCUGACUGCCAUGCUCGGCGAGAAGUACCAGCUCGCCAGAGACGUGGAGCAAGGGAUCCGCUUCCUGAAGGAUGAGCUGAGCAGCAUGGAUGCCGUGCUGCAGAAGCUCGCAGACAAGGACGACGACCAAAUGGAUCCAAUGGAUAAAGAUUGGAGGAACAAGGUGCGUGAGCUAUCCUUCGAUAUUGAGGAUUGCGUCGAUCGCUUCAUGCUCAAUCACAGCCAUGGAGGUUCCAAGGCUAACUUUGUUCGCAAAGCCGUGCGUAAGGUGAAGAUGUUGUGGGAGGACCAGGGCAUAGCAGGGGAGAUCCAAAAACUCAAGAUACUCGUGACAGAGCAUAGUGACCGGGCCAAACGCUACCGUGCGCUUGGACCCUCGCCGCCUCACUAUCUCGCCGCCUCACCUCAGCCGGUGCGCUUGGAUCCUCGAGCAACUGCCCUCUUUCAGGAGGCGAGGGAUCCUGUGGGAAUUGAUGGUCCUCGCGAGGAAAUCAUCCAGUUAUUACAAGUUGAAGAAAAUCAACACAAGGUGGUGUCUAUCUAUGGUACCGCUGGGCAGGGGAAGACUACUCUAGCCAUGGAGGUAUACCGAAAAAUCACACAAACACAAGCAUUUGAUUGCAGGGCUUUCGUGUCUGUAUCUCAGACUCUGGAUAUGAAGAAUCUACUCAGAGAUAUAUUGUCUCAAAUAGUAAGCAAGAACGAGUUUGACCAGUUGCAGUCGGAAAAUUGGGAGACGCUGCAAAUUGAGAUACGCAAAAUGAGAGGCUACUUAAUUGGCAAGAGGUAACCAGAAUUACUUUCUUGUACUAUAAUAAUUAGCCAGUUCAUCUAGCUAUGGCAAUGUUGUGAGGUCUUUGUCGAUCACAUGAGCUCACCUAAUUUAUCGGCCAUUUUACGGUUGUAUUUUACGGACCCAUUCGAGCAUAAAACUACCACAUAUGCAUUUGUUAUAGCUAAAACCAUGACUUCAGCUGUUCAACAUAUCUACCAAAAGCCACAUAUCUUACAACAAGGUCAAGUCAGCUGCUCAUGAAUGUAGGCGUAUGUGGUUGGAGUUGGCCUGUACUAUACUAUAUAAAAUGAUUGUGUGCGAAUGAUAUUUGAGUAGAAAAUUAUUUACUCUAUACCAUCAAAUAAUUUCAGAUUCAAUAAAAUUAUUUCUUGAUAGCUUCAACCAUGUUUGUUUCGUAUAGCCAUUCUAAAUAUCCAUAAAAAUCUUCUUUAAAAAUUAAGUUUUCAAACUGAACGCUUCUUGUGUUUCAGUGGGUCUCAUGUGGAGGAAGCUACUAUUUUGGAGGUUGUAGACAGAUUCUUUUCCGAUAGUAGAGGAAGUAGUUUCCAGCCUCUAUUCCUAGCACGUGUAAUACGAACUGACAGAAAAAAUAAGCCACCACUAUCCAUCGCUUUACUUUUCUCCAAUAUCUUUCACCAUGAUAUGCUCUAUAUGUUGAAUAGUUAUGGUGGCCUUGUAACAUGAUUCCUCAACCAAUGCAUGCAGGUACUUCAUCUUGAUUGAUGAUAUCUGGAAUGUAUCAGAUUGGGAGCUUGUACAAGCUGCCUUACCUCGCAAUGACAACGGAAGCAGAAUAAUUACUACAACUCGCAGUAAAACAGUAGCCGAAACAUGUGCUGGUAUUGAUGCACAAAUGUACAAAGCAAAGCCACUUGGUGAUGACGAAUCUCGCAGAUUAUUCUUUAAAAGGCUAUUUCACUCAACUGAACAUUGUCCCCAAGAUUUGAUGGCAGUAUCCAGUGAUAUUUUGAGGAAAUGUGGGGGAUUACCAUUAGCCAUAAUCAGUAUAGCUGGUUUAUUAGCCAACAGAAGCAAAACCAAGGAAGUCUGGGUCAAUGCAUUGAAGUAUAUUUCUGCUGCAGUUGACAGAGAUUCUCACAUUGAUAAAAUGAAAAGAAUUUUUCUGCUUAGUUACUUUGACCUUCCUCUUCAUCUAAAGAGCUGUAUGUUAUAUCUGAGCGUGUUCCCGGAGGAUUAUGUGAUUGAUUGUAGACGGUUGAUAUUGUUAUGGGUAGCUGAAGGACUGAUUCCUGGACAAAGCAGAGAAAAUAUGGAGCAGCUUGGGAGGAGUUACUUGAAUGAGCUGAUCAAUAGAAGCUUGGUCCAGCCAACCAAGGUUGGGGCAGAUGGCGCAACAGUGAAACAGUGCAGAGUUCAUGAUGUCAUACUUGAGUUUAUUGUAUCAAAGGCUGUGGAGGACAAUUUUGUUACUAUAUGGAAUGGUAAUGGAUUUUCUGUAAAUUAUUCUUCUAACAAGAUUCGCCGUUUAUCUAUCCAAUAUGGUAUUUCUAUGCGGGCUGAAGAGAUGGUGAAGAUAAAAGAACAGGCAGCUCAUAUUCGAUCAAUUAAUAUUUUUGACCCUAAUUCAGUGCUGCUAAUUAAAAACACCUCUAUGUUUUUAAGUAGCCAAGUCUUGCGAGUGCUGAAUACACAAAGUCUGGAGGAUUGCUAUCUUGGACAUGUCAAAAGUUUUGGUCAAAUCAAGUACUUGGGGUCAUCAAUAUGCCACUGCAAACUCCCAAAAGAUAUAGAAAAGCUGCAACAUCUAGAGACACUAGAUGUUACGUGGUGUAACAUUAAAAAACUACCGGCUAGCAUUACCCAACUGCAGAGAUUAGUGCGUCUUCGUGUCGAUGGUCACAUAAAACUACCUGAUGGGAUUGGAAAUCUGCAGGCAUUGGAAGAGCUAUCAUAUAUCGGAUUGGGUUAUCAAACUAUCAAGUUUAUCCAAGGGCUCGGCGAUCUGACCAAUCUGAAGGUACUUGGAAUUCAUUGGGAGUACCCUUAUGCAGUCGCGGGACGUCACGUGGACGUGGAAGGCCGCAAGGAAGCAUGUAUCUCGUCACUCUCCAAGCUUGUCACAACACUUCGAGAACUGCGCAUCAUGCCAAUACUUGAAUAUUUCAUAAGUUCACAAUACUUCUUUCCCAAACGUGAAGGACCAAGUGUCGUGCCCUAUCAAAUCAUUCAAAUCAUCAGCUCGCUAGUCAACCUGACCCGCCUCAGUAUUGGACUAGUAAGCCAGGAAGGGAUAAAUAUCGUAGCAAGUUUGCCCAUGCUCCUCUCUAUUACUGUUCGCUUUUCCUUUGAAGAGGGUAAUUCUGGAAUCAGGUAUACAAUCAGCAGUCAAGGAUUCCAGCGUUUAGUCAAGUUUAAUUUCUCCUGUUAUUAUGAGGGGGCGGAGUUUGAGCCAGAAGCCAUGCCAAAGCUCCAAAGGCUCAAGCUGUACCUGGCGGCACGGGAUCAGUUCAAUUAUGAGCAAGGCGGCCUGGUCCUUGGGCUGCAGAAUCUGGCAGGCCUCAAACAUGUUGCUCUUAGUAUUAACUGUGAGUAUGCUACUCCUGACGAGGUGCAGGAUUUGGAGGAUGACAUCAGGGUUGCAGCAGGCGCCCAUCCCAACCGUCCCGUGGUCCAGCUGGUCGAAAAAGUACGUCAAGAUUGUAUGGCUCAAGGGUGCAGCAGGCGCCCACGCGACCAUCCCAUGCUAGAAGCACAAUGACCAAGUAAAUGCACGGUGUGGAGAAUAAAUAUCAUUAUCAAUGAUGAUCUUUUUUUCUGUUUCAAGAGCACGUUGGAAUUAAACAAGGUUAAUUCGAUUUGUUUUCAUCUUAGUUUUUGCUUUAUGACAACAUGUGUGCAUGUAGAUUGGCCUCUCGGAUCUAUGGAGUGCUGAUAUGUGUUGCUUGAUAUGAUGGUGUUGUGUCGAGGUGGGUUUAGGAUGUGUGCUCCGAGUGAAGGCAUUUGCCCUUCGCCGGGCCAACGAUGCUGACGCCUGUUGGUGCCACAUCCCUCUCUAUUGACUACGAAGGAGUGAUUACGUUAAGCUCUUCCUUCAUAUAUGGAUUGUAGGUUACUAUGUAAUUUUGAGACGUAUGUUGAGUUUAAGAUCUUAUGUUGUUUAUCACUUACUGGAUCUCUUUCUUCUUUUUUUCUUUUAUAUUUCUUUUUGACAAGGUUGUGUGUUGUUGCAUAGGCGGCUGGAAUCUAAGCUUUCUUUAUCCAAAAGAAGAUUAUAUAAAACAACCAGAAAGCAACAAAAGGCAGGGGCGGUUAAUCUCCUUGGGAUUGGAGGGGAUGGGGAUUUUGACUGGUAGGGGAUGUUUUGCAGGAGGAUGUGCACCUCAACAUAAGUAACAUGGAAUCUGUGGGUACACUUUUGGCAACAUACCUUUAAACCACAUUCUAUACAACAAUAAUCUUGUGCAAACAAUAUAUAGCUAUGCCCACCAUUUCUAGAACAAUGUUCAAUAGACUACCAUAUGCAUAUGAACGUGCACGAUGGAUAUUAGACACAAAACAUAGUAGUAGUAGUAUAACUUGCACAAAACUACAUUUAUGAUCUUUUGUAUUUGAGCCAGGAAGUUCUUUCAAAAGAUAACCCACAUCGGAUGUUUGAAUGCUAAUUAGGAGUAUUAAACAUAGGUUAAUUACAAAACUAAUUGCACAGAUGGAGUGUAAUCUCGCGAGACGAAUCUAUUAAGCCUAAUUAGUACAUGAUUUGACAAUGUGGUGCUACAGUAACCAUUUGCUAAUGAUGGAUUAAUUAGGCUUAAUAGAUUCAUCUCGCGAAUUAGCAUAGGGUUCUGCAAUUAGUUUUAUAAUUAGCUCAUAUUUAGUUCUCCUAAUUAGCAUCCGAACAUUCGAUGUGAUAACCGUGCAUGGCUAGGCACUUCCGAAAGUCUUCACUUCAAGUACUUGUCAAACCAGUCGAUCAUUAGACCAAGAGCUUGCUCAGCAGUUUUGACAGCAAAAGGGUCGGUGGUAUUAUAUCUGCAAGCAAAUCCAUGUGCAACUCCUGGAAAGACCUUGGCGUAGUAGGGAAUCUGCAAACAACCAAUGCCACAAAAAUGAGCUUUUCCAACUGAUAUAUAGUAUCCUCUAUGACGGAAUCACUAGGAACUCACCUCUGUUCUAUGACGCAAUACACUCACAUACUGGUACACUAGUUUUGGCGGUGCGACUUCGUCAUAUUGAGCUCCAAGGAUCUCGAUUGGACAUUUAACCUCUGUUUUGAAUGGUCAUAUAGUUAGCAUACGAAAUUAAGCACUUAAGUUCAGUUCCAAAGACAUCUCAAUCGAUGCUGUCUGGGAGGUUGCAAACACAAAGAAAAGGAGCAAACCUUUCAUGUCAUCAGUAGUCACAAUGUAAGGAUGAGAAAUGGAAACUACUUUAACAUCACUGGUUUUCCCCAUCUCCACACUAAACUUUCCUGUCAGUUACGCGGCAAUAGGAGAUAAGAAUUUUAUGCUCUGUAUGUUGCCUGAAGAAGGAUUUUGGAAGCUGGAAUUUCACUCACCACCCCAGCAAUAACCUCCCACCCCGAUGGACUUUCCUUCCUUUUUGAAAGCAGCAAAGAGUGGCUUGGCGUCUUUGGCAGCUUUUACCUGCCAGAUCGAUCGGAUACUCAAAUCAAUAUAUUUUCAACUCAUGAUGCAAUGAGCAUAAGAUGAAAUUUGAAAGGGACAUGGAACAGACCUGGGAGUGGAGCUUGAUCCACUCUGAAAUGUUUUUACUUGAGUCUAAAUAAUCUCCAUUGAAGAAAUCAGGCACCACAACAAAGUAUCCAGCCUCGCUAACUUUAUCGGCUAUCUGUCUGCAUCAUUAAAAGAUCAAGAAAGGGAUGAACAAUAGCUAGUACAGAGAGGGAUUCUUGCGUCGUUGUACUCCAAACAAAAUGCAAUCUAUCUCAUAUGAGAAUUAACUUUCACCGGAUUGUCUUUUUUGGGAAAAAAAAACUGUACUGUAUUUUACUCUGUACAGAAGCACAAAGCAUUGUUAUGUUUUUUAAAAAAAGAUAGUCAAAUAAAAUUUGCUCUAGUUCUUCAAAGUCUCUAAAAUCAUCUGUUGAUAUUUAAAAGCAUUUUGCUAUGGUUAUGAUUGCGUUGCUACUUGCUACAAGCAUCAUAAGGGAGUACUAAGCAGGAAAAAUCGAAAGCAUGCCAGCCGAAUGAUCUAGUUCUUCAAAGUCUCUAAAAUCUGGAGAGAUGCUAGUUGACCAAGAACAGAGCAUUUUGAUCUACGAUAGUAAGCCAGAGUAGAGCAAGAAAGAACACAAAAUUUGGGAAUUAAAAGACCGUAGAUAUAUUUAUGUAGGUGCCUCGAAUCCUGAGAAAAUCAAUCAAAAAGUGGAGAAAAAUUUCCUGUCAAAACGUACGCCCAAAUUGACUAGAAACUGCAGAAGUGUAGUACUACGGUCGAAACACCAACCGAAAACAUCGGAGGCGAGGACGAUGGCGUGGCUUGAGCUUGCGGCUGAAGGACCGAAAGGGCGAUCAGAGGGGGGUGAAUGGGAACCUAUAAAAAUUCUCAACAAGAACAAGGCCUAUGUCCCAAAUACAACCCCAAAGCACACAACACGUUGUAUCGUCAAGAUGACGCAAGUCAACUCGUGACAAGCUCACCCUAGGAACGAUACACGUAUCAUAUCAUGACAAAUCUCAUGAUUUUCGGCUAUCUGUCUGCAUCAUUAAAAGAUCCACUGGUACCAUCAGUAUUCCACUAAAUCAAGGCGAUGAACAAUAGCUAGUACAGAAAGGGAUUCUUGCAUCGUUGUACUCCAAACAAAAUGCAAUCUAUCUCAUAUGAGAAUUAACUUUCACUGGAUUGUCUUUUUUUUUUGAAAAAAAAAGCUGUACUGUCUUUUACUCUGUACAGAAGCACAAAGCAUUGUUAUUUUUUUGAAGGGAGUACUAAGCAGGAAAAAUCGAAAGCAUGCCAGCCGAAUGCUCUAGUUCUUCAAAGUCUCUAAAAUCUGGAGAGAUGCUAGUUGACCAAGAACAGAGCAUUUUGAUCUACGAUAGUAAGCCAGAGUAGAGCAAGAAAGAACACAAAAUUUGGGAAUUAAAAGACCGUAGAUAUAUUUAUGUACCUGAGUAAAGGUGCCUCGAACCCUGAGGAAAUCAAUCAAAAAGUGGAGAAAAAUUUCUUGUCAAAACGUACGCCCAAAUUGACUAGAAACUGCAGAAGUGUAGUACUACGGUCGAAGCACCAACCGAAAACAUCGGAAGCGAGGACGAUGGCGCGGCUUGAGCUUGCGGCGCCGGUGACGUAGGCCCUGAAGCCUCCUGGGAGAUCGUUGAAGAUCACACCGGCCUCGCCACCACGCUGAGACAUGUCCGGUGGGUUGUCCAGGCACUCCGAGCGCUCAGCCUUAGCGGUCGCCGCCGUCCCAGCAAGAAGGACGGUGAGGCAGAGGAAACACUGCGCGGAAGCCAUGGCCCUCCGGCCGGAAGCUCUGGAAUGCUUAUCGCUGCCGCUCUGCUGCAUCGCCAUCCAGUAUUUUACAGGACAGGAGGAGGAUUAGGUGGGGGUGAAGAUAGCAUCAUACUAUUUGACUCCUUAAACUCUUUUACGGUACACCAUACUACUCCCUCCGGAGUACCACUUAGGCUAGUCUCAAUGGAGUUUCAUGAGCAUUAAAUCUUAUACCACAUUAGUAAUUUUAUUAUUAUGGAUAAUUUAAUAAUUAUUAAUUGUAAAAAGUGAGAUUUCAAAUAGAAUGAUCGUGUAAACUUUAUGCUAGUAUUAAAAAAUAUUAUAAUGAUGUCAUUUUGUAUUCUUUUACUAUGAUAUUUUUAUGUUAUAUAUACUACUCAUUUAUACUAUCAUACAGCUAUGAUUUCAGACCAUCUGAGAUUUUUAUACUAAUUUGUAAUUAGUAUAGCCUAGCGGCUUUUUCCCCAUACAAGAGCUAGGAGGUUCCUGCUCGGAAGAGCGAGAUCGAGCUAAAUAAAACUGAAGUUUUUCCUUGGCGGCAGCUUCGCGCCUUCGCCUCAUCACUUCACGUACUAAGCUUACAAAAGCUUGGCAUAGACAUGGAGUUAAGAGUAAAAGACAGUUAUAAAAGUUUGGUUUCAAAUUUGUAUUCGAAGUCCUAGAAAACAAUAGGAAGAAGGAUAACACACAGUGAAUUGCCUUACUGCAUGAACGAUGGAGCAGUGAAAGGCCUAGUCAAGGUGACGCUGACGUCUCAAGAAUAGCUCACGCCAGCACUGACGUAUGUAAGGCCUCCCCAACAACCCCUUUCAUCCUGGAAAUGGUCGAAUGAUGAGGUUGUCUCUGAAUUCUUGAAAUAUUGUAACCUGAACAUUGGACGGUUACGUCGUCUUAGCCGCAGCUUGAUACGACUUCAAUAACACCAUUAACAUCAACGCAUCCAUAGUAGUUAUGUUUUUCUCUCCUGCAAAUACUGAUCAGUACAUGCAUCAUGCCAUAAUUAAUGCACUGCUUUCAUGUUCUCUUCUAGGGGCCGUCAGUUCCCUUCCCGUCAGCCGCAUUUGUCUCAUCGUUGUCAGAAUGGAUCUUGUGGCUACAGAACAAAGGAAGAAAAAGAGAUGAGUAUGAAAUCAGAGAACUAGUGAUAGGCAAAGGAGGAUCAGGGUCCAGAUUUGACGAUUAGCGAAUUUCGGUAAUUUUAGUGGUGAUCAAAGGAAAAUUCCGAAAUUUAAUAUUAUACUUAUGCAUAUAAUAUAUAAUUUAUUGUAAACAUAGUACUCUAGACUCAUAUUUUCUAUUGUUUGUGUUGCAUAUUCUUCAACUCAAUAUAUGCACAGCCAUAAAUCAUACUAACCUUUUGUUUUAGAUCCAAAAAAUUAGAAAAUCAUAUGAUAUGGUGAAGUCUCCAAAAAAAGUCAGCGAAAUUUCACCGAAAAUUCGCAAAUUUCAGGUAAAAAAAAACUAAAACCGAAAUUGUAAACCUUGAGAAGGAUACAGUCGAACCUUGAGAGGAGGAUUCUCUGUGCAACAUGGGUGUGAGGUGUUCGUUCCAUUAUACAGGAUCUCAUGAAUCCAGAAUUUCUUUCAUCCAUGGACCAUCUCUUCCUCUAGAACGUUGGUGGGGCAAGUCUAUGGAGGACAACGAUCAUGGAGGAUGCUAUGACUUCGGAUGUCGAGAGGUGGCGCCAAAUCCAAGAGUCUCGGUCUUCAAUAGUGGGCCUCCCUUGACUGAAGAGAACUGAAAAUAUAGGGAGAGAUAUAGGUAGUCAACUAAAGCAUUGGCCCUGAAGUGUUAAAAAAGUAUUGCGGGCUCCUCCUAAAACAACUUACGGUAGUCUUAUGGAAAUGCUCUUAGUUUUAAUCUUUUUUCCUCCUUGUAUGUUGAGGCCACUUAGUUUUUGUGUUUAUGUCUUCGCAAUUUAUGAAUUGAAAGAACAAAUUCAUGUUUCACGUGCUCAGAGCACAAUUCAACUUUGAUGGUUCUGAACCUAUACAUAUGUCCUUAACUACCAAAAUCAAGCCUGCUUUGACCCCCUAUAUUUGUCUGGCAAUACUGAUGGUUGUUCUCUCACUGAAUAUGAACUUGUUUUUCUAUAUGAAUUUGCAAAUGAUCAAACUUACAUUUCUACCAACUUUUUUGUUUAUUUCUGUCAUUGAAUUUUAACUUGAACUAUAUUGUUUGGAGUAGAGGCAAAUGCUGAAAUACGAGACCAAUUUUGAUGCUUGUUUUUUUAAAAAAAACAUCAUCUUCCUACAUACUCCCUCCGUCACAAAAAAAAUCAUUUUAGGAUUGUCCAAAGUCAAAUAUUUUUAAGUUUGAUCAAAAUUAUAGAAAAAACUACAUAUAUUUAUGGUAUGAAAUAAGUGCCAUUUAAUUUAUCAUGAGAUAUAUUCUUAUAAUAUACCUAUUUGAUGCCAUAAACCUUGAUGCAUUCCGGGGGCUCCAAUGGUUCCUGGGCUUAGAGGAAGGUCGGCAGUGGUGGUAGGCCCGGCGGUGGCCGCGGUUUGGCCAGCUACCGCCGGAUGAAGCGGCAGUAACAGGCUACCGCCGUUUCAAACGGCACUACCUAUGUCCACCGCAAUCCAACGCUCCAACCGCCGUUUCAAAUAGCGGUAGCUACUGAUCCGGCGGCCGAGUUCUAUUUCUACAAAUUUUUGGAUCGCCUAUUUAUUCCUGCAAAUACGUAAAAUAAAAAUAAAAAAAUAAAAAUAAAUUCCUGCAGCGGCUCCGAUCUGAAUCAACCAUUCUGGGCCAACGUACAAGGGAUUGGGCUUGCGCGUUCUGGGCUUUGCGACCCAUUUAUUGCUCUCUUCUCCGCAUUUUUGCUUCUUGCUUUGACGCCAUCUGUGCACUUUUUUUUUAGUUUUGCUAGUUAAGGUGUGCUUUUGUUGGAAUCCUGAUUGUUUGUGUGCUUAAAAGGUGACCAAAAUUAUCUGAUGCAGGACAGAAGAAUAUGUAUAUAUUAAAUAUUCAUCCAAUGGAAUGUCUGCAAGUUUACAAUGCGAUUGCCAAGAAAUAUUAUUCUCUUCCAAUCAAUCUGAGCAACCUUGGAAUGUUGUGUAGACUUCACUUCAAGUAUUUGUUGAACCAGUCAAGCAUGUAAGCAAGAGCUUCUUCAGCCGUUCUGACGGCAAAAGGGUCGGUGGUAUUAUAUCUGCAAGCAAAUCCAUGUGCAACUCCUGGAAAGAUCUUGGCGAAGUAUGGUAUCUGCAAGAAAGAAUGUCACAGAAAUCCAUAAUGUAAUUAUUGGUAUCCCCAGUGUGUGUAAUUGAUGUCAGUACGAACUCAUCACCUGUGUUCUUUGACGCAAAACUUCCACAAACUGGUACACUAGUUUUGGUGGUGUCGAUGUGUCAUUCUGAGCUCCAAGGAUCUCAAUUGGACAUUUGACCUCUGAAUUUUCAAACGAACUUAGUUAAGCAAUGGACAUCAAUAACAUAAGACUAGUUUGACAGAAUACAAAAAAGAGAGAAGGGCACACCUUUCAUAUCAUCAGCAGUCACUGUUGAAGGAUGAGAAAGGCAAACUACUUUUAUAUCGUCAGUUUUUGCCACCUCGGCACCAAAUUUUCCUGCCAAGAAGCAGAAAAGUUGUAAUAACUAGUAUAUGCUUUAUGCCUUGCCUGAAAAAAGGAUUUUGAAAACUAAAUUUCACUGGGCUAAGCUUGGCUAUUGAUACAUAGUAUUUGGUAACUUGAUGUACUCCACUCACCACCCCAGCAAUAACCUCCAACAGCAAUGGACUUUCCUUCCUUUUUCAAAGCAGCAAAGAGUGGUUUGGCAUCUUCGGCAGCUUUUACCUUCCACAUCCAUCGGACACUCAAACCAAUUUAUUUUCAACUCAUGAUAAUGCAGUGUAUUAUAAGAUAUUGUUAACCAUGGAUUUUCAUUAUGGUGAGAAUAAGAUGAAAAUUGAAAGGGACAUGGAACAGACCGGAGAGUGAAACUUGAUCCACUCUGAAAUGUUUUUACUCGUGUCGUAAAAAUCUCCAUUGAAGAAAUCUGGAACCAUGACGAAGUAUCCAGCCUCACCAACUUUAUCAGCUAUCUUUCUGCAUUAUUAAACAUCCUCUGGUAUUAAUUAGCUCUCAACUAAAUAAGGGAGAUGAAUAGUGACUGAUAAUAUUGUUUCUUACAUUAUUGCAAAACACUAUGCAGUGUAUCUCAUAUUGAGGGAAUUUUUUAUUGGCUGUCUUUUACAUUGUAAUUUGUAAAUAAUCCAGAACUUGGUUAGUUUAUUUGAAAACAUAAUCAAGCAUGGUUGAAACGUUAAGUUAGAUAAGACAUUCUGUUUGUAAAACAAAUAUUGUCCUAUUUUGGUUGAAAUUCAUUCAUCAGUGAAUGUCCAAAAUUACUGAUGAUCUCAGGUAAAAUUUGCUCAAAUCCAUGAAUUUUGAACAUUUUAUUGAACAGUUCCAAUGUCUAUUGGGACCCACCCAAAAAAGUUUCCCUGCUGGAUGAUACAGAGUGUAUGCACAUCAGAAUAAUGACAAAGUUUCCUAAAAGUUGCGAUAGCAGUUUAAUUAUUUGACCCUUCCUUUUGUCCAGAGAAUAUUGUUAGAUGACAAUGCAAUUGUUAUCUAGAAACAUUUCGGUAAUGCUGCUGGAUUUGUAUAAUAUAGAAAACGCUGAAACAAUAUAAUGCAAUCUAAAAUGUUCAAUUCUAAUCUGGAAGCACUGUUUGCCAUCAGAAUCUAUGGGUUUAGUCGUUUAGAUCAGCUAAUUCGUAUGUAUUUAUCCCUCUUUAUAGUCUUUAUAAUGAAGCGGAUGAAACUGCAUAUUGCAAUGUCUACAUUUUACGACGCCAAGAACCAUGGAGCCUAUAAACAAGUACUAAUCAAGAAAAACCAAAAGCAUGUUAGUUGAGUGCACAAUCAUUUGUUUACUCAAAAUCCCUUUAAAUGGAGAUGCUCAUGUUCACCACGAAAGCGUAAUCUUUCUUUCUUUUUCCAGACAAAAAAAAUGGGCCUUUUGAGCCACGAUAUUUUGUCUGUCUGUCUUGUUCAGAAGCUGCUCGCUUGUCGACCAGUUUUUCAACUAGAUUUUUCCAGUGGUUUUAAUUUGAAGCAGAAAAUUAAUGUGAAACGAACAAUCAUAUAUACUAUAUAUAUAAGAGGAAUAACAACAAGGAACUUAAAAUCCUGGAAAUGAAGUGAUGGUGAUUACCUGAGAAUAGGCGCCUCGAAUCCUGAAGAAAUCAGUCAAAGAACAACAGACAAGUUUUUACUGUCAAAAAGCGCACCCAGCGACUACGAAUUAUAGUGCGUGAUACAGAUCGAUGCACGAACCGAAGACGUCGGAGGCGAGAACGACGGCGUGCCUGGACUUGGCCUUGCCCGUGACGUAGGCUCUGAAGCCCCCUGGUAGGUCGCUGACGACCUUGCCGGCCUCACCGCCGCGCAGAGACAGGUCCGGCGGGUUGUCGAGGCACUGCGAAUGCUUAGCUUGAGCGGCGGCGGCCGCCGCCAUGGCAAGCACGACGGCGAGGCAGAGGAAGGCCUGCGCGGAGCCCAUGGCGCUCAGACCGGAAAGUCAGCAACGGUUGUCCCUGCACAGCACUGCUGUGUUAGGUGUGCUUUGUAGCACACGGCCGGCGGACAUGGUUGUUGUCACGUCGCAAUCCUAGUGCGGCUUAUACAGGAGCUUAGAGAUUAGAAUGCUAGCACGCAGUCUAAACUAAACGGAAGCUGAAAACAACUCAGAUGAUUAGAGGAAGCGACCGAGUUGAUCUUUCAUUGAUGAUCGGACGGAGAGGAUGCCGUGGUAUCUUCUUCCGUGCGCGUAGUGUCUUUGCACUCUUGUCCCUGAAAGUUGACAUUUGCUUCGUUGUGGUGGUAUUUUUUUUUUCUCCCGAAUGAAAGUUGUGGUUGCCGCUGAAGAGGUUGGCAGUUAUAUCAGUAGACUUUCACACUUUAACGGCUCGUCGAAUUUUCACUGAGACGUCAAAUUUUUAUCGAGGUAUUGAAAAGCUCUCAUUUUUUCCUAGUUCUCUUUGAAGCCCAUGCAACAAGGGAAUACCCUACGCAAGCUCCGGUUAGGUAACUCCAUGGAUAGCCGACGAGUAUUCCCCACAUGUAAGUGGCCAGGCCUCCUCCUUGCCUCUCCUGGUGCUCUCCACCAUCUUCACUAGGCAAAGAGCUUCGACAUAUAGCCUCUCCUUUCUUGUACAAUCACUAUCGGCCACUCCACAAACGUAGUUGGAGGGUCUCGUAUUACUUACAAGUCCUGGAUUUAUAGCACUUAGUGCGUACAAGCACCGAUAACAAAGAGGUGUGCAAACCUCGCUUAACUCUAGGCUAAUCCCUAAAGUAAUGUGCUAAUAGACCUAAACUAGCACUAAUCAAGAUCUUAGACUUAUGCUAAUUGUCUUAAUAUUCUCUUUAGCACUUUGGUGGAAACCUAUAACUUCCCCAAACUCUAACACGCCCCAACAUGAAGAACUAGCCAUUAUUCACAAAAUGCUGAUUUUACUAUAGACACAAGAUGAUAUUGUGACUUUAGUGUUCAUAUUGGAUGAUAUGGCGAUCCUCCAAUAUUCAAGACUCAGAGUAGGUAAAACUCAUUGUAGGAUGAUCCGAUUAUUAUACUAUUGACACCGUAUGAAUUGGUGUUCCUCCAACAUUCAAGACAGAGAGGAGGCAAAAUUCAUUAUAGGAUCAUUCGGUGAUGGUUACUGUUCACAUAGGAUCAUUUGAUGUAAAUAGCAACCAAUGGUGAAGGCUACUAUAGACACAGGAUAAUCUGGUGUGAAUACUAACCAAUCAUAUGAUGAUAAGGUAUAAUAUGCGACGGUGAGGAAUCUUCACUGUUUUGCUUUGUUACUUCACGUCUAUUUAUGGCGGCUUCUUUUUUAUGAUGUCUUAGUUCUUGUGCAUGUCCUGUUGACCUUAUUUAAGGUGUUUGAUCACUCAAUUCCAUUACCUUGUGUCCAUGCGAUUAAGUCCUUGUAUACUCACAAAUGUUGUUAGUCCCAUAAGUUAGUUUGACACACAAUCACCAAAAUUACUAAUGCCCAAGCUAGGUCAAUUUUGCUUACCCCCCCCCCCCCCCCCCCGCGAUGAUUGAUGCCAACACAAUUCUUGAUAAUUAGAUGAUGAGCUAGCCAAUUUCUCCUUGAGUUCCUUAUUUUUAGAAAGAAGUGUUGUUAUAGCUACCUCUUGAUUAUGAACAAGAUCGCAAAGCUCUUCGAGGGAAGGAGAGGAGUCAUCAUGACUUACAUCGUUAUCAUUUAUACCUUUGGCCAUUAGGAAAAUGUGCAAUGAACUUAAUAAUGGUAAGAAGGCACAUGGCUUGUGGUGGAUUUAUUCAUCACUUGAGCUUAUCAUAUCAAAUAUACCCCGCCCAAUGUUUUUGAAGGCCAUCUACUUGCCUUUCUCUCCUUCCUUUGCUUGCAUCUCUUCAUCAUGAGUGGACAAUACUCAAUGUAGUUUCCCUAAUCUGUAUAUAGGGAAAUUCCAUAUCCAAACAAUAUUAUUAUGUAUGGAUCUCCCUUAUGUACAUAUCCCUAUGGGAAAUUGUGAUUUCAUUUUUCAUUAAGGGAAUUUGCUCUGAUACAGAUUGUGGCUCGUCCUUCUUGGACCAUCUAAGUACAAUUACGUUAAAGAGAAAGGAUUCGUAGAUAGAUGGUUAACUAGAUUGGCAAGUACUUAUAAAUACUUAAUUUUAGUAUCUAUUUCAAUUUCUAUCUAGAUGUGCAUAAAGUUUUUAUAUACGGUUAUAGCCUUAGUUAGUUUUUAGGAAUACCUGAUUCACCCCUUCGUUGGGAUCCAACCCCGGGCUGUCUGUUUCCUUUGACUUGAUGGAAGCGAGAUCGGAGAUAGGUGGAAGCAUUAAAUGAUCUUGAACUGGCAGACCGGAUAGGAUAAUACGCCACCGACGUGCCUUCCCUGUAAAACCACAUGAUUAUGGUGGAGACUAGAUUGGGCUACCCCGACAGCAGUUGAGGGGGAGCGUGGCCGUAAUGGAAUUGCCUCGUGAUCUGUAGUGUCAUGCCUGGCGGAGCAACAGGGAGGUGGGGUGAGCUGUAAACGUCUGGCGGGGCAGGGGGGCCGCCCCUACCGGGAGAGGUGUCAGGCUGCGCUGCCCGGGAGCACCGUGAUGGAAUAGAAUGGGGGCUUGAACCCAGGAGCGAGAUGGGAUGUCAAUAGAAACAUCAACUAAUGUGUAUUGUUCACACAUGGCGGGCGAGCCCAGCCAUCACCGUCCUGGUUUAGUCAGAGAAGACGGGAGGGGGCUGAGAGAGACGAGGCCACAAAUGCUUGGGGGCAUUUUUGACCUGAUGAGGUGACCUGCCCCGACGGUACAGUUGUGGAGUUUGGCCAACAUGUUGUUUGUUGACCAAAGAGGAUCCCACGCGAUGUGUACCAUAAACUUUGCAUCUUGAUGCCCCUUUACUAUUGGCAGCCUUAUGGUACAAAUUAAGAAUGCGUGUGAGCAACCCCUAAUCAUGAGGCGCACAUGCAUCUCCCUACCAGAUGCCUGAUGGUAGGCACUCCGAUCCACGGAUUAGCGAUCAUCGAUCAUACUUUUGCGCUGCCCGUUAGUUAGGGAUGCAGGUUUUGUUGGGUUGACCCAGCUACCCAAUACCUAAAAAAUGAAAAACAGUGUAUUACCCCAUAGAGCCGACCCAAUAAUAGUGUUAUUACCCUAUAGAUCCAAACAGUGUAACUGGUUAAUUCAAAACAAUCUAUAAUUGUUGCUGCCCUGUAGAGACUCUCUCAGCAUCACGCGGUCAACCCAAUCCACUUGUGGGGCCUACCGAUCAUCCGCACGGAGCAGUCAGUAGCGUAGCCGGCUAUGGCGUGGCCCCUGUUUGGUCGCUGGCGGCGAGCGCAGGUCAGCCAAAUAAUAUAUUUAUUAAUAAAUAUUCAAUAAUUAAAUAUAUAUCAAAUGAAUAUCUUUGAAAUAAAUAAUUCCAUAAAUAUAUAAAAUAUUUAAUAAUAAAAUAAGUACAUUAAUACUUAUGAGUAUAAUUUAUUCAUUAAAUAAAAUAGGAUAAUGUAUUUAAAAUUAAUAUGAUUAGCCGCAUUAAAAUUAAUUAAACAUUAUCAUUAUUCACUAUAUAUCACUAGUAAUAUUAGACUAACAUAAUUAGUCAUUUGUCAAAUAGGUAACUUUUUAAUACUUGAAAUGGUGCACACAAUUACUUUAUUAGUAGUAUUAAAGUUAACAUCAUUUAUCAUUAGUAAUUAGUCAUAAAAAUAAGUUUUAAAUGAUUUCAUGGGGUACUUUACUCUUCGCGGAUACGGAUAGUAUCGGAUAUUUCACAUUUUUUUCGAAUACUUCGAAAAAUAUUGAAAUCGAAUUCAGAUAUAUCUAUUUGACAUUCAUAUUAAAAUCAAAUGCGAAUACGGAUAUCCAUAUUAACGUUUUAGAUGGAUUCGAAUAUGGAUAAUUCGGAUUUACUGUGCUUAAGGACUGGGGAAAGAGGAGAAUAUGGUGCACUAGGUUCAAAAGAUCUGGGAGGUCAUCACCGAUUCGGGCAUCGGGGACCUCGAUUUGUGAUCGCCAUGGACAUCGAUGGUCAUGCAGAUGCAGUAGUGGACCUGGUAGCGGAGAUGGAGAGCAGCUAAUGCCUAAUAGGAGUGGAACUUCAGACUCGCGCGUGAAGCACAGCGAGGAAGAUGAAUGGCCUAAGGUGCCGCACAACAGCUUCAGUGAAGAGACACUGGUGAUCUCGCUCGAGGGCAUCGAUGACGGGCGGCGGCGGCGGCGCCGUGAGGAUUGGACCAUCUUCCAGGCAGGUGGUGGGCCACGGCGUGGACACUGCGCUCAUGGCCGAGAUGACGCGCCUGGCGAUCGAUUUCUUCACGCUGCUCGGCUGCUGCAUAGUUAAACAAUGUUUUUUUUGGUAACCCACUGGUUUUUGGUAAUCUCGUGCUUAGUUUUGGAUCAACCCAUUACUUACGACUUUUCAUAUUGGAUUGAGUGGGUUAACGUUGGACACUGGUUGACCCAAUACUGACCCACUUGCAUGCCUACCAUUAGUACUCGAUCAAACCUGAAGUUUGGUGAUCGUACAACGCGACAAUGAACGGGUACAUAGAAAUAUAGAGCUUCUGUAAAGCAUCUCGUUCGGUGGUCUAGCCACUAAAUCAUGCCACAUAUGGUGUUGUCGAGAGAGAGAAAAACAUGCUGAAGGAUCGGUGCCUUUGUUGUUGCCCGAGGUAGUUGGACAGUGGAGACCAGCGGCGUAUGUGCAUGCAUCCCAUGUGGGCUCGCUCCCGUUCGCAAGGAGGAAUGCAGUACGUGUCGCAUUUUCGACGGGCUCACCGUCCGCCCGACCGCACGUUCGUCCGCCGCGCCAACUCUUCCGGUGUACUCGUCCAUUCCAAAAUUACUGUUUAAAUAUAUACUCUUUCCGUUUCAAAUUGUAGGUCGUUUUGAGUUUUAUAGGUUCAUACUAUGCACUUAGAAAAGUCAAACAACUUAUAAUUUGGAAGGGAGUAGUUUUUGAUAUGCACCUAAAUAUAUAUUUAUAUUUAGGUAUAUAGCAAAAGUAAUGUAUCUAGAAAAGGCAAAACGAAUUGUAAUUUGGGACGGAAGGAGUAGUACGCGGUCGCUCAAGGAAUCUCUAUAUCAUUGCACAUACUGGUGACCAGUGGCUAUAACAUCCUGCCAUUUUUAGAGCAUUUAAACUACACACUUUUUAAAAUUUUUCUUGAAACUAAACCUACUCUCCUUUUCCAAAUAUUCAAAACUCUUUCUUACAAAUAAACGUUGCAUAAAAUACUAACAUCGUGUGUUGCAUUUGGUUGCUCUAGCUCUCUCUCCUUCUCAACCUUAGGAAUAUUUCCUUUUCCUAAAAUCCUAGAAAUAAUAUUUGCAUUUUAUCUGGGGUAGUGGAGGAGGCGGAGGUGGGAGGAGGCGGGCGGGGAUGGCACAGGUCGGGAGGAAGAAGGUCUUGUUGGUCUUCGUGGGCUUCUUUUGGGCCUAAUCCAAGUAAUUAUCUGGCUUCCGGAGGUCAAAUAGGAGCUCCCGUCCCAGCGGUCCUAGGCACAAGUCCGCCCCCUGUUGGUGACUAUACUAUCUUGGAGUAUAUUGUUUAUGUGACACCAGAGAUCAUGGGCACAUGCAUUCUGCUUCCAAUGGGAAAUUGAAAACUAAAACUACAGUGGCCAGAUGUAUAUUGUCUGCACAAAUCAGGAGAGCUAGAAUCCUAUAUAGGAGAAGCUAGCCAUUGCGUGCAUGAUUCGUGCCCAUCAACACGAAAGUUGGGUACUUGGUAGGGCAGUGCCUAGUAACUCGCUGACAAGGGGGACGCACAGGAAUCAGGAAUGGAUCAUAUAGGUUUUUAUCCGACCAGGCAAUAAUGCACAUCAAUCACGCGCAUGCAUGUGCCCGAAAUUCCAACUGCCCAACGGCGCCAAUCGUUCCGAUCAAGCGACACCGUACCCAACGUCCGUGAACAUGCGCUGCAAGCAUGCCCUGCUGCUGCUCCACCGACGCCUGUCAUGGCAAAUGCAAUCGAUGCACCAAAAUCCAUGUCUCGCACCACGCACGAAUCUCCCUGCAGAAGGUUGUCCCAUGU